rnacentral:lncRNA from 1 species
AUUAACAAAUCUUUCUUUGUUUGUUGAACUUUUCUCAUAUUUAUACCUAUUGAAAACCACACAAAUUUUCAAAUAACAAAGAAACAUAGUAAAUUCCAUACAUCAAAUUCAAAAUAUUUUCCAAUAACAUAAAAGAAGGUUCACAAAAAACAACUACAAGUCAUUACGUUAUAUAGAUUAAUCCAACCACAUAUCCAAGUUCAUAAAAUAUACAAAUGCAAGUUGAUUUCACUAAGAAACAUUUUGUCCAAAUAGCCAAAACAUAUGCAUGCUGCUUUUAACAAAAUAUAUGCAUGCUGCAGCUCUUAACAAAAGAUAUGCAUGCUGCUUUUAACAAAAUAUAUUGUUGUUGAAAUGUCAAUUGUGGUUACUUUGUCCAAGUAACAUGAGUACGAAAGCUUUUUUCAUUGCACCAUCCAAAGACAAGAAUGUCCUCUCAUUCUGUGGCUUUUCGAAAAGAAUAUUGAGUGCCUUGAUUUGAUCCUCAAUAGACAAAUCCAUCUUUGACAAUUCUGAAGCAAUCUCAGGUUUUGGAUCCACUCCUUUCCCAAAAGCAGCUUGUAAAACUUCACCCAACUUAUCCACUGAUUCAGAAAGCAUUUCUUUAAAUGCCACAGCAAGAUCAUUAUCAUUAGCAGCUCUCUUCCUUUUCCGGGUACUUGAACUGCUUGACCGUCGAGCAACAGAAGGAGAACUAGUCUCCACCUCAUCUUCAUCUUCAUCUUCAUUAAUGUGCUCUGGCUCAUUCAUCAUCUCAGUAGGAGUUGCUGCUCCUACUCCAGUUGCUCGGUCUUUCCCAAAAAAUAACAUUCAAUCUGUCAUACAAUGGAAACGAUUUUCCUAGCCAGCCCUCUGCUUCUUUGUUAACCUGCAAUGCGAAAACAAAUCACACUAUCCAUAAAAUACAAAUAAUCUUAUUUUGUUCCAGAAUGGGGCUAGAUGAUAUGGUUUGGUAGACACAAUCAUACUAUUAAAUUGUAUGUAAAGGAACAUGUUAAGUAAUCAAAUAUGUAAAGUUAAAUUCUAGUAUUAAGUUACAGAAUUACCUUCACAUAUGACUGCCAUACUUCAUUGCUAUCAACCUCAAUACAUUUUCGUACAUCAUUCCAUGCAAAACCAGUUUUAUUAACCAUGUCAUAAACUAUUGCAUAAUCUUUUUUCCACCUCCUCAUUUUGGACUCAAUAUGUGGAACUGCCUUUAUAUUGGCAUUAGGACAUUUCAAAUUAAUUGCAGUUUCAAAUUGAGCCAUUGUUCCGGGUUUGAAACAACCGUUAUCACAUCGCAAAUUCUUAACAACUGCAUCCUCAAGUAUGGACAGCAAUGCAUCUUCUUCAUAUUGUUUCCAAACCCUUCUACUUCCUUUUGGUUGACUACUUUGUUCACUUUCCAUUCCUAUAAUUACAUACACAAUAAGAUAGCAUAUAAUCAACAGUGCAUAGAAUUAAUAGUAAGUGAAAAACCAUAAGCAAAUCAUCACACUUUUUAAAUAAAUACAUAACCAGGUCACACUUUGUUAAGUAUCAUAACCAAAUACAUAAGAAAUCACUAUUUGUUCAAAUAACAAACCAUAACCAAAUGACAACAUGCAUAUGUAAGAAAAUUUAAUCAAAUCACACUUGUGCACGCCACUCAUUGUACAUAUUCAUAGCCAAAGUGUUUCUCCAUGCAGUCCAUUCUUGUGUAGGUUGAACACUCUCAAUCAUAUCUUCAUCAUCAUCACUACUUUCAGAUUCGUCCAAGUUUAGGAUUUCAUUUUCUAUUGGAUCAGCUGACAUAUGCCUUCUAAUAAGAUUAUGUAAUAGGCAGCAGGCUGUCAUAAUUCUAAGUUGUGUUUUAAUUGGGAAAAAUGAUGGACCUCUUAAGAUACUCCAACGCAUCUUAAGUAGUCCAAAACAUCUCUCAAUGACAUUUCUAGCUUGAGCAUGUUUCAUAUUGAAAUACUCCUCAUGAUUAAUCGGGAGUCUUCUAUUUCUCCACUCCGAGAGAUGGUAACGCACUCCCCUAUACGGUGCAAGGUAUCCUGGACCAUUUGUAUACCCACCAUCCACAAGGUAGUAACACCCUAACACAUCAAAAAAUGUAUAUUACUAUAUAUAAGAAAAAUGAGGAUUCAAAUUACUAAUAUAAACAAAAAAUCUAUUGUUACCCGUGGGAACUUUUAAUCCCGAUGGUCUACUUAUCGCAUCUCGGAGUACUCUAGAAUCAGAGGCCGACCCUUCCCAACCUGGGUACACAAAUAUAAAAUUCAUGUCCAGAUUACAAACUCCCAACAUAUUGGUCGCAAUCUCUCCCUUCCUCGAUCGGUAUCUUGGUUUAUCUCGCUCAGGGACAUGAACGUUAAUGUAAGUCCCAUCCAAUGCCCCCAAGCAAUUCUAAAAAAAAUCAUUAACAUUAGUACGCUCAAUAUAUUUAAUUACAUUAAUUUUAGAAGUAAUUUUUAUAAAAUAUGAAGAAUACCUCAAACCAACUCCAUUUAGGAUCUGGGUAGGCAUUAGGAAUGGGUUCUGGCACUUUCAAAAGUCUACCUUGUAGCCUUAACACUCCAUGUAGAAUGGAAUUGAAAUACCUACUUAUGGUCUCCCCCGAUCGACAAAACCUACUCCCAAUUGUACGAUUCUUGACAUGAUGUGCAAGUAUAUGCAAAAACAUGCAAACUUGUUCUUCCAUUGUCACUACACCAUCCAAUUUUACUCUACCGUCGUCACGAAGCAUCUGACAUAAAUAAUGGAAUGUUCUUCUAUCCAUUCUAAUUUGGUUCACACAUUGAACAUCAUCAUAUCCUAUUAUGCUAUCUAAAUAGGCUGACCCUACCAUUCUCCUAACAAAUGUGCGAUUUCUAAGUGCAAGUUGCCGAUUCCGCCUUCUAGCUGAAUUAUGAUUCAUCAUAAACCACAUCAUCAACCAAGUCACAAUAUUCAAGUACCACAACUUAACAAUGAAGCAUGCCACAAUCUUUCUUUCAUCCAUGUCUAGUGAAAACAUAAAAUAACAUUAUUAGAUAGUGGCAAAAAAUUAAGUAACUGGAGCAUGAAUGCAUAAUAACACUGAAACGGAAGGAAACAUGUUAAUAAGUCCUACCAAAAAAUACAUGCGCCAACAGAUAAGAUGAGAGAGCUCAUUCAAAAAUCUAGAAUGGCCAAUAAACAAGAAACAACGUUAAAUUCAGCCACAAAAAACAUGAAAGCAAACAAACACAAGAGAAAUUGAUGAAAGCUGCCUAACCUUCUUAUCAGAAACAAAAGAGCAGAAGUUUCUUUGGAAUCACAUAAGCAAGAAGCGAAACUGAUGAAACGCCCUACCAACACUAUAAUACAAAAUGGCUGAUUGUCUCAUCAACCCUGAACAGUCAAUACCCAUUUGGGACAAUUGUCUCCCAAAUUCCCAAGAGGUCAAUGGUCAUAUCUAGUUAAGUAGCGAAUAAGCUCAUUGUCCAGCUACAACUUCUACCAACACCAAACAAAAGCCAACUAAAAUUGUUUCACCAGUACCCCAACAUUGAAAGCCUUUUGCUUUUAUCUCAAAGUCCCAGUUUUUCUAUUCCUCAACUGAACCCGCAUAAAAGCUAAUAAGCCUAGGACUCCAAAGCAAUACACUCAAUACAAAUAGCUAGCUUCAAAAGAGUCUUUAAAGAUGAUGUGAUAUAGGAAAGUAAAAGCUGCAUCUCUGUGGUAACAAAUUUAUCAGCCAGUAUCAACUAUCAAGGUUAUAAAUGAAGAAUUGCGUGGAAAAUAAUCUAGAGGACUAAACAAGAAGCAAAGAACCACAGAGGUACUUAGUGUAACAAUCACAAGGUAGCAAUGUGGUGUCAUGUGAGCAGCCAUUAGGGAACAAAAUGCACAGCGCUCAAUGUCACCAACAGGAUAAAGGACUAUAACCAAUCGCAUAAUUUGGUUCCAAUGGUAUAAAUGUAGCUUCUACACAACCUGAAAACAGGUUUCACAUCUGCCACAUCAUCAAUUUAAUGAAUUCAUACGAUAAAAUAGAUGAAUAAUAUAAAUUGAUAUGAUUCCAAAACCUCAGGAUUUAAUGUAAGAAAAUUAAUAUUUCAUGAUCCAUUUUGGAAAAUCACCUAAAUUGAUUAAAAGGUCGUACCCAGUGCACAAGGCUCCCGCUUUACACAGGGUCUGGGAGAGGUGAAUGUCGGCUAGCCUUACCCCCAUUUUAUGGAGAGGCUGCUCCCAAGUCUCGAACCCGAGACCUACCGCUCAUGGGCGAAGGCACUUGCCAUCGCACCAAGUGCGACCUCUAAAAUCACCUAAAUUGAUUAAGAAUGUAAAAUGCAGUUGAGCCAUUUCUUUAUUAAUCAACGGAUGAACAACAGUGGACAUGUAAGAUUUCAAAUCCUUGCUAUGAGUGGACAAUUUAUAUGUUGAAGCUCUAUCCCUAACAGCAAAAUUUAACAAGUUCAAAAAAUUCCAACCGAAGCCUAACUCACACUUUUCCAAGACGUCCAAACAGGUACAAUUUAGGGCCUUGUUAAAUUUUCCAAGACGUCCAAACAAGUUCAAAAAAUUCCAACCGAAGCUAUAACUUAUGGCCGUUUCUGAGAACAUUUGUAGACUUGGCAAAAAGCCGAGUCCGAGUGGAAAGGAAGGCGACAGCAAAACACAAGGGAAACAAGAGUUGAGUCUAAAACACAAGGAAGGCUACCCAAUCAUUAAUUCUAAUUAAAGUUAAACACCAACAACAAACCCAGAAGAAGAAAAUUGAAAACCCUAAAAUUCGACCCCAAUAGCAAACCCUAAAAUUCAAAAAUUCUAAUUAAAACACAAAUUUACAUAAUCAAUUGCAUAAUUAGAGAGAAAAUAAUAACUAGAUUCAAUCAAUUGCAAGAAAAAUAGGAGGAGGGGGAAGAAUAGAGGGAGGGGCGGAAUCCCAAAAUAAGAAAAUUGAAAAGACGAAAAUGUGAUUCAAACGAAGAAGAAGACUGUGAGAAGACAUACCUGGGAUGAGAAAGAUGGCGCCUGGAGAGGAAGAGAGAGUGCCUGGAGCGGAAGAAUUCGUCUGGAGAGGAGCGGAAGAAUUUGUCUGGAGAGGAAGUGGAAGACUGCGUCGGGAGAGAAGAGAGCCCGACUAAUUAUACCGUGAAAAUGGGUGGUAUAAGCAAGCGGGUACACACCGUGUAAAAAAGGUGGGCCCGGAUUAUUUAAUCCGGUGCUUAUUUAAUCCGAACUGUCACCAAACACCGUACACCGUAUUAUUAGUACUAUCCGAUCCGUUAUACGGUGUGCCAAACAUGGCCAAAGUGCAGAUCCAUAGAGAGAUUUGAGAUAUAUAACAAUUUGGAAUACAUUGUGCUGAUAACGUUUGAAAAAUGAAAUAAUUGAUUUCUAGAGAUGAUUUAUGGUAUUGAAAAAUUGACGGUUAUGAUAAAAAAUAUUGCUUUUACGAUAAUUCGUAUUGUUAGUUUGUUUGAUUUAUAUGGAUGAUUAGAAGUCUUCAAGUUCACUGAAUGUUUCUAAAUGAUCUUUAAUAAUCAUUAAGAGAAUUAAUUGUUUCGAUUAUGAUACGGUAAAAUGAGAUCACAGUAUCAUUUAAGGAUUUCUUUUUACAUGUAAGGAGACAUGUAGUAUCUCUAGUUAAAUCAUUGUGUUCAUGGUGGCAUACACUUAGGUUGAAAAAUGAUUCUUCUAGUGUUCUAGCUUGUCUCCGUUUCGGAUGACUUUAUUCCUCCAUGAUUAAUUGGUACGCAAUAGUUCCGCCAAGAUGAGCUUUGCCUUCCUCAACAUUAGUGUGACAUGACUCCCUCCGCAGGUGGUUAUUGUUUCUUUGCCUUCCAAUUUUCUUGGCUUGCCAUGUUACGAACUUUUAAAUUAGUGUGAAUCUCGACUUAGCCUCACUCUUUUCCCCCAACAUUUUUUUUAAAAGCCAACUUUCUAGUGGUUUAAAACACGUUGGCUACAGAGUCAACUUGCAACUGGUCAUAAAGCCAAUUUUGUAUGAAGCAUUUACUUAAUUAUGCUCCACUUGCAGAUUCAACCACACCAUAUAGCAGAGAGCAUCUCAAACUACUCAAAAAGAUUGCAAACUUUGGGAAGACCAAUUUAGUAUUGCAAACUUGAAGGUGGGUUGUCUGCCAUCCUAUUUUCAUACUCUUUAGAUUUCCUUUUAUUUGUGUGGUCACAGUUAGGCCAUAUCAACAUUUUAUAUUUUUUUUUUAUAAAAAUAAUAAAACAAAAAAUAAUAGGAAUAUAAAAUGUUGACGUGGCUUAACCGUGACCACACAAAACAGAAAUGGAUGAUAAUAUGGAAAUGGGAGGGCUGACAAUCCAUCUCUUGCAAACUUUGGGUAGCCGAUUAUACAUUAAAUGGCCCAGCUGAUUAGACAUGUUCAGCUGUAAUUUGUUUAAUUAAUGUCAUUCAUUAGUACUUGGACCAAGGGAUUUAGUACAGAUCAACAGUAAUUUGAGACUUAUUUGUAUAAAAAGAAAGUGGUUACCACUAUUGUCAAUAAAUUUGUAAAAAAAAUCAUAAGUAUUGAACAAACCAGUAUAAAAAAACAGACGGGUCUAGAUGGGUGAAAUGAUGGAUUAUGAUCAACGGGUGCCCAUCUAUACUCUAUAAUCUAUAUAUCACCCUUAUCAUUAUCACAAGCACAAACAUCAUCACUCACCACUAUAAUUAAAGCAUAUCUACACUUAAAUAGACCUGCAUUUAACUAAAUGGGUACCCAUUAAUUAUCCGCAUGUGAUCAGUUUAACAAUCUUUCUGAACAUAAUAAAUAUUGCACAAAUAGCAUCAAAAUUUUAUUACUCCAUGAUCUCAUAACAAACAGUACGUGAAUAAAUUGUUUAAAUCACAUUUCUAAGCCUUUUUUUUUUUUUUUUUUUUUUUUUUGAAACAGAAUCACAUUUCUAAGCCUUUGUUAUGAGUGUAAUACACCAGUCCAGUACAAACUUCACAACUACUAUCACAGUGUGUGUAACCCAGAAUAAAAGGGUUGAAAGAAUCAAGUGUGGCUAGUGCUACGAAACUAACUACUCAUCAAUGGAUUGUGUAAAAAAAUAAGUGAGAGCUGACUCUCCAUGCCGUUACGGGAAGACUGAUAAAAAAUGUCUUGGACCUGAAAACAGUAGAGCAGAGCAGUAGAGAUGUUAUAAAAACAUCCAACCUUUCGUUACAAUUCAUCUUCUAACAUGUUUACCCCUACGAACAUGUCAUCUAACCUUUAGUUAAAAAUAUCACAUUUCAAGAUGUUAAUCAAAGGACAUAUGCAGCUUUCCACAAACAACUUCUUUUAUAUGCAUAAUCUAGAAGAAAAAGUAAUGUCUUAGUUAAUUUAUGAUUCGUUUCAGUGUAAUUCUAACUAAUGAUUUUGUACCUUCACUUACAAGAUAAACAAAUAAAUAUCACCAAAUAUACACAUGUAAAAUAAAUUCCGUGAAGAAGAUUGUACCUCAUGAUAAAAUGACAAGCCCUAGAUACACCGAUGCAGAAAAAAAUAUAAACGAUAUCAAUCCCCUGCAUAUAAAGAUUAUGAGUAAUUAGGUUUUCAUCCUUAUUUUUACUACUCUAUUGAUUAAAACCUUAUUACUUUUCAGUUUUUUAUCAAGGUCCUUUGUAUUAAUAAUAUCAUUAAUUAUUUCAAUAAUAAAAUAUUUUUUAUUUCUAAAUAUAUUCAUUUAAUAUUAAAAAUGUUACAAUUAGUAUAUUUAUAUUUAUGGCUAAAUUUUUUAUCAUAUAUUUUUAUUUUUAGUUUGUACCCAUUUUUAAUUUGCAACCCUUUUUUAAUUUGUACCAAUUUUCCUUUCAAUUUUAAUUUGUACCCAUAUAUUAAUUUCUUUUUGUGCCUAUAUUUUUUAAAGUUUUAUUUGUAUUGUACCCAUUUUUAUUUUUGCUAAAUGUACCCAUUUUGAAGAAUGUACCCAUGUUUUGAUACAAUAAUUUUUGGUUAUUUUUAUGAAUGUACCCAUGUUUACACACACACACACAAUAGUAUAUUUAUAUUUUAAUAUUUUUAAUCCCACAAAUUAUGUUUUUUAUUUAAAAUCUCAUUACUAUAAACAACUAUAAAUUUUAAUUUUUAAUUUAAAAAAUAUAGUAACGUACAUAGAAAUAAAUUAUCAAUUAAUUUUAGGGACUUGGAUCAAAAAUUGAAAACCAACAAAGUUUCAGUCAAAAAUUAUUCAUAACUAGGGAUCGCAUCCAAAGUCUCCCUAAAGAUUAUUAUGUUACAAAAAACGUCAAGUUUUAAUCAUCAGUACAAUUACGUUUUUUUACCAUUACAUCUAAAAUCUUAAAUAAGGAAUUUCAAGUUUUAAUCAUCAGUAUGCUUAUAAGACUUACCAAAUCACUCCCCAUCCAACCCCAUUACAGGGGCAGGGGCAAACUUCUGCAAACUUCUCAGCGUCACUGGAGUUGACUCUUAUAGAUGUUAAAUCAUCAUAUAUAUCUGCGACAAUUACAGUCACGCGAUAUAAAAUCAGUGAUUCAAAUGUUCAAAAUAGCUGAUAUAUAUAUAUAUAUAUAUAUAUACAGAUUGCUUAAGGGAAGGGAUCCCCAUUUUUUUUUAAAAAUGGGGAUUAGGUGUGGGGUCUACUCCACAUCGAAUUUCAACGAUCCGAACCAUCUAUUUUGUUAGUCUCGAUUCAUAGAUCAUCCUUGCAAAAUAUUAGCUAAAUUGGAAAUGUUUAAGACAUCUAAUUGGGUUCAAGGAAAUGAACGAAUACUUUGUUAUAUAAGAAAAAAUGAAAUUUAAUCUUGAUAAUUAAAUAGGCAAAUGGUUUCGGAUUGAAUUGAAUUUUUGCAAGGAUGAUCUAUGAAUCGAGACUAACAAAAUAGACGGUUCGGAUCGUUGGAAUUCGAUGUAGAGUGGGCCCCACACCUAAUCCCCAUUUUUUUCAAAAAAUGGGGAUCCCUUCCCUUAAGCAAUUUGUAUAUAUAUAUAUAUAUAUAUGUUAACAAGAAUCACUGAGAAUUACCAUAAACUGAAAACAAACUGUUCAUCACACCUGCAAUUUGAAAAGCAAAAUAUAAGAAACUUUUCAUUUCGCAAUUUGCACACAAGAGAUGUAGCAAUGCAAGACUAAGCGCUUCAUCUCAGAAAGUAAAGAUUUGAAAAGAUAAGAAUGUACCAAUGAAGAGAAUAACGUAGCGAAGAACACGGACUUUCGUAAAUUCUUGCAGAACCCAUAUUAUAGCAAGGAAUACAAUAAAUCUUGAAAGACUCAUCAACAAGGAUCGGUAAUGUGUGGAAGUAUGUGAAUAAUAUAAAACUAAGACGUAUUGCACGCAUGCGAAGAUACUCACCAAUACAAAGUCCUCGAAGUGUCCACUGUAUAAAACAUUAGAAUUUUUUGAACGCAAGAGUGAAGAAAUUAAGAUCCUGAAAGUUCUAACACAAAAAUAUGAGAAUGGAGCUAAAACAUUAUUGUCUGCAUAUGUUUACUGCUCUCUUACAUUUUUUGCCAUAAAAAGCACAACUAGCAGGGCAACGCCAAAACAACCAGCAGCAAUUCGAGCAGUUAUGAGAUUUGUGGAUGCGAGUAUUAAAGCCAUUCCCCAAAAUGAUGAACCUAGAUCUGGAGGCAGAAAGAAAUACGAAACCAUGAGAACCAAGAUCUGGAUACAAGUCAUGACUAGUUAGUUUAACACAAAAGCCAAUUUUAAAUAAGACCGUAAGAAAAAUACAUAUUUUGAAGCCAACAUGGUUUGCAUAUAACACCGGAAUGCAUGAAGUAUGAAACCAUGAGAAACAGUCCUACUUCAGCAUCAGAUGCCAUGUUCAGUGCCAGCACACACAAUCUGCUCGUUUCAUGAACUGAGACACAUCUUAGACAAUCGUAUAUUGAAGAUGAAGCAUAACAAACUGAGGAUGGAAAAUAGUUUCUGAACGACAAAUGCAAGUGUGAGAAAGUGAGAAACUUAAUAUGAGGAACUAUGUAUGCUCAAAUCCAGUAAGACACUAGUAUUCAUGUUUACAACUUCUAAAAUUGCAUUUCAAAGUUUAAGCCCAUAAUUGAUGUCUCGUGAAGUACAAAAAUAAUGAUACAUUGCAAUGAAAAGUAAAGUUUAGGGACAAAGGUGUAGUACAUCCUGCAGGCAAGAUCAACCAAUAUAUACCACCACGUGUUUGUGUCACCCCACCCUCAUCUGCGUGAACCUGGUACCCUCCACCUACAAAUCAAUUCAAACUAUGAGACCCAUCAGUGACAUACAACUGCCCUAGAAGCUAAGGGCAUUUAAUGUAGUGGUAUGUGAUAGCAAGUUUGCAAAAUGUGUUGUACUGUAUAUCACCCUUCUAAACAGAAGCACUUAGUAAACUAUGCUUAACAUUCACCAUCAGAAAGCUUCAACUAUUGCAAGUUUGGACAUUUAGAAAACCUAGGAACCUAUGAGAUGCCAAGGAAUAGGAAAUAUACAGGAAAAUUUAAAAGAAAUUAAUAAAACAAACACAUAAAUAAUACAAUCCAUAAUUAUGAUGAUGAGAAUUAAAAUAAGUUAGCGACAACAGUAAUUGCGAGAAUGAACCUAUUGAAGAUAUGCAACAUUCCAGAAUGGGCCAAAGCAGAACAAGCUUUAGUCCGUUGAUAAGCUUUUCUAGAAAAGAAAUGCGAGUCAUUGAUCAACCUUCUAAAGAGAAAAUAUUGUAAGAGAAGCAAGGAAUAAGUUUUUCAGCUAAGGAUCUUUUCAAUCCCAGGAUGAAUUAAGGACUUGAUGAAUCAGAAUUCGGUGUACUCGUGAUCAAGUGUUUAAACUCAAACUCAUGCAACAAGAGAGGUGAAUUCUUACAUAACAAGCAAACGACUUUGAAAACAACAGACCAAGUUUGAAAACUUUAAUAUUAACUUGUAAGAAAUAUGACGCGAAGAUGUUUGUAAACAGGAAACAAUUAGGGAAUACGGUGGCCUAUGGUGCCAACCUUAAUUAAUACUUUGUUUGAAAAACCUAGUAGUUCUAAAACCAAUAUUUGUGAAGAUCAAGAUAAGUGCAAGAGCUCUGGUAACAGCGAAUGACUGAAAACUUUGCAAGCAUGAAGACUAUGAAAGCUUUGAACUUCACAAGGAUUGUCUGAAAUGAUAUCUUUGAAUGCAGUUUUAGCUGAGAAGCUCUGUUAAAUCAAAAUGACCAACAACAUUGUCUAACAAUUUGUGGGAUUAUGAUCAUAUUUGACCUUCCUUGGGCUCUUACAACCAUCCCCAAACUCGUUCGUUGCCCUAUUGUUUUCAAAUUAUACCUUCCUUCUGCUCAUGUCCCUCAUCAAGACUUUGUUAUCAUGGUUCUACACACAUCUUGGAUUAGCUUCCUAUGAGCGAAUUCAACCCAAUGAGAAAACAGGGCACACUAAAAUACAGAGAGAACAAGAAAAUACGUUGGUUUAGACAUAUUUACUUGGAUAAGUAUACAUAUCUACUUAAGGAUAUCCUAAACAAAGUACUUCAAAUUGUUAUAUGGUGUAGAUAAUUCCACAUCAGAAAUUUAAAACCUAGCAUAGCAAUAUAUAAGAUGUUUAGCCUCUCAAAACAUUGCCAAUUGGUUUGGGUUGAACGCUCUAAAUUUUAUCACAGCCCAGAGCAUCAGUGAUCAAAGGCUGUGGUAAUGAUAAAAAGUGAUAAUUUUUAUGAAGAGGACAAGGACUGGUCAGAGAAUUACAAGAUCUGAGUUCUAAACUAAUGGUUAUCAUAGUGACUUUACUCCGUGAGAGUAGGUACUCCGAAACUGCAUAAAGAAAUUCAGUGAAACGAACACUAAAUAACAGAAGUCCUGGUACAUUGAACCACCGGUCAUUCAAUCAAACAACAGAAGGCCUGAUACACUGAAUCACAUAAAGAAAUUUAGUGAGGAAAUAUCACCGAGGCCAAAGAAAAAGAACACUAAAUUUUACUCAAUCGUCCAAACUUUGUCCCUUGCUUCUCUACAAAGCAGGGUCAUACAGAAGAUUAGUUCCACUCAAAGUCAGUGACACUGAGAUUUUCGUUCUAAUGGACUCCACAAAUAAACACCAAAAAAUGAUUUCCCUUGGAUCCUUGACUAAGAUACUGGCAGCACAACAUGAUACUGUGUCUGUUAAAGAUCCUUAUUUCCUAGCUUGAAGUUGUUAACAAGUGAAUCAAUUACAUUUAUUAUUUUGUGAACUUGUGUAUAGAGUCUAUCACCAAGAAAGCAAUUUUUUGGAAGAACUGGAGUCCUUGAAAAUAGAAAUUUAUACAAGAAAACAGUUAUUCUUUUCUCUUUGGAUCUGACCACAUCAUUUAAGAAGCAAAAAAAUAGAAAACAUUAAUCAGCUUCUCCUUACCUUGCCAUAUGUGAGUAUGCAAGCAAUUGCAUGGCUUGCUUCAUGCAAGAAGACCGUGACGAGCUUAAAAGGCGUGAGUAGUAUUGUCCUCCAAAGCUUUAACAGUAAGAAAAAACUUUUUGAUCAAAAGGCUAACUGGAUCAAGUAAGUGCUAAACCAAUAAGGAGAUUGAUUAAAAAUAAGUAAAAAAUAACGCAGGAUAUAUUUAGCCAAAUAAACAUGGCCCUCUAGAAAUCAUGUAAGAUUAGCCAAAUAAAUUCUAAGUUAUUCUGCUAUAUUCAUAUCCAUCCCCAUUCUCAUCUAAUCUCUUCGCACAACCUCAAACAGCACUAUGAGCUUUCCCAACUCCUCUAGGUGCAUUGCCAAUGGUCUUAUCAACGGAUUCCCUAGUUACACAUGACCGACUGCAUUGCCAAUGCUCAAAUCUCAUCUUGGUUGCAUGUCUUCAUCUUUCCCUGGUUGCUAAUUCCUCAUUCACACAUUGAUUCUAAUAUCAUAUACACACAUGUCCACUCUUGUUUGAUGACCAUUUAAAGAUAAACAUCACGCAAAAAUGUCAUUUCCAAAGUGACAUUUCGUUUGGAAGGAAAAGAAAAGAACAAAUCUUAUGAAAAGUCUUACUUUGGAAGCUAAAACAAGUUCUAACCCCAUUCCGAAAGUCUAUCCACCACAUAGCUUCAUGUAUUAUUAAGUUGUUAAGCAUAACUUCUCCACAACAAUCAUUAACCAAGAAAAUUCCAGUGGAAAAUAAAAACGGGGUUUCAGAAAUCAACCUUGUUUGUCCAAAACCAUUAAAAACCAACAAGAAGUUGAAUAUAACAAACUGUUAAGAAAAAAAAAUCAAACGGAUAGUAAUAUAUUGGGCCUUAAAUUUUUCCAUUUCUAAAAUCCCAAUUCAAUUAUCUGGUCAACAAGUGGACUAUAACCCCUUUAAGUUUCAAGCUGAAGAAACCAUAACAAAAACACCGGAAAGACCACUCUUGAGCUUUCUUUCAACAAUUUACAGUUUACUUUCCCGGGAAACAAACAGUUUAUGUGAAUUGAAAAAAUAAAGAGAGAGUAAGGCAUACCGCGAGGAUGACAACUGUGAAGACUCGAAUAGUCGCCAGGAAGACGACCUGGUCAUGCUUGCAACAGCUCUUCAGCUCCCAAUUCGGCAUUCUUCAAACCCAAGAAACCUGAGAGAGAUAGAGAAAGAGCAGGAAAGGCACAGAAAAGUGGUGGUUCUAUUGUCUCUUCACUUUCUUCUUUUAUUGGUCAAAUAUUUAAAUAGAUACAGUUGGUAUUUUCUCAUUGAAAGAACGUAAUGGUAGUAGCGCGUUUACAGCAGUUUUUGAACUUUGAGAUCAAUCUAACUGUAUCUAGGCUUACUAACUUAAAUCUCCGUUUCACACUAAAAAAUAUUGGGAUUGCUGGAUUUUUAGAAACUGCUUAAAAAAUUCAACAAUUCAAAGAAGGCUACCGAACAUUUUACCAAGCAGCCCUCCUUUCUUUUUUUUUCGUCGAUGGUGUCCAAACAAAAACAUGUCAUGUUUUUUAUACGCCAAAAAAUUAGAAAAUCCCAAAGAGACGGAGAAUCCAUCUUCUUGAACGCGUGAGCCAUGGACGACGAGUUUGUUGUUUGCCGAUUAGAAGAGACUGAAUGCGUGAAUGUUUCUUUAAAAUAAUAGAUAAAUAAAUAAAGAGGAUUAUUAUUGGUACUCCAAUAGGAUACAAUAAGAUAAUUUAUGCUUAUAAAUUUAUUUAUCGUUUAAUUAAUCUAAAGACUCAUAUGAAAAAUAACCUCACAAGUCCUCUAAAUGAGAACUUUAGGUGAGCGUCGUUGUUUUGUAAAAGCAUUUUUAUUGUUUAAUGUUGUAACAAUUUCAUUUCUUUUCUUACUUUUCUAGUUUCCUUUGGAGGGAAGACAAGACAAUGUUAGACUGACUUUUUUUUCUGAACAAAAAAAAAAAAAAAAAAAGACCAGCUAAUGAUAUUGUCGUUUAGAGAGAGUUGUCUCUUACACACACGCAUGAAGGAUGUUAGUACAUAGAAAGAUUGAACAAAUUGAGUAAAGAAAGACCAAAUCUCACCAAAGGGUUGAAAGGGCCAAUAACAUGACAAAAAUCCAACAUUGUCGUAUAAAAUAAGAUGGGGUACUUUAAAUGCCCCCUUUGAGAUUGAAUUGUUAUAGAUUUUACAACCAUUUUAAAUUUCAAACCAAAUAAGUUUUUGAACCUUAUAAAAAAAGAAAAAAAUUAGAAAAAUAAUCAAAUUUUAUACUCCAUAUAGAUUUAUAGUAAUCAUUUUAAUUUUAUAAUAAUCAAAACACAACCUAUAUAUGGUACAAUUUCAAUCUCCAAAAGGAUACAACAGCCGUACGUUUACCUUGGGCUGCGCUUUCAUUGUUCAAUCACCCAUCAAUUUUAUAACUUUAUUGGAAGUACCAAGAUGCCUACCAAUUUAAUCUUGAAGACUCUGUCUACUUUUGUUAAUUGAUAUACAUACCGAUCUCAGUAAUUGAUAUGAAAGGUACGUAAUAUAUGUGGGAUUUGAAGAGGACAAUGACAUAACAUAAAUUGUACUAUAUUCUGUGAACCUGGUUCAACAUAAAGGGUGUAUAGAAUUGUUAAUAAUUCUAAUGAUUAAACUAUCAUGUUUCAAUGGUUUGGAACCAUGGUCUAAAAUAUCCAUAAUAUCCCGAUAUUUCUAUCGAAAUUUCCGUGUUUUUGGACUACCGAUAUUUUUUUGGACUAUCGAUAUUUCUGAUAUCAUCCAUAUUUUAGACCUUGCUAAGUCACUCAUGUAUCUUACCAUGCAAUGUAUAAAGUGUAAAAUAUUGUACUAAUUCAUUAUAUAUAAAUGAUUAUGGUGUGUUUAAACUUCUUUCAUUAAUUACUACAUAUUUUUUACACUCACAAUGUUUGCCAGCUCGCUAUAAUCAACUUAAAUCAGUUAUAUCCAUCAUGCAAUGCAUUUCCUUCCAAUUUUUUGUAAUAAACUAAUAGAUAAUUGACUAAAUAAACAUCCUGCAAAGUUUCAAUAAAAAUUUCCAAGUUUUUCUUACAAUUUCCGUGGUUUUUAUUCAAUUUUUAUCGAUAUCGAUAAUAUCCCGAUAUUUUUAUCGAAAUUUCCGUGUUUUUGAACUACCGAUAUUUCCGAUAUCAUCGAUAUUUUAUACCUUGUUUGGAACAACUCUUAGUUCCUAACUUUUGUAUCUCAAAUUUUUACAUAGUGCCACAUAUAUAUGUUUAACAUUUCUUGUUUUCACAUGGUUGAACCAUUAUGCAUGUAUCUUCCAUUAAUCACUAUGCAUUGCAAGUACGUGAGGGGGACUUAUAUCGUAUAAUUGACCUAAAUGCAAAGACAUGCACAUGCAGAAGGUUUGAUCUUGAUCAACUUCCAUGUGUCCAUGCAACUGUUGCAUGUCGAAUUUGCUACACAUCAUUAUACAGUAUGUGCUCCCAAUUCUACACAAUCAAUGCAAUUGUGCUAGCGAAUGCGAAGCUCAUUUGGCCGAUUGGAAACAAGAGUGAAUGGAGUGUGCUUGAAAAGGUGCAGAAUAGAGUGUGUUACCCACAAUUAGACAAGUUGUAUUUGGAAGAUGCAAGACAAAUAGAAUCCCAUCUCAGGGGGAGGAAAUGAUGGUGAAGAAAUGCAGUCGAUGUGGUGGAACAUGCCACAUUCGCCAAAUUUGCAAGAAUCCAAGUGGACUCCAUUCCAGCGCAUGAUCGUGAAUGUUUUUCUUCGGAAUUUAUUACUUUAUUUGCUUUUAUAUCAUUCGAGUUUAAGAACAAAAGAUGCAAAGAGUUUAUAUGAUAUGUUUGCUGGUUUAACAUACGACUUUCCAAGGUUUGUGUUUUGUAGUUAUUCAUGCAGUAGUGUUCAAAGAUAUAUUACUUAAAGGGGCUUUUGUUUUUCAUUUUUUUUUUUGUUUUUAAUUUAUGCUUUCAUUUUGGUUUAAAGGUUGCAGACAUCAAAAUGUGUAGUUAAAGGUUGCAGAUAUCUAAAGAUAGUUUAAAGGUUACAUACAAUAAUGUGGGGAUUCGGAAAACUCUUUCCAUCUAUUAUAAGUUAUGUUCUGGUUGUUGUGAGACCCUAAAAUUAAGGGUAUAUUAGUAUUUUUACAUUAAAAUUUUGGUUAUAAUUAUCAUAAAAUUAAAAUGGUGGUUAUGAGACAUAAUUUAGUUCUUUUCAAUUUCUUGCCCAAGGUUGGGUAGAUGGGCAUGGGGAGAUUAAUGUGGGUAAGGCUGGAGGGAGGAAGCUGGACUCACUGCUCAACGACAGUGUUGCAAGGUUCUUGUUUGUUUUGAAAAACACAAGGACUGUAUAUGUAGGAAGUGUAGAUGGAUGGAAAUACUUAACAAGUUUAUGAGAAAUCUGAGUUGCUACAGCAAAGCUCUUGUAUUACUUCUUAUUGUAACUCUCUUGAUACAAAAUGAUAUGCCAAAGGCUAUAUAUAUAGUGAAUACAAAGUACUAGAGAGUUCUAACUAGAGAGUUCUUCCUAGAUAACUUAACAGACAUAGGCUAGGAACAAUGACUCUAGAAUAAUUGUUCUUGGGAAUGUCUAGAGUCUUAACAUUUAGGAUAGUGCAUUAAUUCCAACACUCCCCCUUAAUGCACUUUCUUCACAACUCCAAUGAACUAUGAGGUAGCAAAACUUUUCUUUCAGAAGUGCCUUGGUGAGUAAGUCCGUUAGCUGCUCAUCCGUUCGACAAUAUUCAAGCUGAAUUUCUUUCUUCUCAACAACUUCUUUAACAAAAUGGUAUUUGACUGCAAUGUGCUUGGUACGAUCAUGAUUAACUGGAUUUUUGCCAAUUGCAAUGGCUGACUUGUUGUCACAGUACACUACAAUGCCUCAUUCUUGAUUUUUUCAGAUAUCUUUAAGAAUUCUUCGAGGCCAUAUGACUUGAGAUGCUACUUUUGUUACUGCCACAUACUCUGCUUCAGCAGAUGAUUGUGCCACCACAUUUUGUUUCUUCGUACGCCAAGAACAUAUCCCUGAGCCAAGAGAGAAAAGGUAGGCCGACGUACUUUUCAUAUCAUCAAGACAUCCAGCCCAAUCACUAUCGGUGUACCCGAUAAGCCCUAAACUUCGAGUUUUAGCCAUAAUUCCAUAGUCAAGUGUGCCCUGCACAUACCUUAACACCCUUUUUCCAACACCAAAGUGAAGCUGACUUGGUUCCUCCAUGUAUCUUGAAAGCAUACUUGAAGCAAACAUGAUAAUCGGCCACCGAUCAAACUUUGAUACUUUGUGGCAUCAACUUUCUUUGCACCAUCAUAUUUCUUCAUCUUUUCAUUAGGCAUCAAAGGAGUAGCCACUGUUUUGCAGUUAGACAAAUUGAACUUCUUGAGCAGACUUUUUGCAUAUUUCUUUUGAGAAAUAAAUAUCCCAUUUUUGGUUUGAGAAACUUCAAUUCCCAAGAAAUAAUGAAGCAAACCCAGAUCACUCAUCUCAUAGGUGCUCAUCAUAUCUUUCUUGAACUACUGUAACAAACUUUGAUCAUUUCCAGUGAAGACUAAGUCAUCCACAUAUAAGGAAACAAUGAGAAUGGAAGCUCCUCUCUUCAAAACAUAGAGUGUAGGCUCACUUACGCUCUUUUUGAAACCACGCUUGGCAAAAUACUUAUCAAUUUCAGCAUACUACGUUCUUGGUGUUUACUUUAACCCGUAAAGGGUAUUUUUUAGCUUGUAAACUUUGUCUUCUCCCCCUUCAAGCACGAAACCUGGAGGUUGUUUAACGUAAACUUCUUCUUCCAACACUCCAUUAAAAAAAUACAGACUUUACAUCAAGUUGAUAAAUCAACCAAUUCUUUUGAGCAGUAAGAGCAAUCAAAGUUCUAAUAGUUUCCAACCGUGCAACUGGAGCAAAGGUCUCAGAAAAAUCAAUACAUGGCUUUUGCUUAAAGCCUCUUGCCACGAGCAUAGCUUUGUGCUUUUGAAUGCUCCCAUCUUGAUUGAAUUUUGUCUUGAAAAUCCACUUCACAUCCAUGACAUCUCUAUCUUGUGGAUAAUCAACCAGCUCCCAUGUUUGAUUUUUCUCGAUCAUUCUCAUCUCCUUUUUCAUGGCUUUCACCCAUAUUUCAUGAUUUUGUGCCUCUUCAAAGCUUUCCAGCUCUAAACCAACGAAAUUGCAAGUCUUGUACACUUCUCGUAGAUUUUGAGUUCUUAAUGGAGGACUUUCUGAUGAAGAGUAGUUCGGAGAAACGGGUUUUGCAUUUGAACUGCUUCCAGCAUCAUUUGAAUUUCUUCUACCGGCAACUACUGGAGUUUGAGGAAUGACUUUUUUCUUGCUGCUACUCUCUUGGAAUUUCACCUUCUUCUUGCACAAUUGCUUAUGGCAUCUCCUGCACUUUAUUAUCAUUCCAAUCCCAGCUAGCUUUUUCAUUAAAAAUCACAUCUCUACUCACAAUCAAUUUCUUAGUUUCAACAUUAUAAAGCCUAUAUAACCUUUGGUGUUGGAACAAUAGCCAAGUAAGACACAUUUUUGGCUUUUUUCAUCAAGCUUAGUUCUCUAAUAGUUUCCAACCGUGCAACUGGAGCAAAGGUCUCAAAAAAAUCAAUACAUGGCUUUUGCUUAAAGCCUCUUGCCACGAGCAUAGCUUUGUGCUUUUGAAUGCUCCCAUCUUGAUUGAAUUUCGUCUUGAAAAUCCACUUCACAUCCAUGACAUCUCUAUCUUGUGGAUAAUCAACCAGCUCCCAUGUUUGAUUUUUCUCGAUCAUUCUCAUCUUCUUUUUCAUGGCUUUCACCCAUAUUUCAUGAUUUUGUGCCUCUUCAAAGCUUUCCAGCUCUAAACCAACGAAAUUGCAAGUCUUGUACACUUCUCGUAGACUUUGAGUUCUUAAUGGAGGAAUUUCUGAUGAAGAGUAGUUCGAAGAAACGGGUUCUGCAUUUGAACUGCUUCCAGCAUCAUUUGAAUUUCUUCUACCAGCAACUACUGGAGUCUGAGGAAUGACUUCUUCUUGCUGUUGCUCUCUUGGAAUUUCACCUUCUUCUUGCACAAUUGCUUAUGGCAUCUCCUGCACUUUAUUAUCAUUCCAAUCCCAACUAGUUUUUUUCAUUAAAAAUCACAUCUCUACUCACAAUCAAUUUCUUAGUUUCAACAUUAUAAAGCCUAUAUAACCUUUGGUGUUGGAACAAUAGCCAAGUAAGAUACAUUUUUGGCUUUUUUCAUCAAGCUUAGUUCUCUUUUCAGUGGGAAUAUGAGCAUAACAAAUGCAAUGAAAAAUUUUGAAAUGACUCACCGAAGGUUUGAACCCGCUCCAAGCUUCAAAUGGAGUUUUGUUCUUUACGGCUUUGGUUGGACAUCUAUUAAGAAUGUAUACUGCUGUAUACACAACUUCUGCCCAAAAACGUUUUGGAAGCCCUUUCUCAUUUAUCAUGGAUCUAGCCAUCUCCACAAUCGUUCGGUUCUUUCUUUCAGUAAUUCCAUUUUGCUGGGGACUAUACCCUGCUGUCAAUUGCUUCCAAAUGCCUUCAUCUUUGCAAUAGACUUCAAAUUCAUGAGAGGUAUAUUCGCCUCCUUGGUCACUUCAAAUGAUUUUGAUGCUGCAAACACUUUGCUUUUCUACUAAAGCUUUGAAUUGUUUGAAGACAAUGAAAGUUUCUGAUUUCUUCUUCAAAAAAUAAACCAAUGUCAUCCUCGAAAAAUCAUCAAUGAACGUGAGAAUGUACCUGUGCUGGCUUAAGGAAGGAGUUGGCAUUUUGCCACAAAUAUCGGUAUCCACAAGUUCCAGUGGUGCCUUUGCUCUCCACGUGCUUUGACUUGGGAAUGAAUUACAUCGUUGCUUGCUCAUGACGCACCCUUCACAAGCAUCAGUUGUUGCUUCAAUUUCCGGUAACCCUUUCACCAUGCUUUUCUUCUGGAGAAGCUUUAGCCCCUGGAAAUUUAAAUGACAGAACCUCUUGUGCCAUAACCAAGAGUCUUGCACAACAUCAACCUUCUCCACAGCGCAUUGAAAGGGGAAAAGUUUGAUUUCCACAGAGCAUUGUAUUUUAGGUGAAUUAUGCAAUUGGGUCCCUAUAUUAUCUACGCAACGCAUCUAACAAGAAUGAGAUUGUAAAGCCAGUGGUGGUUGAUGUCAUGAAGAGAUAUGCUGCAGCUGAAGCAAUAAAUGUUAGUUUCAGCAAUCUAGCCCAGGCAUUUUUGGACAAACGUGAUUCUGAAACAACUUGAAGGCAAAGUAGUUUUUGUUAUUAGAUUAAGGUAUUGAGUCAAAUGCGUGUUGAUUAUUGGUCUUUGUUAACAUUUUUGUGUCGUCCUGAAAAAUUUUAUGUUUCUGUUUCGGGAUUCAAUUGUUUCUGAUUCCAAAUGUUUGCAUUUCAUCGCAAGAAAUACUAUAAUGAUCAGUUAGAUGUGGAUCCAAAUUUGCAAGAGCAGCAUUCCAAAUUACUUGAUAACUCUUCGAGUAGUCUAUUAUUAUCAUGAGCUUUAGCUUCUUUUUUCAUUUCUCGUUCAAGGAGGCACACAACCAUAACACAUUGAAGAGUAUUGACUCGAUAGAAGGCUUGAGGUGAAGGCUUCGUUGUAGAGUUGACAUAUGAAGAUGUAAGAAACAAGAUUCGUUUGAUUUCCUCAGUCGACCCUUCUUAAUGUAUGUGACAUAGUGAUUCUAACUUUUGGUAUUUGAGGAAUGAGACGCUCCAAUUUACUCUGUUAGGUACAUUGAGCAAGAAAUGACUGAAACUGUAUGGGUAGAAUUUUGUCAAUACCAAACAGUUUUUCGAUUUUUUUCUUUCUUUGUUUUGUUAUUUUCUUAUAAAAAGUUCAUACAUGGUUCUUCACUAUUGUGUUGCGUAGGGUAGUGUGGUUGCUUUGGUUGUUUCUACCAUUGUUCUUGGUUAUAACCUAAUGAAUUGCAAUGUGAAGUCAUAAGCAAUUGAUUGCCCUUUUGUUGUUACCGGUUCUCGGAACACAUACAACUAUUCCACCGAGAAGAAAAGAAAUUUGCAGACGAGAACAAGGAAAUAGAAUGAAGAGAAGACUGAUUCAAUCAUACACAGAGACAAACACAAAAUAUGAGUUGAACGAAUUGCUAGAUAACCAUGCACUGCAUUGCAUUGAUGUUAACUUAUGAUUUUGAAUGUCUCGAGAAAUAUCAGUAGCAUCUUAGAUUAUAUAUUUAGACAAAAGAAAGAUCACGUUGUGUGUUUUCUUGUGUAUGUGCUUUUGCGAUUGUAUUGUUAGCUAGUUUGAGCUUUUCCAUGUGCACCUCAGUUUAGAGAUUUCUUGAAUUCAAAAAGCAAUCGGAGAACUUGUGACCCGUUAUGUGUGUCUUCGAGGAUGAGAUGGACCGAAUGGACAGAACUAUUCAAAUUCCGUGACUGUUAACAGAGAAGUUUUCACAGAGAAAUGAAGAGUGCAGUGCAGGAGGUGCCGAGUAGGGGUCGGUUGUUAUGUCAGUUAAAAUUCCCCUCUACCCCAUUAAAGUAUAUCACAUGCAUGUCACGUGAUAUUUUUGUCGGAAAAUUUAGUAGAACGAACGGAAAGCACCAAAAUUAUAACUUAGAUAGACCGCCAGACCUAUUUGGAAUAACCAAGACCAAAACGCAAAUUGGGUUUAGCUCAGGACAAUCCUCAUUGUUAAGCAUAUAACCUCGAUGAUUACAGCGUUAUACUCUACCAUUACAUAGGAAAAAAGUUUCCACAAUCUUCCCUCUUUGUACGAAAUAAGAACAUGUAAACAAAUAAACAAAAUUUCAUAAUGUUCCGGUGUAUGAUAUGCAUUGAAUAAUGAGAAUGUCAAUUUUUUUUUUUAAUUAACGAUCAAAACUCUGAUACAUACCAUAUGCUUCCGUGCAUAAAAAAGAAACCCAAACCCUAAUUCUUAUCAUUUCUUUAUGGGUUCAUGGUCCAACAGCAAAGGUGGGGUCAUUGAAGUGAAUUGCUCAACCACCAAUUGCAUACUUUUCAGUUGCUUUGUUAUUCAACCAAGAAACAUCAAGAAAAAAAAAAAAAAGAGGAGAAAAAUGCCUUUUCUUUGUAACAAGUGGGAAAAUGGCUUUAAUUAUUUGUUUAUCUUGCUUUAGUUACCAGUUUUAGCCACUUGUCAUGUGAGCAAACGCUAAAAGAAGCAACAAAGAAAAUAAAAAGCGGUAUAUAUAUCUAGGUAUGGUAUAUAAUUACAUCUCAACCCAAAAAUGCAACAAAUUAUAUACCCUACCUAUGGGUUCUUUCACCGUCCUCUUUGGGCUGCCCUACAAGUUAAGGGUUCCUUGCACAGCUGCGUUCCACACCAAAAAAAAAACAAAGAAAAAAAAGGGCUCAUUGGUUUAUAGUGCUGUACAACUGUAAUGAAUAUCGGCCUAUUUGCGAUUUUGGUUCUUAGAAUGUAUCUUUUGUGUAUGAAGCUCGGUCACUCUUUGAUUACAAACGAUAUUAUUCCUUUAUAUAAAAAAAAGUUUAAAUUCAAAAAGUAGUAAGUUUUUUUUUCUUCUUUUUUUAAAAAAAAAAAUAUAAAUUUAAGAUAUGACAUCCUUGUUGAACACAAAUGCAAUGAUAUAGGCAUCAAAACACAAGCAAAUUACGCAAUGUAUUGGGCGUAGCUCAUUUAUUAUUUAUGUGCUCAAGAGCUAACAAAUUCAUAUAUAAAUAAAUAUAGCGCUAAUGAUUUGUUUAAGUUUACAUUAUAACGUAGUCUUAUGAUUUGAAUCGUUGGAUCUAUAAAGUGCACAUUCAAGUAUUCCUGCAAUAAUUACAUAAUUAGAAAUCAUUUAACAUUUUGAUUGCUAACAUGAAUAUUUCGUUGUUUAUACUGUGUUCGAUCGUUUACAUAUUUAGUAAUAGUUGCAUAACUACUCGACAGUUUUAAGUGGUUUACAACAAACAAGCGAGUGGGAAGGUAUUAAAUUGUACUUUUUUCGAAUUGAGAUGAAGUGCAGAAGAGUUAUAAGUAGCCUCAAUGCCAAGAACAUGAUGCAAGGACACAAGAUUGUUUCAUAGAAAACAACUGACCAACUUGUGUGUAGGAGUAUCAUUGUAAGAAGAUAAAGAAAUAGAACAGUGAAAAUUAGAAUUACGAGUAGCAGAAAUGUUCUUUUGGUAAUCAUGUAACUAAGAAAUUCACGAUUCCUUAUCCUUAAAUUUAAUAUCAGACGUGCAAAAUAAAUAAAUAUAAGUAUACACACCGAGAUAAAAUGGUAUGCAGAAAUCAUUUCACACUCACAAAUACGGAAAAAUUAUAGGCUUUAAACUUUAAAACCAAUUAACAGAUUUAAUUAAAGAAUGAUUUUGUAAUUGUUUAUGAAAACUAGUUGAUGUGGUACGUAAGGUAUAUAACAGCACGUGGGAUUGGCUGCAUAUUUUUUAGAAUGCUACUAUGCUCGGCCGUAUAAGGUAUAAUCUUCAUUUAUCUACAAUGUGAAUUCUCUAUGAAAGAAAGAUAAGGGCUUGAGUAUGAUAAUAUUAACGCAGUGGUGGUGGUGCUGUAUGAUAAUAGGAAGAAAGUUUCAGAUAUGAAUCUGAAUUUUCUUGCUUGAGAAAUUUGACCUCCACUCUAUAUUCUUCUUUUGGUGUCUAUAUUAUUCUUUAAUUAUAUAGUUUUCUAGGUUUGAACUAAUAUAAUUAUUAAUUAUACUACUUGACUUCGGAUGCAGUUUCUUCAGAGCCCAUCAGCAACACUAAUGAAGAUGGGGGACCAUCAAUCUGUCAAAGAUUUUAGAAAGAUGGUACACCGGGGUACCAUAAGCCAUACAAAUGCGGUUCUCCUCUAACGUGGGAUCCAUAUUCUUCAUUAUGUUCCCUUACGUGAGAUCACCACAAAAGUGAAUCACACGUGUAGGAAUAAAUUUAGAAAAUUAAUUUAUCGGGGCAUAAUUAAGUAGUGGUAAUUAAUAUAAGUUCUCGUGGAAUUUCAAAAACAGCACACGCAGCAUUAUCUGUGGAGUCAAAUCCAUACACAUUAUGUGUUUAGCGUACAUUCUCACCCUUUGUUCUAUUUUAACAAUAUCUUAGGUCAAUAUUGUUCUAGUGAACUAAGAAAUAAAUCAUAUAUGUAUAAAGAUGGGAAGUACAAUUUAUAAGACGUACGAGAGAAGAGAGGGUUAAUGGGCUUUUUAUCAUUCUAAGAAAAAAAAAACUCACUCUAAAUUUAAAAACGGUGUGGUUUCCCUUUAAACAUAUAGACUUGUUUCAUGUUUCUUCUUCUUCGUUGUGAGUACCAUAACCAACUCUGCAACUAAUAUUUUUUGAGCUAUAUCUGCCUACUGAUUAUUUUGAUGAAAAGCAAGUGAUAGAAUUGAUUGUGGUGGUGAAUUGAUUAUUAUUCGCCGUAGUCUAAUUCGACGUCAUAUCAAAUGAUAUAAAUUUACUAUUUAAGCAGAGCCCUAAUUCUUAUCGAGACCGCCUUUGUUUUUUUUUUCCCAUGCCACAAACUUGAAGGAGGGCACGUGCCCUCUAGGGCCCUUAAUAAGAUUUGCCCAUGUGCACAUGCAACCAAUGUUACAUCUGUCAAGCGCAAGAUCAUGACUAUAGUAAACACAAUAAUUCGGACAAAAACAAGUUGAGACCCAAUUCAAACCUUGUCAAACAACCUGCUUUUAGACAAUGUACACGAACAUAGUUUUAGUUUCUGUACAGCGGAUAAUGGUUGGUUAAGUAUCUUCAGAAGUUGACCGAAAAAAAAAACAUUAUGAAAGAACUUGAAGGCUCAAAUAUGUCGUAGUGUUAGUUGCUUUCUCAAAAUACGUUAAAAAGAAUUAAAGCAGGCCGUAAGCCACAUGCAUGAUUGGAAUAUAAUUGCAUGUGACAAACCCAAUUAUCAUCUUUGCUGCUUUAGAUUAGGGUCACAAGUCGAUUUCCUAUCGUGAUAGUAGCAUAAGGGAAAGUAGAAGUUAGAUGCCCUGCAUGCCCAUAAAAAUUGCUUUUGGUUAUACCUGCUCUUGAAGUUUACGUGCAUGCGUACAUAAGCUUAAUAUCACUGAAAACCUUUACAAAUCACAAUGCUUUGGAAUGUACAUACUCAUUCUAGACUUCUAGUUAGUGAGAGUAAGUUCAAGUAUUAUACACAUAUAUACAUGUUCUUGUGAAGUACUUUUGCCCUUUUGUUUUUCAUAUAUUUUUUAAUUAUACAGAUAAAUAAGAACGUUCUUCAGCGUAUACAUUGUGCACAACUUUGCGUAAAUGAUGUUUUUGCGCCUUAUAUUUUACUAUCGUAUUUGACGUAGGAGUACUAGAAGUGUAGCUCAGAUUGACGAAUUCCGGCAUAAAUAAUGUUUUUGGAGUUUUUGCAAUUCACAUUCUGUUGAGGAUAUCUUUCCUUAAAGAGAAUGAAACUCGUCGCUUUACUACGACUUAAGAUGGAUUUCAAGUGUUUGAGAUCGUUUUUGUGGGUCAAAAACAUAUUUUAAAUAUUUUGUGUAUUUUCAUACUCUCCUGUUUUAAUUCUUUUUGUUGUUAAUUAUGAGGUUGUGUCACUAUUUAAACUACUUUUAUGGUUAUAUUUCAUUUACCCUUUCAGUCCAUUCUUAAAAAAACAAUAGUUUAGUGAUAUUCCUCUUUAUUUGUAAGUGAAAGGUCAUAGGUUGAUUCUAGCCAAAAACAUAUUUGAACCACAUUAUUAUGACUGAUCCACUAUGAGGCUUAGCCCAUUCUUCCACCCUCCCUUUAGUGUAGAAAUAUAUCGUUUGUUCAAAAAAAAAAAGUAAUCAUUUGUGAUCCCUCAAUCGAUAACUUCCACUCAUUAUCCCUUCUGAUGGUUUCUGAAACAUGAUGGUUAAAACAUAGACCUUCAAAAUUUUGCCCAAAUUACUAUAAAAAAUAGAAUGGCUAAAAUGAUUAUCUAUUAAAUUUCAAUUGUUGAACUGAUCAAAAUUUAGUUUUGAUGACAUAUCAUUCUAAUAUCGAUCUUUAAAAUGAUUAUUCCAUUAAUUAAGAUUUGGAAAAAGAAAAAAAGAAAGACUUUUUUUGGGGGGUUAAGAAGCAAUUGAAAAUGAAAAAGAGAAAAAUUAGGUAAGCAUACAAUUUGCUAGAACCCCUUUUCCCCACGUCGCUAAAAACAUGGCCUGCCUGUUUGAAGACAGCAGCUGAAUAAUUUCAGGAUUAGGAUUAUAAUCCCUACUUUUUCCAUCCUCUUCCAUCACCACCUUUCACAUUCUAAUAUUUUGUUCUUCUCUUACUAUAAAAAAUUAAUAUAAAAUGUUAGUAUGACUUAACCAUGACCGUUCAAAUAAGAGAGGAGGAGAAAAAAGAGAGGAGAGGAUCCUACUCCAUAAUUUCACUCCCUCAACUACUUCCACCGAGGCCUGCCUGCCUUGGUUGCUUGCUUUUAUCUCCCUCUAAAACUCUCAACACACAGCAAAACUCUCAACGACUUGGUCAUUCAGUUCUCUCUGUUGUCCAAAUCACCUCCAUCUUCUUCAUUGGUUCCAUCAACAACAAAAAACAAUCUUAAGUUCACCACUUAUCUUUGUGUGUGGAUUUGAAUUCCCUAUUCUAUAAAAUCUAGACUUGGACUUGUCCAUGUUUAAGUUUUAACCCUCAAAAGCGACAUGUUUUCUUGGUUUUUUCUAAUCCCAACUUCUUCAGUAGUCUGAGUAUUUUCUGGCUUUGGCUUUUCUUUAAAUUCAAGUUAAUCUUACGGGAAAAUGGCAGUUGAGCUGUAUUCAGAUAACCCUAGCAGCAUGGGCGUCAUGAGUCCAAGGAUUUCAUUCUCCUAUGAUCUCUGCCAAUCUGAUGUUGCAUCUAUGGAACAGAAAACCCAACCUCUCAGAUCCAAUUCUUCAUCCUCAAGAAGUAUGAACUCGAGCAUGGAGUUCGACUUCUGCGUCCGCGAGAGCUUCGAGCAGGAGUCCUCCUCCGCGGACGAACUUUUCUCCGAUGGGAAAAUGAUCCCGACUGAGAUCAAGAAAAAGUCUUCCCAUCAGCCAAAGCAGUUGGACCAAAUCAUGCCUCCAUUGCCAACAGCACCGGCUACUAACCAACGUGACCCAAAAAUAACUAUGGCGAAAGAGAGCAAGAACACGACGAGUAGUAGUAGUGAAGGUGAUGAGAAGCAGAACUCAAAGUCUUUCUGGAGUUUCAAGAGGAGUAGCAGCUGCGGAAGUGGAUAUGGCAGAACCUUAUGUCCUUUGCCGCUUUUGUCAAGAAGCAAUUCAACCGGUUCUUCAUCAUCAUCAAGUGCGAAGCGAUCGUUGUUUUCAAAAGAGGGUCAGAAUCAGAAGCAGAAUUCCCAUAAAUCUGCAUCCAAAAAGCCCUCCUCCUCCUCCUCACAAUAUUCUUCUGCUUUAAUGAGUAAUUACCAAAAGCCUCCAUUGAAAAAGGGUCAAUAUGGAUCAUAUGGGGGCAAUGCUGCUCCAUUUAGUCCUGUCCUAAAUGUUCCUGCAGCUAAUAUGUUGGGUUUUGGAUCAAUCUUUUCCAAUGGCAAGGAUAAGACCAAGAAGAAAUGAUGAUAUAUUUAUGGGAUCAAGUGAUUAACUUUUUUUUUAUUGUUUAAUUUGGUUUCUUGGUAUUUUUUUUAAUGUGAUUUGUAAAUUUAUUUGGACAUUAUCUGUACGCCAAAUAGUAAAGGGGUUUUGAAGGGUGAAGACAAAGAGAUAAAGAGGUGCAUGAAGAGAGGGGACAUACCACAAGGCAUCUGCAUAAUUCAAGCCACAUGCUUGGAGUGCUAAAAGACAAGGUAACCAUAGUUUUUCUUGGUUAUUCCACAUGCUCUUUUCCCUUUUUCUUGCAUUAUUUGGUCUUCGUUCUCUCAUAUCGAUUUAUGUGUAUGGUUUGUAUGAAAAGUUAGAAUUCAGAGAGGUCUGAUCUAUGUAUUUGAGGAGUCUCUGACAUUUUCUUUGAACUUGGGUUUGGUGUUUCAUUAUUUUAGCUUGUUCAUUUUUAUUUUAAUGAAUUUUACAUUUGUGUGUAUUAUUGAGAGUAUCAAUUUCACAUCAGAGAAAAAAUUGAUCUAGUAUGUACUUAUAAGUAAUUCGGCUACUCUCUAUAUUGCAAGUUGGUUUUAUAGCAGAACUUUAACUUUUUAUGGUAUUAGAGCAAGUUGUUUCAUGGAUGAAUUACAACAACCCCACGUGCUCCAUGUUAUCCAAUUUGAGUUAUCCUCGUGUAAGGCUUGAAAAUUCGCCACACGUAAAGGGGCGUGUUGAGUGUAUCAAUUUCACAUCAGAGAAAGAAUGGACCUUGCAUAUGCCUAUAAGUAAUUAGACUACUUGUCAUAUAGUCAGUUGGUUUUAUGGUGAAACUUCAAUUUUUUUCGUGUACAUACAGAUGCAUUAUAUGAAUUGGGUUCUCAUUAGUUUGUGCAAUAAUUAGUCCAAGUGAUCGUGAACAUAAAUCAUGAUAAGUCUGAGAUAAUCGGAUAACUGUGUUGAUCAAUUUGUUACAAUAUAUGAAUGAAGAUUCCACCAUAAAAUCAAUUGACAAUAGAAGAGUAUAACUUUUAAUAAACUCAUGGAAGGUUUCUUAUUGGUUUUUUAGUAAAACACUAUGUAUUUGAAUAAAGGACCUCUUGCAGAUGAAGAGAGAGUGAUGAAAAGAUUGCAAAGAGAUUUUUUAUUUUCAAACUAAAGUAAACUUUUGUUUGGGGCAUAUUUGUUCGAAUGCAUGACUAAGCUCGUUUAUUGUUGGAUUGCUGUAAAACGAGUGAAUAAAGCCUUUGAAUUCUUCGAAUCUGAUGAGUAAGUGAGAACUAGGCCCAAAAUAUCUUGAAGGAGAAAUGAGCCUUAUGAAUACACUGUUAUUCUUCCAGCUGCUCGUAUUUGGCUUCCUGGAGUGCUUUAAAUAGCUCUGGAAAUGGUUGAAGAUGAAUGGCGAAAAAUUCUUAGCAUGAGAGUUUGAAGUGUGGUAGCUAAAGAUCCACAUGUUUAGAACAUCGGAUAAAUGAGGUUCGGUUAGGCUUGAUUAUGUGAUAAGGCUUCGUAAGAUAUUUUGGUUGCGGUUUAGUUGUUGAUCAUGGUGAUGGAAGGGCUUUAAAUGUAGAAGAUUUGUGGUGAGCAUUAUCAACGCAAAAAAUUGGGAGGUCAACAAAAAUCAAUGUGGUCAUUUUUUGGUGGGUUUGAGAUGUAACGCUAGAUUAUGGACAAAGCAACUUGAGCGGUUCACUCUAAAAUUGGGCUACGCAACUAUAGCGAUAUGCUAUACAUUCAAUGUGGAUUACAAGAGCACUUUACAACAACGCUAUGUAUUUUUUUUUCUCAUGGAUUCAACUGCUUAUAAGGGGUACUCAACCCUUUUAUAUAGGUCAUGAGUGAGUUCCAAAAGUCUUAGACCCUUUCUAUCAUCGCCUCAUCGUUUAAUGAGCCGAAUACGUAAGCACGAUCUAUAAGCUACUUUUUCAAUGUCCAUUUGAUAAGUGGAGAGGAAGUGAUAUUUGCUCAAGACUAUUUGCAUGGUUUCCUUAGUCGACACAUACUAAGCGCAAUUCUCAUCCAUGACUGGUUGGAUAGCAUUUUAAUGAGCGCUAGGUCUGAGAAAAAGUUACGUCUCUUCAUAGACUUCUUUCCUAUCGAUGGCCAAUGCAAGGCCUAGAGUUAACGUAUGGGCAUACCUGUCCUUCAAAUUCUGUGCCAAAAAGUUAUCAGGCUCACCAACUGUCUUAAGUGGUUGGAAAAUACUUUAGUUUAUACUCUCGUCUCUACUUAUCAAUAAACAAUCUAAGGUCAAAAGCAGUCGUUCGAUAUUAGUAGUCUUCUUCGUUGCUGCAGUAGUGCUCUCUUCAGGCUCAUCUAUUGGGUCUAACAACAGCCAUAUAUUAUAUUAAUGGGUCUAGAAGGUCAUCACUAAAAAGUCACCCAACUCAUUGUUAAAGUAUUUCUUCUUAGGCAUGAAGUUGUCACGGUCGGUCGAUCUUUAAGAAAAUAUAGGGUUGGAUUGUUGUUAUUGUUGUUUUUUGCAAGUGUACAACGCUCUUUUUUAUUUUAUUUUCUUUGUUGAAGCGUUUGUCCUUUUAGAAUGCCAAUGGUCCUUCAACUCCUUGCAGAAGCGGGAAGUCGAAGCUAGGGGUGGGUGUGAUCCAAUUCCACCCUCAAACCGGAACUAGAAUUGAAAAUUAUCAACGGUUUUGUUUGAUUUGGUUUUGUUUAAAUUUAGAGAGCUACUAGACCCAUUCAAUUGUCUUAUUUCUCCAUCCACGUUAUAAUCUCACCUUCCUUAAAAAGUUAAAAAAUUAAAAUGUUAUUUCCCCACCCACUAUUAUUUUCAAUAUAACCUUUAACAUAUGCAUACAUAUGAAAUUAUAAAACAACAUAUAAUUUUCAUAAUGCAUCACAGACAUGGUAUUUCAACUGGCUCUCGUGCCAGGGUGCUGUUGAUUCAUUCCAAGCAUUCUAAAAUGCACGCGACAAUGAAACAGCCAAAAAAGGAAAUGAUUGUUUGAUUUGCUUAAAGAUUUUCGUAGGUGAGUUUUGUGUUUCUCAACAUACGUUGGCCAAAUUCAAAUAAGCAAUACAAUUAAGGAUAUGUUGCCCAAAUCCUUUUUGCUGAUCUUGAAGUCACAAGUAUGCAAAUUCAAUUGGAAAACACAGAGGUAUCAAAAUUCAAAAGGAAAACUUCGGCAAAUGCAAAAUACCCACAUACAAAAUUAUUCUUUUACCUCUUCAAUAUAAACAUAAUCUUCUACCUCUUCCAUAGAAGCGUCAUUUUCUACUUCUUCAACGAAAAAGUCAUCUAAAUCCUUUUUUUCCCUUCCUCUAGAUGAAAAGAGAUGGAAAGAUGAGUUAGCGUUCCUCUAGAUGAAAAGAGAUGGAAAGAUGAGUUAGCGUUUAAGAUAAACUGAGCGUGCAACCCAACCCUUUUUUUUAACACAAAAGAGGAUAAUUAAUGUCCUUAUCAGUCAUUUUACAAAUGAACAAAUUUGUAAUUGAAAAUUUUAAUAAAAGAUGAGUGAAAAGAUAAGAUAAUGGGGUGGGAAUAACAUAACUCUAAAUUUAUUAUUAAAACUGUACAAUUCCAUUAAUGUCGAUUUGAUUUUGGUUCAUGCUAGUUUAUAGUUCUAACAAGAAUUAUAUAUAUAUAUAUAUAUAUAUAUAUAUAUAUAUAUUUUAAUCUUCUACUUUCAACACUAAACACAUUUCAACUACAUAUUCAAGAAAAUUUGAGCUCUCACACCUAGAAAAUUUGUGACCGCAAGAAAUAAGAUUGGGAUUUUGAGAGUAAAAAUUGAGAACUUAAGAAGCGUUGAGGAGUUUUGACUAUUAAUCUCUUUGCCGAUGAUCACGAUGAUGCUUCCGUUGAAUGGUUGGCGAGAGAAAGAGGAAGGGGAAGAGAUUAGCAGCACAAAUAAGAGAUAAAUAAACACGCAGAGACGAAGAAAAUAAGAGAGAAGAAAGGGCAAAGGGAGGCGGAGAGAACAAACACAAGAGAAAUGUGUUAGGGAAGGGUUGGUAUUAGGCUUAUCAGUUCAGUAGGGCUAUUUGUGGGUAUUUAACUUGUUUGAUACUUAAUAAGUUAUAGUUGUAUUAAGUGAUAUUUUUCAUAGACUUUUUGUUAUUUUAUUUUUUUAGUAUUGUUAAAAAAAUUCUCUUAAAAGUGAAAAUUUUCAUAAAUCCUCUGGCCCUCAUAUUUUUUUAUAGAAUUUCCAUGCUAACAUUAUAAUAUAUUAUAUCAAAAACAUAAAACGAUGGAGAGCGCAUGAAAAGUUCUAUUUUGAAAGAACCUCCUUAAUAUUUCUUAUGUUUUAUAAUGUUGAUACGAAAAUUAUGCAAAAAAGAUAGAAAUGCGGGACAGUCGAGAGGGGACAGAGUGGGAGAAUCUCCCUAGCGUUUGACAUUAUCAGCGGCGAGUAGCAUUUUGACAUUCCCGGCAGCGAGUAAACAUUUGCACAGAGAGUAUCGAUUUUUUAAAAAGGUGAAAAACACGGGUGCAAGAUAGCGGACAGACGUAGACCCAACGAAAUCUCCAAUACUCUAUUUCCAAUUUUGUCCCUAUUCUAUUCCCCUAAACCCCCAAACAAUACCAUUAUUUUAUUACAACCCCAAAAACUUAACAAUAUUUUACUUUUCGCGCUCUCUGUUAUGUUGACCGCCAGUGCACUCUACAGUGCGCUUGGGGUGUACAGUGUACACUGUUGUCGUCUUCCCUUAUCCUACGCACACGCUACUGUACAAAAGCCAAAGCCUCUUUUUGCAGUGACGAGACUGCGAAAAUGGCAGAGAGAAGCCUUGUCCAUCUUGGUUUCGAUCUCUAGGGCUUCGCGGCGACAUACGACGUGUCGUUUGCGUAUUCCCUUUUUUCUCGAUCGGCGCUUUUCAUGGUCGUUAUUCCAUCGUCGUUAUCCUCACCGUCAAUCUGAAUCGCUUCAGACUCUCUGUCAGCUGCUACUUUUCUCGGUCCAUUGCAUGCGAAAAACGGGACAUAUUUCAUCAGACCUCGUCGUUUUACGGUGAAAGGUUGCUUUCGUUGCUCUGCACUUGCAGGACAGUUGUUGCUGUGCGUCUGUUUUGUUCUUUAGUCGCUUGAAGGAGUGUAAUUAUUGUACGGACGGCGGGUUUUCUUUGUUUUUGUUGUAUGUGUUUGGGUAUUUUCAGGAACAAAAAUUGGGUUUGGAGGAAAUGUGAGCCCUUUUUGGUGGAAUGGGGUUUUUUAAAAAUUGGAUUUUGGUUUUUGUUUGGUAGAUUUAUUUGAGUUUUUGUCUGCAAAAGGUCUCAAACUUUUGGGUGGAAGGUGAGGUUUUUGGGUUUUGAAAGAAAAGAGCUUUGAGGUUUUUCAUCCGUGGUGGGGAAGAAGAAUGAAUGAUUCUACCGGGACAACGGCGUCGUCUUUGGCGAUAGCAGAGAAGAAGACGCAUAGGCCGGGUGGUUGCGUCGGCAUUUUCUUCCAGCUCUUCGACUGGAACCGCAGGUUCGCCAAGAAGAAGCUCUUCUCCAAGAAAUUGCUUCCUCCAUGUAAGUCUUUUUUCAUCGUGUAAAGCUACAUUUCUCUUCUUUAUUUCUUAUUUAAUUAAAAAAAACGAAAUAUAAAAAAUUCGACAACAUUUUUGUGUGUUAAUUUGAUGUAUCAGCUCGAGGAGCAAACAAAGUUUCCAAGAAGUUUAGAGAUGAGAAAAUGCCGGUUUCGAAGCUUCAUUUGGUAUGCAUCUUAUUGCUUCUAAAUUUAGAUUAUUUCUUAGUUUUGAUGGGUUUGAUUGUUUUAAUUAUCUUUCUUUUGUUGGGCAUGCUGGGUAUGUGUGUUUGAAUGAUAGAUUGCUGAUGAAAACCGUGGGGGUUUCCCAAAUGCGAAGAAAAAUGUGAAUCGUAGCGUUGAUUUUGAGCACAAGCAUGAAUUGCGAGCUCCAAGUUUGGUUGCUAGACUUAUGGGACUUGAAUCCAUGCCCGCCACACGCGAGAAGCCCAAGAAAGCUUCCUUUGCUGAUGUUAGGGGCAGCGGAGAGAAGACAUUUGUGAAUAACCAUAGUGGUAAUGAUAGAGAUGAAUUGAAUUUGGAGACAGAAAAUGCAAAGCCUGAAUCAAGGCCUCAGAAGCUGCAGAAAAUGGGACCGUAUGAGAAGAGGGCAGUGACUAGGUUUGGAGCCGAGGCACUUCAAAUUAAGAGUGUUUUGUCGCGCUCGAGAAAGCAUCACCCAAAGCUUGCUUCUCCAGUGAAGAGUUCAAGGAUUUCCUCUGGGAAGAAUUCUUCGCGCACUUCUCGGUUGAUUGAUGCUGCUACUAGAAUUUUGGAACCUGGACUUCAGUCUACGAAUAGAGCAAGGGGUGCUCUCACUUACUCACGUUCUUUUCAUUAUCCUCUAGUGGAUGAGGUUGUGGAAGAUGGAACAGCAGUUCAAUCACUGGGGAUUUCUAAUCAAGCAUGUUAUAAUGGUGGUGCAGUCAACUCUAUGAUGGGCCAAACUUCUUGCAAAAGUUGUGGUAAUUUAGUAGAUGUGGACGUGACAUCAAAUGUGGAGGAACAACAACCUGCGUUCCCAUCCUUUGCUUCAAACUUAGUCAAUAGCUCUUCGCUGGUAGCAGAACAAAGGCCAAAGUCAUCCAUAUCCUCCUUGGGGCAAGAAAAUGAUGCAAUUUUUCAGGGAACUAGGAACCAACCUGUAUCAGUUCGUGGUCAAAAGAAAAUACUAUCCAUAGGUGAACCUGUCACAGAAGGGAAGUCUCUGCCACCAGAAGGUCUAGCUUCAUGGCAGUUGUCGUCAAGUGAACCAUGCAAGCCUCAAAAUGGAGAAGCAUCUUCUAUUACCUCAAAGAAUAGGUCUCAGAUGCAGCAUCGAAUGUCACUAGGAAGAGAAAGGAUUCCACCCAGAUCCAAACUAAAUAGUCUUGAUGGCAGAAGAGCCUCAUCCGCUGCAAAUGCUGUUAGAGGGACAAAAGACUUUGUUGCCUUGAACCGGAAUCUGAGUGGUCGUGCCCAACCGAGGGUGCCUACCAAGGUGAACGAUUCUAAGUUAGACACAGAGAGGAAAACUUUUCCUGGAAAAGAUGACUACCCAUCACAGCUAAGGACAACAAUACGGAAAAGGAGGAUGAUCAAUGGUAGUGGCCAAGUUGAAAGUAGUGGUUUUGUUAGUUCAACUUCCACAAGACAGGAGAAUUAUCAGUUUGAUAAGUCAACUGGAAAAGGAUUAGGAAAUGGUGCUCAUUUGAUGGACCACACUUCUGCUAGGAAUAAAUUAGCCGGUCGGAGAGAAGGUAACAAAGCAAAUGGAAAUGAGGACACUGAUGUUAUUUCAUUCACAUUUAAUUCCCCUAUCAGGAACAAGACUGGAAACCCUACAGGAAUGCAAGGUACAAGCAUAGACAAUUGCAUCAAGUCCCCUCCCCAAGAACCAUUGCCAUUGAGUGGAGAUGAUAUUGGUGCCCUUCUGGAACAAAAACUGAGGGAGCUUGCUUGUCAAGAAGAUGAUGACAUGGCAACAGGUGCUUCAUCCAAGAGGUCCACUGCUAUGAUUCUCCAAGAGCUAAUAUCUGCCUUGUCUGCAGAUCGUUCUCUUUCUCACGACGGACACAUGGCCAAUACAGAUAUAGCAUCACCUGUAAGUCUCUUUGUUUAUUCAACUGUGUUUAUUGACUUGGCAUUACCUGUACCGUUUAUACCAAGAAAAAAAAAUAUGCUGGAAGUGUAUUGAUUUGAGUUUGGGAACCAGUUACAAUAUAUUUUUUUACUUUGAGAGAACAAUGUUUCUAAAUUUCGAGGCUUUUGUAUUUGGUAACUGGUUUGGCAGCUUGUUUAUCAUGUUACGAUUCUAGUAUUUGUCUAACAUGAUGCAUUUUUAGAAUUGCGUUUUAGAUGUAUGAUUACAAUUCUUAAUAUAACUGAUGUAUGACUUAUAUAACUGUCUAUCAGAGUUGGCCAUUACAUGCAAGAUCUCCCAUGGAUAAUAGUUGGGCGCGUUUCAUGGUGGAAAGCGUUAUAUUUUAGUCAUCUUAGGUUGUAGCACUGUUUAAUCCCUUAUACAUGUCCCAUGCAUCAUGAAAUACUUUUGAGUUUGAUUUCCUGGAUGCUAUAUUAUAGAUAUGGAAAGUAUUGCUUAAUAAGUAGUGGUGACCUACAUCAGAUAAGCUUAGAUAUUCAUAUUCUUGUAUAAGUUGAAGUUUCUUCACAGUUAUCACAUCUGCUAUUGAGAUUGGAUGUUCAUGUAAUCAUACAUGGAUGGUACAUGGGUUCCAAAACUAAAGUCCCAAUUUUUUUGUUUUUCUUUUAAUUUAAGAACUUAUUCAUGUUUUAUAUAGUUGGUGGUUGCUUUUUUGUAUAUAUUAUGGACACAAACAGAAAAAUUCCUGAACUGGGAUGACUACAAUGGAUACAUCAUUGUUUCCUGAUGGAUUUCAUUAGACUUUCUGGAGCUUUAGUGCUUCCACCAGGCUAGUUUGGGUUAUAAGAAUGUGUCAGGAAUUUGAAGUAGAAUGGCAACUCUUUCUUAGUUAUGAGGAGUUUGCAUGUAGAUUCUGCUUAUCAAAUCACAGGCCUUUGGGCAUGCAUACUCCAGUCUGGCAACAGUAGUUACUAUGGCAUCUACAUGGUAUGAAGCUUGUCCAUGUAUUUUACUUGUAAUUUAGAUGAUGAGUGGAAUGAAGAAAAUUCAGGUCGUGCUAUUGCAUUGAGAUCGGGUCCUAGAUUUGGAAAGCUAUUUCAACAGAGCAUGCUGCUUGAACCAUUGAUUUACUUUCCUCACCCUUUGCUUGUAAAUACUACCCACUAGAAUUUCAUAUUGCAUUGAUGAACCGGGGGCAACUCCUUGGUUAUAUUCACAAAAGUUACUCUCUUGGUACCCUAUGGUACUGUUUGGUAUGUGGGACAGGAUGGAACGGAGUGGGACGAGGCGUUCCGUCUCACGUUUGGUGCGCCUAAAAUGGGUGGAACGUGCUGUUCCACGGGACACAAAAUUAUAACCUCUCCGUCUCCUUCCUCCUUGUUUCCAUCCGAGAGCAUCUUUGCUCCCUCUCCGUUCCGUCCCGUCCCGUCCCGUCUGCAUACCAAACGAUACCUUUAAGUUCUAAACAAGAGAAAAAAAGUUAUCAACUUCAAAGGAAUUGCAUUCAUGAGUUGGUUGCUGGUAGGAUGUUUGCUGCCAUCUCUUGUGUAUGUAUUAGGGAAAAUUAUAUGAAGGAGAUGCCGAACCAAUAGGGAGAAAAAGGGGAGAAAAGGAAGAAAGAGAGGUCAGGAAGAAGAACAAGGGGUUAGCUAGGAUUUAACAUUAGUAUAUUAGAUGAUGCAAAUUCUCAGUAGUACUCUAGUUAACAUCUCUAAUCAAUCAUUUGCUGUAUGCUUCUUAAUUUGCUAUUUGCUUCUCCCGCAACUUUUACUGCAUAAGUUUCUGGGGAACUAUCGUAGUUAAUGCUCGAUAGCCCUUGUCAUGCAAAAUUAGUUGUUUAUAUAGUCCUUUAAUUUAAUCCUCACCGUUAACUUCUUGAGAAAGUAGGAAUUAUUGUCAAUCUCUGUUAAUGUGCCUGCAUUGUGCGCAACUUUAGAAUUUUCUUCUGUUUGAUUAAAAGGUGAUUCGGUACACAUUUCUUGACUCAUUUAGCUUCUGUUGGUCCUCCUCAGGCUCGUGGAAAGACUGAUAGAUCAGUUGGAAUCUGUCAUGAUGGUCAUCAUUUGAGCCCUGGGUCUGUUCUUGAAGCUUCAUUUUCUUCUAGUAGUCUGGAUGAUAGCUCAGGUAGAGUAUUUGAGUAAUAGUAGGAACUGCCAUGCAAAACAGAUUCAUAAUUACCUUUUUUAAACUGAGGUGGUAGAGUACUCGGCUAACCCCCAAAAGCUAAUUGUGAUUUUGUUUUCUUUUGUAUCGGUAAGAUCCUCUGAAUAUGAUUCUUAUCUUUGUAUUGCUUCUGAUACAGGGAAUAGGUCCGUCUACCAUCACUCAACGGAUUACUCUGAUGAUCCAUUGCAAUUGGGUCAUGAUACUGAUAGUGUAGACUCUGCCACUUCAGUGGACAAAAAUAAGACUGGCAGUGAGAUAAUAACUGCUCUUUUCAAUAAUGUAUCGAGGAUAUUGCAUAGCAUCGAUGCUGGUGGGGAAAGAUUGAGUGGAGGCAAGCUCACCCAUGCAAAUGAAGUUAUAUUGAAUGCUGAACUAUUGUUUGGAGAUUUGACUCUGCACAGCAAGGGGAACAUAAUGGAAGGUCUUUUCAUCAGUUCCUUGCCUCUUGAUCUGGAAACUAUUGCUGACACCUUGAUGACAAAAUUCUGUGUGUUCAGUAGUUUUGGGGACAUCAAAGAACUUGGUGAAUUCCUUUUUGACUUUGUCAUAGAGUACUUAGACUCAAAAUAUGGCCGGUGCUGCAAUUCCGGAUUCAGAUUUUGGGAAAAACUCCCCGUAGGCAUGAACCAGAAGUUGAUGAUUCAAGAGGUUCAGGAGGGGAUUCAGAAGUGGACGGAUUUGGCUGGAAUGAUUCCUGAUGAGUUGAUAGAAUGGGAUAUGAGUCAUGCCCUGGGUAAGUGGACAGAUUUUAAUACCGAAGCUUUUGAGAUCGGUUCUGAAAUUGACGGAGACAUUCUUCAAAGUUUGGUUAAUGAAGUUGUGAUCGACUUAUGCGAGUGCCAGCUGCUGGGUUCCUUUUGAAAUUCAUGUAAACUCUAGCCACCAUUUUUUUGAGUUCGUAUGAUCCUUGAUCAGCCAUGUCACAUGUUAAAUUCUGUCUGUUAAACCAAGCAAGUGUAUUCUUUUGUACAAAUCAAUGGAAGGCCUAGUUCAAUUUUAAGAUCAGUUAACAGGAUAUGCAAGAAGAUUUCAGUUUUUUUUUCCCCCCGCUUUGAGACUGUGAAGUAAAAUUGAGUUGUAUAAAAGUUAAGCAACCUUUUGCACUCUAACUGUAACUGAUGAUAUGCGCAACUGGUGGGUUGUCGCGGUAGUUACUGCCUUCCUCUUCAACCUAUUGCAUCUUGGGUUCGAACUCUCUCCCCUCACCUUAGUAUAGAUUAGUGCAAUAUAUCGUUUGUAAUUGGCUAAAUACGAGAAGAGAAGAUGUUUUCAUACUCACGUUUUCUCUCACUCUUUUCUUUUGCUUUUCUUAACCUUCGGAUGAUAAACAAUCCAACAAACUUUAACAUUUACUAGUUACAUUCCGAAACAAAUAAAAAAGAAAAGAAUUUUAAGUGGUAAUCAAAUUCCCAGGUCAUAAAACCUCAAGCAAAAUGUUCAGCAAUGAAAGAAUGAAUCGAGACGAAAAAAAACCCAAAAAGCACCAUACUUUCAGAACUGUCUGUAUCCCAAAACAGUCUUUGGCAUUGCUCUUGCAUUGCCAUUGGCCUUCCUUCCGCCCCUGUUUUCGCCGCUAAUAGCAUUAGCGGCGGCGGUCGACAACCCCUUCAACUCCUCCAUACUCGCGUAGCUCUUCCUCGCCAUGACCCCUCCGCCAUUGUUGUACCUCUUCUCCCCCGCGCUCGCCGACUUACUCCCUCUCGAAUUCGACAAAACCCCGUUCGCCGCUUUCGCCGAACUCUUCGCCGGUGGGGUCAUCUCCUGCAUCGACGGAAGCCUCGACGGCGGCUUGCGGUUCUCUUUUCGCAACACGGCUGAGAAGUCGGGCACCGACUGAGCGAGAACGGAAGACCCCUUUCGCGAAUUGGUCAGAUGGGUCUGAAACUUGACUUGUUUCUUCGAUGGGGUCGAUUUCGAUUCGGGUUCUUCGAGCUCCUCUGGGCUCAUGUACUUCCUCUUUAGCCGCGAUUCUCUGAGCUCCGCGUAGGCUGUGUAUCUGGGUCCUCUCUCCAUGGGGUAGCUCUCGGUGGCGAACCUCAGGGGGGCUGGAUGUUGAUCUGGGGUAGGGUUCUGGGAAAGAAUGAGAGAGAUGGGGUCGAUGGCUUGGAAGAGAGAUUGAAAAGCUGGGUUUUGUUGAUUGGUUUGUUGCAGAGAGCUGUUAGUCUCGGCCAUUGUUGAAGAAUUCAAGGUCCCAGCUAAGUUUUGUUUUCUUCUUUCGUCUUCUUUCCCUCUCUAGAAUCUCAAUCAGUGUGCGGAGACAGAGAUUUGAGUUUUUGUUGGUGAUUCAAUAAUGGCAUUUGUAGUUUGUGAUUUGGGUUUUUCUUUCUUUGCAAUUGAAAAUUUUGGAUUUGCAACGGUCGAUAGAUGGAGGUUACUCUUUUUCUUGCAUCCCAACGUUCGGAUUUUAAAUCGCUUUGGAUACCCUAUCGACGGUCUGAUUUGACUGAUUUUCCGUGAUGGAUUUUCCAGAGCCGUUGAUCUUUUUAUUGUUGGUCAUAGAUUGCCGUCAGAUGAUAUGACUUUCCAAAAAAGUUCUCUCUCUCUUUUUGUAGUGGGGAAAGACUUUUUAGGAUCUUUAGACAAGCCGGAGAUUUGUAAGGUUUCCACUUGGAGGCCCGUUAUGCCUCCAUUGGUCAAAUAUUGUAAACAAUGAGCCGGAGAUUUGCUUGGUGUGAAUGUGUGAUUUUCAUAGGGCUAAUCGUAGACCUUUGUCAUUUAUCAUAGUGGUAGAAAGGAGUUGAAUUUCUGCAUGACGGCGUGAAUUCGAAUCCUAUUAGUGACUAAUUUAAUAAAACCUAUCGUUUGAAAAAAAAAUUGGCUAAUUGUAUUUUAGUCUAUUUAAGAUGAUUUUUAAGAUGGAUUAUGAGGUUUUAAUUUUUUUUCAUACUGCACCAUGAUGUUUUAAAAUUUUAUCAAUUUAUACUUUUUGACUCUUUGAAUGUCUACUUUCCCAUUGAAUUGAAGAGUUUUUUUUGUUAAUGUGGUGCAAAUAUGACUUACAUGUUAAAUCAAUUUUGAAUGUCAUGCUUACCAUAUCAUUUAUUUAAUGAAUAUUCAAAUGAUUUAUUAGAAAAAAAAAAUUAAUACAAUUUUAAAACUUAUGUAAAAAAAUUAAAACUUUGUUGGCCGCUUUGAAAACCACCACAAACCUAGGGGCUGUGAAAUUAACAAAAUUGAAACCUUUCGGCUUCAACACAGAGACUCCUCAAUACUGAUUGCUAAUGCCUGAAAUUAACAAAAUCUCAAGCAGCCAAUAUCUGCGUAUAUUUCUAGUGUUGUCUGUGCCGUCGCAGGAACUCCAGUUUUUUACACUAUCCUUCCCAGAACGGCGGCAGGCCGGCGGCGAGAAACCGGAAAUUAAUUAACGGAAAGAUGCGAAUAAUUCAGUGUUGAUUCCAAUUAUACGGGUAAACUUGACGGAGGGGGCAAAAUGGGACUCAAAACAUCGGUCAGGCAAGAUGAGUCGCUUUUAACUAUCGAUACACGAUGUGAAAAUCUAAGGUGCCAUGGUAUUAAUAUUAUGCAGAUUACAAACCUGUUUCAGAAGAAAUAUGUGACACACAAAAGGAUUUGUGCAAAUUACACUUUGUGAUAUUUGUAUUUCUGCCUCAAAUUAAAACUAGUGAUGCUCUGGUCAAAUCCAUUCAGCACCAGGGUCCUUACAGCUUCAACCCCUUGAUCCAGUGCUGCAUCAAUCUGUUCACAUAUAUAGCAGAUAUCGGUCAAAUUUGAUAUUACAGGUUGAAAUUCACACCAAUUCAAGUGAACAGACAACGUAAAUUGCAGAUGCGUGAACAUUUGAAUGUGCAUGGCGAGCGUGUGGGCAAGCAAAUAUUUUCUGACCAUUUAAGUGAUCAAUGAAUUUCCUUAAUACCAUGAGUCAGAACUAUUUAGAAACAACGAUAUACCUGAUGUCUCUCGACUGUACUGAAUCUCUGUAGAAGAUAGGCUUUCAUGUCCAUAGUUCCAGGUGGAUUUCCAAUACCUGAAACAUAAUUCAUACUCCUCUUUUAGUUUCCAAUUAAGGCAAGUAUAGACCCUUUUGGACUAAGACACUUAACCAUCGGUUGAAAAUACUACUGAAGAAACAAACCUAUACACAGCCGAGGAAAUUCACGGCAACCGUCCAGAUGGCCCAUUACACUUUUUACACUGCAACAAGGAGAAAACAAUUAUAAAAAGUUUGGAACAUGAGAGAAGCGGGAUUCAGCAGACACGUUAUUACUCAGUUUUGUAUUGCCUGAUAUGGAGUUACGUGGAUCAGCAUUUCUGAAAGAAUGUGUCACAAGACAAUCAAGUUCAAGCUGUUCAUAAUUAUAUUCUUUCCUUCCUGCCUUCCGUAUGCUUUCAACUAGAGAGCAGAGAAAAUAAGAGAGAAAAAGAGGAAGAAACAAAAGAAACAGAACUACUAAUAUUUUUUGCGUUUGCUUAUCAAGAGAAAGCUAAUAAGAACAAAAUGUAAUUUUGGUUAGGGGCAGUACGAGUUGGGUUAAAUCUUUUCUUUUCUUCAUGGCCAAGCAUUGGGUAAACAAGAAUCAGGGAACGUAAAUGGCAGAUAAAAAAGUAGUGGUUUAAUAAGGACAGGAAAAUAUGCAACGCUAACAAGCUAGAGAAGAGUUUGACUUUCAAAUGAUCCACGCCAAGCACAAUUUUUCUGAGGCAGAUAAAAUGUUACUGUUGUCACUUCCAAUAUUAUCAAACAACCUCCAGUCUAUAACUUCACCUAACCACAAAUGCACAUAAAACCCAGUAGCACACAUAUCAACAACUUUGAGUGUGCCCCGACUCUUCCAUUUUUCUACAAGAUUCUGAGAAGAGCAAUUGAAAUUCAUUUGGACUUUUAAAGCUCUAACUGUAUGGAAAAGGGAAAGAUUUGUUUAGAGAAGAUUUCAAACAAACAACCCCGGAAAGACUAUGUAUAGUCUUUGCUUCCUUCUAUACUAAAUCAUCCGAGCCAGAUUGGCUUUUUCUUUUUUUCUAAGCAUAUCAAGGAAAAGUGAUGCAUAGUUGUAACCAAAAAAAACAAAGUGAUGCAUAGUUACCCUUUGAUUUUGCAAGGAAAUAAAGGCUUAAAGGUAAACAACUAAACAAUCUACAGGAAAAAUCUCGGUUUUCUGUAGCCAAACUGUCAAACCCGUCAAAUUAAGUAUGGGUAGCUAAAAUUUGAGACUGAAGUAUCCCUUUCUAGAAUCAGUAUAAUGUUUAUUUAAUUUCUAGUUCGGAAUCUAUAGAUAAAAGGACACGAACAGGGUGUUUCUUCAUCCACUUGCUAUUCAGCCAACACUAAGAACCUCAAACCCCUUACUUAACUUCUUCUUAUGACAUCACCACUAAUACAUCUCUAAUUGAAUCUAGUAAGAUUCCUGCUCCAUAUCCUUCUUAAUAAGCAUGGAACUUAGUCACAAUGGUACAUGAAAACUUACUAACAAUGGACUACAGAAAGCAUCUGUGCAAACGUACCUUCACAGGAUACAGAAUGCAAAAAUUGAGAAACUGUCUUUAAUACUUGUUCAUUAGGAAUUUCAACACGGUUAAUUUAGCAGCUCUCGUGAAAGACAUCAAUUAGAACAUAACACGGAAAAUAUAAUUUACUAUAGAAUCCACCUCAUUUAGUAUGUUAGUUAUAGAAUCUUCAAUUCUAAGUCAGAAACUAGUUGGACAAACUAACAUUAUGCAUCGUUAAGAGAUAAAAGAAUCAAACUACUUUUUCUUGAUUUUGAAAACAUAUUUAUUCAAGAACAGAGGAAAGUGAUAGAUAAAUUUUCAUAUGAAUUCUGUUCAAAAUUAAUAUUCACACAUACCCAUUGUGAUAGCCAUGACCACCUUUUGGCUGAAUCCUCAGAACACCAUUUGGUAAGCUCAUCUCAUCGUAAACCUACAAGUCCAUGGCUCCCAUUAAUGUAAUGCGACAUUGAACUUGAUGAACUAAAUUAAAGAAAGGAAUUUAUUAAUCUUGUAAAGCUGACAUUAAGAUACAAAAAAUGCAUACCAGUAAAAUAUGGCGUAGGGGUACUUGAUAAUAUGCCGCAAGUGGUCCAACCUUAAGAAUAAUGAAAGGAGAAUAAGUGAUUGGAAAAAUGCAAUCGUAAGGUAGCUCUAAUCACACUGGCAUUUACUCAUUCAACUAAAGAAAAGGAGAUACAUACUAUGAUGCUCAUGGAUAUUCUGGCAUAAGUGCACCCAUAAACAUGAACAUGAAGAAAAAUAUUAAUGAAAAUGGCACAUCGCUUCACCACGUUAUCCCAUUUUGCCAACAAAAUUGAUCACAGUAUUAUAAUCUUUCAUGAGCUCGAAAAUGUCAAUCAUCUGAUUACACACCACAAUGAAAUAUAUGGUUUGAAAUUUUCAAACAUGUAAUGAUAUAGAAAUCACCAUUGCUUAGUUCACAGCCAGGUUAAACUCUACGUGAGUGAAUGGUAAAUGAUUGUAAUCAAUUGCAGAAAGCACACUCCGGAGCUAAUUAAUCAUUAUUACUUUUACAUAUUCCUGGAAGACGGUAUUUCAUGAAACACAGCUCUUCUUCCAUCAAAAACUGAUUGCAGCGUUGAGGAAAAUACGAAUAAUUAUACUAAAUGAAAGCUCCUUUUGAAGUUUACUUGAACCCUUCCAUUAGGUGCAACAGAAAUUUACAUUAUGGAUUCUCAAUCUAAUGGUCUGUCCAGUAUAGAGUAUCCUGUCACUUUCGUUGGGACGUCACAGAGUUUAGGUUAUAAGUAAUACAAAGUUAUCAUAGAACACUUAUGGGUAGUGGAGUGUAUAACAGUUAUGUGAGCCAAAAUUGACACCAAAAAAAGCAAACAGAAACGAUGAGAACACACCGAUUCUCCGCUAUAAUUCAUGUAGGCUUGAGGCUUCACCAACAAAAUUGGUACUUCUCCAAUGGAGCCUGUACUGAUCACAGAGAAGAAUCUAAAUGAACACCAAAACACAUGAAAAUGUGGAAUUGAAAAACAAGAAUUGAAACACUUAAAAUACUACUGAAGACCCACCUAUUCCAAUCAAGGCCUUCGACUGUAUUGUAUUCAUCGCAAUGCCUUCUGCUUUAGCAAUACCAUCAAUCAUCUCGAAACCAAUCUGGUGUACAAAACCCACAGGAAACAAAGGGUAAUGAAAAAGAAUUCAACCGAAACACUUAAACUAGUUUAUAAAGGUGGAAUAUUACAUUGUGCCUAGUCCCAUGGUACUUGUUGCCAGGGUUACCCAAUCCAACAAUCAGCCAAGGAGUGUACUCCACUUUAGCGCCAUUGGUAUUAUCCGGUAAGCAAGCCUUCACACGUAAACUUGUGGAAACCGAAUACUUCCUUAGAGAAGGAGGGCUGCAAGGUCUUCUCGGAUAUGAUAUGCAAUAGUUUGGGGCAGAGACAGCAUACCACAUUGACCUAAACAUCCAAAACACAAAUUAGAAGUAUGGUUAGCAAUGGGUUUGAAUCAAAAACCACUUAGCACUUCAUUAACUGGCCAAGUUUCAACAUUUUUAAUACCCCAGUUGGCUAAAUUCUGAGAUUAUUUGUUCUUGUUUCCUCUAAUUAAUAUACUCUUCACUAAAUAUAAGCUUAAGCAGAAAAGAAAUACACAAAAAAAUAAAAAUAAAAUUAAAAGACAAGCUUGGUAAGAGCAGAAUAUGGAGAAAGAAGGGGAAAAAUCACGAAAGAAUUAUAAAACGAGGAGCAAAACGAACCUGGCUGCAAAUUUUGGAGCUUGUAUUUGAAGUGGGGAUAUAUGAAUGUGAGGAAGUUGGAGAGAGAGAGAGGAGGUGCUUCUCGACGAGAGCUUGGAAGUUGUUUAUGGUUUGCAGUCGCAGACGGAGGUGUUUCAGAGGAUAGAGUUAAUAAGAAAGAUCUAAGAUUUAUCUGAUUUGAGGAUAUACCAGCAAAAAACCCCGAAUUUCACUUUCAUUUGGCCCAAUGCACCUUCUCAUUGAUGGGUUGGCCCAAUUCACUCUGGUAGUUUUGACGGAUCUUAUACGGUGAAAAUACAAUAAAUUCAAACUUUAACGAAAAACUACCGGUAUAGUUUACUUUAACGAAAAAUUACAUUUUUACACUAAAAAGUCAAUUAUGAUACUAUUUAUUUUACCCUUUAUUUUGUCUUUAUCGUUAAAACUCAAAAUUCUCAAACCAUUUUCAUUAAUUUUUCUUAAAUUCAUAGGUAAAUUACAUUUUACCCCCUCAUGUUUGGGGUUUAUUUCAAUUCCUUAUAAUAUCUUUAAAACAUUUCAAUUUCAUACAUUUAAUUAUCAUUUUAUUUCAAUUUCAUAUGUCUGUUAAAAAAAUCUGUUGAGUAAAUCGUUAAGUGAUGACGUUGCAAAUAUGAGAUCCAACGUGACUGCCAAAUUAUGCUACGCGGCAAAAAAAUUAAUUUUUUAUGUUAAAAAAAAAAAGAAAAAAACUAAACAAACCAGAACCCCCGACCCACCUCCCCUCCCAUCCAAAAACCCACCCCAGACCGCCCCACCCCCACCUCUCUCUCUCGCGUCUGGCGACGAACGCUGAGAUCUGAAAAUCUUUGCUUUCCUUUCUCUUCAACUUUCUACUAAGAGGUCAUUCUUCUUUCUUCCUUAAUCUUCUUGCAUUCCUCCAAAAUUUGACUUCAGUUUCUCUGAUUCGCUCUGAUUCAGUCGCAAUUUUGGUUCUCCAAUCUCAUCGCGCAUUUCCGAAUAUUUCAGAUUCGUCAAGGAUUUCAUGAAGGUCUUCGAUCAGACGGUCCGAGAAAUGUUAGUUUUUAUUGCGAUUUUACGCAAUUUUUUCGUUUUAAUUUGGUAUUGCAAAUUUGAAUUUGCAAUUUGAUUGACAUUUUGUUUGCUUAAUCUUGAUGUGCAGAAAGAGGGAGGUGAAUCUGAAGGUUUUGAAGGUUCCGGAGAUGGGAAGAGGAGGUGAAUCAUUUCUGGGUUCUGUUUGGUUUUUUGUUUUUUUUUUUAAUUUAAUUUAAUUUAAUUUUUAUUUUAAUAGGGUAAAUAUUAUUAUAUUUUAAUGCAUAAAUUUUUUUCUUGCCACUUGGCACAAAUUUGACAACCAUAUCAACACAAAUGUAGACUCCAUAUUUGCCACGUCAUCACUUAACGGUUUACUUAACAAAUUUUCUAACGGAUGUAUGAAAUUGAAAUAAAAUAAUAAGUAAAUGUAUGAAAUUGAAAUGUUUUAAAGAUUUGUAAGGAAUUGAAAUCGACCUCAAAUUUAAGGGAGUAAAAUGUAAUUUACCCUAAAUUCAUUUGAACAAGAGUUAUAUUUUAUUAGAUUAAAUUAUCUAACGAUUCUUAUUUAGAUGUGUAACUUAAUGUGCACUAAAAAAAACCUCAUAGAUGCAAAUCGAGCAAAUUUUGUACAAUGUUUCUCUUUUCACAUCUAGAUGCAAAUUACAGUUAAGUUACAAUCGGGUAAAAAACCCCUAAUAUCAAACAAUUUAUAUUUCAAUUUUUAGUUUUAAAAUAUAUAAUAACCUAUACAUUAUUAUGUCAAGCACUUCGGUUAAAAACUGAAAAUCAACAAGGUUUCGAUCAAAGAACAUUGAUAGUUAGGGACCGCAUCCAAAGUCUCCUAAUACUUAAUUACCUAAAACAAAGAAACACUACAAAAUUGCCAAAAUAUUACAUAACUCGAAGAAACUAAAUCUUGCAAGACUUAUUCUAGCCGAGUUACAAACAUCUUAUUAUAAAGAACUGGUGCAACAGUUGGUGCGGUUAGUGCAGAGCUCUGCUGCGAACAUGAGUGAAGAUUUUGGUCUCGGGGCAUCUCGUCACUCCAGUGCCAUGAGCGGCAGGAGAGAAGAUCUGGCAGCUUCUUGUCGCUUGACUGACGUUUGAUGAUGAUGGCGAAGAGAGGACGAUGAUUUUCAUUUUGAUCAAUAUCAUGUAAGCAUAUAAAAGAGAGACAGAUUGAGUCAUUUCCUUUAAAUAUUUAUCUCUGUCUGCUAUGCCUGCCCAAUAUUUUUAAAUAGUUCGAAUUCAGAAUUAAUCUCAUGAAUUCUGGGCCCUAAAGUUCUCCAAGGCACUCUAGCUUGUCCCCUGUUGGAGAAGCAGAUUUAAGAAAAAAAGAGUUACUGGAAAAUUGAUCAUGGGGGAGUACAAUGGGAAAUUCAGGAAAGUAAAACAUGUUUGGGGUCUGAUUUAAAAUUUUUGAUCUGUAACACCCAACCGAUCUUCGGCUUAGCCCAAAAGCUCAAGCUGUUGAAUGUUUGAUCAAAUUUAAACAAAUUUCAAAUUACUUUAAUUUGCACAAUUCUUGAUUGUUUGAGGAUUGAGAGACAUUUGAGAUUGAUUUACAAUUCCAAGCUAUUUGUUUUCCAUGGUUAUAUUAAAUUGGUGAAAUUUGACCGUUAGGCUUUGUUUGGGUGUAAGGGAUUUAAGCCAAGUGAGGAAGCAAUAAGCUAUAAAACUUUAGAUGCGGAAAUGCACUACAUGACCAUUACCAAGUUACAAAUGUAUGCUAGACGGAGUUGCAAAUCCCUCUCAUAUGCCUUUGUAAUGCAAAUGUGGUGCAUUUAUAAUCCGUCAUUGUAUAUUUUUUUAUUCAUCUCUUAUUUAGCUUCAUUCCUCCAAAUAUAGCAUUAUGUAAAAAGAAUACUAAAGUUUUGUAGCGUGCUUAUACUUAAAACUAUGUCGUUUUGAGUAUAGAGGAGGUGUAGAGUGUCACACCUUGAUCUCAAGAUACGACCAUGAUCGACACAUGACGACAUAAAGUACUUAUGAAGCUACUGUGAACACGGAAAAUUCCUGAAAUGAAAGAGACAAGAACAACGAACGUGCACAAACAAAUAUUUAUGUUUUGAUGAUUUUGACUUACAAUCUCUCUCUAUUUUGAUCCUCUGAUUCGAUCUCCGUAAGGUGUUGAUUGGUGGAUAUUUCGUUGAUCCAAGGGCCGUCAAGGCUUGAUCUUGGAUGAACUGUUGGAAGUUUCUUCAAAGGGCCGUGGGCUUGAUCUUUGGAGGUGGAUUUGAGCGGAUCUUCAAGGAGCCGUUGGGGCUUGAUCUUGAGGAUGAAUGUAUCUUCAAGGGCCGUUUGAGGCUUGAUCUUGAAUAACGGUAAUGAGCAGAUCUUCAAAGGCGUUUGGGCUUGAUCUUGAAGAACAGUGAUGGACGGAUCUUCAAGGGCUUUUGGGCUUGAUCUUGAAGAACGGUUGGAUGUGUGGAUUUGUCGACGUUGUUAAUCCAAAGGGGUCGUUGGGGCUUGAUCUUGGAUGAACGGAUGAUGAACGAUGGGGCUUUCUUCAAGGGUCGUCGGGGCUUGAUCUUGAAAGAACGAUGAACGAAGAACGAAGAACACUUUCUUCAAGGGCCGUCGGGGCUUGAUCUUGAAUUGGUGGAUGAUUGUUGAUCCAAAGGGCCGUUUGGGCUUGAUCUUGGAAGAACGAUGAACGAAGAACGAAGAGAGCUUUCUCGAUUCUUCGGGAACCUGGAUGCUUGAGAGCUUCGGAGUUUCAGAGCUUCAGAGCUUCAAGGUGUAAUAUGAAUUGGUCCCUCCCCUCAAAUGAAUGAAUUAGCCUUCUAUUUAUAGAAAUUUCCAAGGCCUAAUUUUGAAUAUAAUAUUCCAAAUGAAAUAAGUCGUUUCUGCCAGGUGUUGACACGUGUCCUAUUUGAUGACUUUUCCAACUUAUUUCGAUUUUUGUUUAGACACACGCUACGUGUAAAAUUUAUGUAAUACAUGAGCGUUGAAACUUUAAUUUAUCGGUCAACAUUUAUUUACCAAAAUUUCGAUGUCUACAAAUGCCCCCACUUCAAGACGCGUUGUAUACAUGUGCUUGUCGUGUGUAGGAGAUGCGUUUUGAAGUCCCUUAUUGUAGAUGUCGAUCCAAGGGCCAUUCAAGGCUUGAUCUUGAAUUGGGCCUGAGAUUUCUUCAAGGGCCGUUGAGGCUUGAUCUUGAAUUGGGCUUGAGAUUUCUUCAAGGGCCGUUUGAGGCUUGAUCUUGAAUUGGGCUUGAGAUUUCUUCAAGGGCCGUUGAGGCUUGUUCUUGAAUUUUUUGUUUGAAAUUUCUUCAAGGGCCGUUGAGGCUUGUUCUUGAACUUUUGUUUGAAAUUUCUUCAAGGGCCGUUGGGGCUUGAUCUUGAAAGUUGAAAUUGGACCACAAGGAGCUUCAUGUGGUAGAUGAUCCUUGGCUUUGGUAGUGGAUGAAUCGGCACGUAUUUGUUUUUGCGCUUUGUUGACUUUCCACAGCUUUGAUUUUGAACUGGGUUGGAGGAUUUUCUGGAUUCCUCCAAUUGUUGAUUUUCCACAGCUUAUUCUUGAACUAGGUUUUGAUUCAAGAGUGGUAGACACUUGAUCUUGAAUCGGACUUGUGAUUUCUUCCAGGGCCGUCGAGGCUUGAUUUUGAAUUUGGCUGGAAGCUUCUUCAAGGGCCGUUGAGGCUUGAUUCUUGAAGGUUGACUCGAACAUAUUGCAAGCAGGCACGAGGUGAAGGUGACGAUUUGUUGCUUUGUUCAAUCUUUCUAAUUCACACCUGAGCAGUUUGGUCAACGGUAUGAUCUUCAAGAUUGAUAGGGUUUUCUUCCAGUUGAUGACUUGAUCUUUAAGGAUUUGAUUCAAGGGUGGUGAAUCGGCACGUGCAGCCCACAACGCCUAGUAAGUCGACCCAAGAAUUUGAGGGUCAAAACGAGCUCACCGUCCAGAGUGAUUGCAACCCUGAUGAUAUGAGAUACUUUUGAUUUUGAAGAAGUAGCGGAUGAAUCGGCACGUGCUUUGUUGUGCUUGUCUCCACAUCCUUCAAUGUAUUAUUUUCCCUUGCUUUAUCUGUUCCUCAGGCAGAAUGUGGCAUCUUUUCGAGUUCUUCAUCUCAGACUCUUUCUGCUGAGUUGACUGUGCAUGUUGCAUUCUUCUCUGCUUGUUUCUUCAGGCAAAUGUGGCAGCUUCUCAAGUUCCUCAGUUCGGACUCCUUCUGCUGAGUUGACUGUGCAGACCGCAUUCUUCUUUGCUUGUUCCUUCUGCACGUUGUCUCCACAUGCUGCAAGGUAUCAUUUUCACUUGCCUUAUCUGUUCUUCAGGUAGAUGUGGUAGCUUCUUUGGAAGUACAGCAGCAGUGGGAGACGAGUACUCGAGAGCAGUGCUAGGUAGGCAAUCAGGGAAGGGUUCCAAGCAGUCGGUUCCUUACCCGAGUUUGAGUGGAAGUUCCGGCAUAUUGCUUUCUUUAUCCUUGUCUUUGCAGGUAAGAACAAAGACAAAGGAAAGGACAGGGAGAACGCAUGAUAUGAGAUACUCUUGCUUUCUACCCUAGUGAUAUGAGAUAAUUUUGCUUUAGUGUCAUUUGUUUGCAAAGGUACCCCAAGGAAUAAGGAACACUGAGUAACUCAAGAGGCUUCGUUGGGAAGGCAUUCUCAGAGAUGAAGAAAGGUCUGUAUGUCUGCCUUGCUAUGGAGGGUGAAGGUGGACAGUUAUAGGAAGUUCUUUAACACCUGUAGAGGUACUAUUCUUUCACUCGUGUCGGCAACCGUUGGAUGUUUGAACAGUAAACUUCACGUGCUUUCUCCUUCACCCAAAAAUCUUCGACAAAUUGUCCGUGAUUUGCGCAAAGUUGAGUGUGCAUAUGACAGGUGUUGACGAGGCUGAAAAAGACUGGCGCCUCUUCGAUAUCUGGGAUCAGCGCUUCGACAAAUUGCCCGUAAUUUCCGCAAAGCUGAGUUUGUGUGUGACGAGUGCCGACGUGUCUGGAAAAGCAAGAUGCUUCUCCGAUUUCUGAGCUUGCCUCUUCGAUUUUUGAAUGGCCUCUUCGAAUUCUGAGCUCGCUUCUGAAAUCUCGUCGAGUGCUAAUUUUUUAUAGAGGCAUGCAGUUCGUUUCAAAACACACUUGAAUUUUCGCUUGUGAAAACUCCCAUCUUGUACUUCUAAGAUCUUGAUUUGUCCGAUCUCUUCUUCCUUUAACACUUUGAAAAUGUCUGGACCCUCAGACCGUCGUUUUGACUUGAAUCUUGGUGAAGAGGCAGUCCCGCCUUCUCCAGACAACAUAUGGCGCCCAUCCUUCAUAUCCCCCACUGGUCCUCUUACCGUUGGGGAUUCGGUGGUGAAGAAUGAUAUGACCGCUGCGGUGGUGGCCCGAAACCUUGUCACUCCCAGAGAUAACAGACUACUUUCCAAACGGUCUGAUGAGUUGGCUGUUAAGGAUUAUCUGGCUCUCAGUGUGCAGUGUGCAGGUUCUGUGUCUAAUAUGGCCUAACGCCUAUUUGCUCGAACCCGUCAAGUUGAAUCAUUGGCGGCUGAAGUGAUGAGUCUCAAACAGGAGAUUAGAGGGCUCAAGCAGGAGAAUAAACAGUUGCAUAAGCUCGCACAUAGCUAUGCGACAAACAUGAAGAGGAAGAUUGACCAGAUGCAGGAAUCUGAUGGUCAGAUUUUACUUGAUCAUCAGAGGUUUGUGGGUUUGUUCCAGCAGCAUUUACCUUCAUCUUCUGGGGCUGUACCGAGUGCUGAGGCUUCAAACAGUCAACCUCCGGCGCCUUCUCUUCCUGGAGCUCUGCCGAGUUGUGAGGCGCCACCUGAUCGUCCUUGAAGAUCCCCUCUUGUAAAUUUGAUUUGAUUUGAUUUUUUUUUUUAUGACAUGUGGAAUGCGAAUUUAUGUAAAUUUUUUAGAGAAAUAAAUAAAAGAUGGACUUUACUAAAUGCAUUAUAUAUGUAUAUAUAUAUAUAUAUAUAUAUGUAUAUAUGUUUCUCAUGAUGCCAGAUGCACCAUCACUUCCCUUUUAAUCAUUUUUUUCUUUUUUUUUUCUUUUCUUUUCCAUGGUGCCAGAUGCACCAUCAAAAUUUUCUUUUAUUUUUUUGUUUCUUUCAGCGGUGCUCACACCCACCACAAUCAUGAACCUUUUUUUUUGUUUAAUUAAUUAAUUUAUUAUUAUUAUUAUUAUUAUUAUUAUUUUAUUUUUUUUUCCGGUGCCACAUGCACCUUCCCUAUUUUUUUUUUCACGUGGUGCUAGCACCACUUUCCUCCACUAUCCCAUUUUCUAUUAUAUUUUUUUUGUAUAAAUUUCGAUGAUGGGCUGGGCGAAUUUGCAGGGAGUGGAGCAAGGAGGCCGAGAAGAUGGAGGAGAUGUGGACAGACGGUGCCAACGCUUUGGAGCUGGGUUCUUUGCUGGGCUUAGGCGUUGCGCAACGGAGAGGGUGCCUAGAUGAUGUACUGCAUCACCACCGCUUGCACCAUGAAGAUCUCUCUGUUAAAAGCUUUGAACAGACUCCACAAGACUGCAAAUCUAUGGAAGGAGAACAUGAGAACUUGCUGCUGGAUCCAGUUAGCUUUCCAUGGAUAGAACCAAAGUUCUCACUGUCAAAAGACCAUUUUUCCCUUUGAGAAUAGGCCACGAGCUCAGAAAAGGUACGCACCAGCCAUCAGAAGACCCACCUAGAGAUCCAGUCGCCAAGUCAUUGUUGCAAGUAGAGAGAGUCAGAGGUGGCGGAGACAGAGCCUGUCCUCCAAUGCCGGCGACGAGAGAGCAGAUGAGUGCCACGUUGAAGAUGUUUUAUCUCGGAUGCUGCUGCUCUACCAUGGUUCAGAACGACGACGAGGUCGUAAGUUUGGAGACGCAGGUUUGCACAGAGGAGGAGCGGAGGAUAAGGGCUGACGUGAAGGUCCACUUGCUCCGGGUGUGCACACCAUGUGCAGCAGGCCGGGUUUGGUGGAGUGAGGCAGCAGAGAGCGGCACAAAGACCGGUGAAGAUGACGGCGGAGAACAAGGAUUGCUGAGUCUGGUUGCUCAUGAAAAGCUGCGGGUUCAGAAUCUGCGGCUUCUCGUCCGGGCUGCUCUCAAAUUGCUGCUGCCGUUCGAAAACCCCGAACCGGCGAACCCGAAAUUUGGGACCGAAACGCCGCUGCCCCAAUUAGAUCGAAAUUAGGGCCCUGAUCAACGAUUCCCAACCCGGCGUUGCUGUCGAAAUCAAUGGGGCUGUUAUGGUGGUUGCCCUUCCCGCUCUGCAAUAGCUGCUUGAGUCCACACGACAUGUCAUCCACAUCCCCGGCUAUCCACCUCAGCAGAGACGUCGAUUUAUCACCGCCACCACUGACGUUGUUAAAAGACGAAGAGAGAGUGGAAGCCAAAGUGGGUGGGCUCGGGUUUCUUCUCAUAUGAAGAACAGAAUUGGGCUCGCCGCGGAAAGCUGUUGAGGUGGAGGAGUCGCAGCGGAUGUGCGGGAGAAAGAUGAGAGUUAGCUGAGAGACGAGCCUGGAUUCCAGCUUGAGGUCCGUGAGCUCGCCGGACCUGGAUUUGGGUGCCCUCUGGGUGCCCCGAAGUUCCACAGAGACGGAGGGAGAGGGAUGAGAGAUUCACGAGGGUGGUAGUGCUGUUACGCCGUCAUUGGGGUGGCUCUGGUACCUCAUUAUGUGGGUGCGGGCUCGAUCGGCGAGAGAGGGAGAUCCGAGAGAGUGCGAGAGAUGAGAAGAGAUCCGAGUGGAGAUGGGCUUUGAGAGCUGAGAAGAGAUCCGAGUGGAGAUGGGCUUUGAGAGCUGGGCCUGGAUCUGUGCGUUGUGGAGAUGGCGGAGAGACUGGGCUUGGGCUUGGUGUUGAAAGAGGGCAGCACCGCAGAUGGGUUCGACGAGUCUUCGUUGUGGGUCGUAGUGGCCUUUACACUGUGUCGUCUGGAUUUGCACAUCCUCCAAUUGUUAAGACCUUAGAGUCCAUUCUUAUAUAUAUUUGUUUUUUUGUGUUUUUUUUUUUGUAAAUACAUAAUAACAUAUGUAUUCAUUUUUUUUGAACUGUAAUCUAAUUUUGUACAAAGAAAUUGUAAUAACAUAAAAAAAAAAAUCUUAUUCUUCAUUUUGAUGUGACUGAACUCGAAGUUGAAUGUUCGAGAUGCCUACGUACCCCUCCAAUGAAGAGAUCAAGUCAUAACGUAGUUCAAAAACAUACAUAUUUUUGGUAUUUUCUUUUUGUGCCGUUUGCAGUUUUAACUCAUGCAGGCAAGGAAUGUUGGUGUCGUUUGCAGUUUCAACUCGUGCAGGCAAGGAGCAUUUGGUGCCGUGUUGCAUUUUCAGCUCGUGCAGGCAAGGAGCGUUGGUGUUGCCUUUUAUGCUCGUGCAGACCAGGAGCGUUGUGCCAUGCAGUUUAGGCUCGUGCGAACAAGGAGCAUUUGGUGCCGUGUUGCAGUUUCAGCUCGUGCAGGCAAGGAGCGUUGGUGUUGCCUUUUAUGCUCGUGCAGACCAGGACGUUGUGCCAUGCAGUUUAGGCUCGUGUAGGCAAGGAGCGUUGUGCCAUGCAGUUUAGGCUCGUGUAGGCGAGGAGCGUUGGUGUUGCCUUUUAUGCUCGUGCAGACCAGGAGCGUUGAUGUUGCCUUUUAUGCUCGUGCAGACCAGGAGCGUUGGUUCGUGCAGUUUAGGCUCGUGUGAACAAUGAGCUUUGGUUCGUGCAGUUUAGGCUCGUGCGAACAAGGAGCAUUGGUGUUGCCUUUUAUGCUCGUGCAGACCAGGAGCUUUGUGCCAUGCAGUUUAGACUCGUGCGGGCGAGGAGAAUUUGUGAAUUUUGUCAAGCAAUCCGGGAGAGGCGUUCCUCACAAUUUUCAUAGCAAGGAGCUUUGACCGCGUGAUUGAAGAAGUCUUCGGGCAGGAAAUCGCGCAUCGUGAUGGGGAUGGACGAUCUAUGUGUCGAAAUUUCAUCAUCUUCAACACGUUCACGUUGCUUUGAAGGUUGACAAUAGCUGCUUUGCCCCCUUUCCGAUUGGCGGACUUGUGGAGGAGACGUAUGCUUCUUGUGCAAUUUCUUAGGAGUGACUUGAGUCCAUCCUUCAACUUUGCUUGUCUUUGAGGAUGCCCCCAGCGGUUGAGGUGAAAACUUUGAGUUGGAAGAGCCAAAAGUGAAGGUGGUAUAGUUUGACUUCGCCACUUCGUCAAGAUCUAGCUCGAUGAUUCCUUUCUGAGCCAGCUUCAUGAUGAGAUCUUUCAGCACGAAACAUUUUUCUGUCGGAUGACUGAUGAAGCGGUGGAAUUUACAGUACCUUGGAUUGUCGGUGCGAUUCAUCUCUUCCGGCCGUUUGCACUCAGGCAAACUGAUCACCUUCUUGUCCAACAGGUAAUCUAGCAUGACAACCACAUCAGAGUCGGGGAAUGGAUAAGUCUUCUCCUCAAGCUCAUUCAAAGUGCGUCUACGCGUCUCUUGAUCACGAAAAGCUUCGGUUUGAAUCGCCUUGCCUCGUGUGGAUAUUUUGACAGGAGAUGUGUUGAUCAUCAUCGCUUCCUUGGUGGGUUUCCAAGCAGCCUUUUCCACCUUUGUCCCAAGAACUUUGUCGUUCUUGUAGUCGGCGAUCGGUUCUUUCUUCCCAUGAUGGGCGAUGCUCAACUCCAUGUCAUGGGCGCGAGUGGCCAAUUCCUCGAAGGUCCGCGGUUUAAUGCCUUGAAUGAUGUAUUGCAAACCCCAUUGCAUGCCUUGGAUGCACAUCUCGAUUGAAGAGGUUUCCGAGAGCCUGUCUUUACAGUCGAGGCUUAGAGUGCGCCAUCUGUUGAUGUAGUCAAUGACUGGCUCGUCCUUCCACUGCUUUGUGCUCGUUAGCUCUAACAUGCUCACAGUGCGGCGGGUGCUGUAGAAACGGUUGAGGAAUUCUCGCUCUAAUUGCUCCCAACUGUUGAUGGACUCAGGCUCUAGGUCCGUGUACCACUCAAAGGCAUUUCCUUUCAGCGAGCGCACAAACUGCUUGGCGAGGUAGUCUCCCUCCGUCCCCGCGUUGUUGCAAGUUUCGACGAAAUGUGCAACGUGCUGCUUUGGGUUUCCUUUUCCAUCAAACUGCAUGAACUUUGGUGGUUGAUAACCCCUUGGCAUCCUUAGGGCAUCAAUUUUCUUGGAAUAGGGCUUCGAGUAGAACAAGGAGGUAUGUGAGCUCCCUUCGUACUGUGCCUUGAUGGUGUUGGUGAUCAUCUCUUGCAGCUGCUGGAUAGAAAGAGAUCCCAUAAGUGCCGCUGUUUGGUCUGGCUCCGGCUUCCCAUCGAUUUUCUUCACCGGGGGUUCUUCGUCUCCGCCAGCUCCUCCCUUUAGUGGAUCAUCCUCUGGGUCGGGUUUAUCGUCGUCCUGCGCCUCCAGUCGGUUGACUAGUGCUGCAAUUUGCAAGUCUUUUUCUGCCACAGUUCGGGUUAGCCUUGCGAUUGCUUCAUUCAUUUGAGCCAGCUGCUCAUCGAUUGAAGUUGCUCCAAUAGUCAUGACUUGCAUGGCUGAACUGUCGCUUGAAUCGGCAUCGGAGAGCAUGGAUUCGGCGUAUUUCCUUGGGCUUUCCCCCCUUGGUGCCCUUAGUGAGGCUAAGGUGAUCAAAGGCUCGUGCCUUGGGUGCUUUUGUUCCCUUGGCAGAGUUGAUGCAGAGGUGAAAGAGGCGGCAGAAGUAGCUCUUGCCAUGCUUCGAGUCGUGACGCCCAAAGUGACACCAGUUGCGACGAGGACGCUUUUGUUCUUUGCACCGGUUGUGGGAACAGUUUGAGCCUUCCUUGAUACCAUUAAUUUUGGAAGUGCGCUUGAAUUUCUUGAAUGGAGAAAGAGAUGAGAGGCAGAGAUUGUCCCACUGGGCGUGCCAAUUUGUGAACACGGAAAAUUCCUGAAAUGAAAGAGACAAGAACAACGAACGUGCACAAACAAAUAUUUAUGUUUUGAUGAUUUUGACUUACAAUCUCUCUCUAUUUUGAUCCUCUGAUUCGAUCUCCGUAAGGUGUUGAUUGGUGGAUAUUUCGUUGAUCCAAGGGCCGUCAAGGCUUGAUCUUGGAUGAACUGUUGGAAGUUUCUUCAAAGGGCCGUGGGCUUGAUCUUUGGAGGUGGAUUUGAGCGGAUCUUCAAGGAGCCGUUGGGGCUUGAUCUUGAGGAUGAAUGUUUCUUCAAGGGCCGUUUGAGGCUUGAUCUUGAAUAACGGUAAUGAGCAGAUCUUCAAAGGCGUUUGGGCUUGAUCUUGAAGAACAGUGAUGGACGGAUCUUCAAGGGCUUUUGGGCUUGAUCUUGAAGAACGGUUGGAUGUGUGGAUUUGUCGACGUUGUUAAUCCAAAGGGGCCGUUGGGGCUUGAUCUUGGAUGAACGGAUGAUGAACGAUGGGGCUUUCUUCAAGGGUCGUCGGGGCUUGAUCUUGAAAGAACGAUGAACGAAGAACGAAGAACACUUUCUUCAAGGGCCGUCGGGGCUUGAUCUUGAAUUGGUGGAUGAUUGUUGAUCCAAAGGGCCGUUUGGGCUUGAUCUUGGAAGAACGAUGAACGAAGAACGAAGAGAGCUUUCUCGAUUCUUCGGGAACCUGGAUGCUUGAGAGCUUCGGAGUUUCAGAGCUUCAGAGCUUCAAGGUGUAAUAUGAAUUGGUCCCUCCCCUCAAAUGAAUGAAUUAGCCUUCUAUUUAUAGAAAUUUCCAAGGCCUAAUUUUGAAUAUAAUAUUCCAAAUGAAAUAAGUCGUUUCUGCCAGGUGUUGACACAUGUCCUAUUUGAUGACUUUUCCAACUUAUUUCGAUUUUUGUUUAGACACACGCUACGUGUAAAAUUUAUGUAAUACAUGAGCGUUGAAACUUUAAUUUAUCGGUCAACAUUUAUUUACCAAAAUUUCGAUGUCUACAGCUACCAUCCCUCGUUUCCGAAACUUGACCAAAAACAACCAAACGGUUCGAUAACGUAGUAACUUUUUCUUUUAUUUCAUGGUUGCAUCUAACCUUUGCGUUAGAUUGCCUACGUACCAUAAGACGGAAUCAAGCCAUUCGUAGUUCACCCCUUGUUUACUCCGACAUUUGUCAUGGUAUUUUAUAGCAAAAAACGUAGAGUUCCAGAAUCACUCAAUGAAAUUCGAUAAGUAUGGAUCAUUAAUAGGAAUUAAGAACGUUAAUUAACGCUGAAGUAAUGAUCCAAUCAUCCACAACCAUAUCAUUUGGUUUGCAAAUUUGGUUUAAAUUUUUUUGAUUUCCCAAGCAUUACCCUGUCAAUAUCCCAAAGAGAUACAACUUGGUAGUUAAAUCCAAAGUCAACUCCCCAAACCAAACUCAUUUAAUUUAUUUUAUUGCAAUCAAAGUAAACUUACUUUCUACACAAUAACUUCUUAAUAACAAAAGAAACCCCACGAGCUUCUACAUCUAUUAUUUUUGCAUUUAUAUCAUGAACUAACUCAUUGAUUGAUUUGGGCGGUAACAUAAAUUGUAUUAUUUGGUAGUAAAACUACAUUCUUUUCAAGAUAUAAAACAGUAUUGUCCUAUGUCCUAGUGAUAACAGUUGAUGGAAAAAUAGAAAAUGGGAGCAUUUUGUUGGCAAUGUACAUGACGAAUGUAUCUAUUUUUAUCCUUGACACCUUUCUGUAUAGCAAUUGGGUAAACUAAGGCUGAGGAAUAGUCAUAUAAUAGCCUUGGAUAUUAACUUAUAAACCUAAUUGGACCUACCUUGAAUUCCAACUCACAUAUUCACUCGAGUUUCUCCUUAACUAUAUAUAAGAUGAGAAAUAUCUAGACCUGACAUUCGUGUCGUGUUUUCUGUGUUCAUUUCGUUUUCGUGUCAUACUCGAUAUUUUAACGGGUCGUAUCGUGUAAGACCCAUUAAAAUAAACGGGUAUAUGAACUGACCAGAAAUUGACUAGUUAAUAUUAAUAGGUAAUAUAACCUAACCCAUUACCUAUUAAAGAAAAUAUAUUUUAAGCCAAUAAAUAAUCAAAUAAAAAAAUAUUAUAUUAAAUAGUAUACACAUACCACAUUGCCGCAUAAAUAUUACUUCAAACAUAAAAUCACAUUUGUCUUUCAAGUAUCACAUAAAAACAGAAAAAUAGUGAAAAAAAUUAUAUAAACGCUCGUACUAAUUAACAAGCUUUACAACUUUCGUGAAUAGCUCAACUUUGAAAUUUGCCACUAUAAUCACAUAAACUAUAGAUUGAAAUUUAACUGUUGAUUGUCGUUUACAUUUAUGCUCCAUUCUUCUCACCAAAUUUGUCUUUUCAGAUUUUCUUUUUUGAAAACAUAAUCUUUUAGAGGAUUCAGAAAGAUGAAUGGUUUUGGUCGUUCAUAAUACAUUCUGAAUUUACCUUUAGUGAAACAUUGCUUGGAGUUUAUAAAGUUUCUAGAAACUAUAUAAUAUCGACUCAUAUUUCAGUUAACCAUAAUAUCAGAUUUUGGAGUUGACCCCUUCACAAAAGUUGUAAAGCUUGUCAUUAUGAGUAAUUGUAUAUGUGUAUGUGUGUGUAUGUGUGUGUAUAUAUAUAUGUAUGUAUGUAUGUAUUUUUUUUCUUUUUUACAUUUUUCACAUUUCUACAAUGAUUAUUAUGAAUUUUAUUAAUUUUGCACUCAAAUAAAAAACACUAUUCAUGAGGGUUUGGAUGGUUUUAAAUCUAAACAACAAUGUAACCAUCGUCUACACGUGGAGGAUCAAUCCCAAGCGUCUAUAUAUUCUUUCACUUUUUUACACUUGUACAUUAAUUAUUAUGAAUUUUUUUAAUGUGUUUGGUAUUUGUAGAUUAUUUUGAUAUUUUUAUUUUUAAUGUGUUUUACAAUAUUUUAAUUUCAAAACAUUUAUGAGUAUGAGUGUAUAAGAGAGAGUAAAAAAAUUUUGGGUAACAAAUCAAGUAAAAUUUAUAACAUUAACGAUAAUAAGAAAAUCUCACAAUAAAAAUAAAUAAAUAAAACUUAAUUUUUUUUAACUUAUAUAGAAUAAAAAUACAAUAAUACAUAUUUAAUAUACAAUAUAUACACUAUGGUUGUUGUAUUUUAUAGUAAGUUUUUUUUUUAGUAGUUUAACUUUAAAAUCAUCAAAAUAAUUUAAGCCCCACAAAACUUACAAAAAUAAAAUUAUAUUUAUAAGCGCAACCCAAAUUAUGUUCAAAUGUAUCUUAUUUUUCUUCAAGCUUUACAUAAUUGUCUAGUCAAUGCUGACCCAACGGAAAAAUGCAAUGACCAAAUCUGCAUUUUGAAAGCCAACCAAUUCGACACCUUCAACACAAAUAAAUCACGGCAACCGACAUCUUUGAUUGAAUCAUGUCUACCCAAAUUGAACACUAGACGCAAACCUAGAUUUGCAGAAAAAUCUAAGAUUUAUUUAGGCUAAUGAUAUGGAAAUUGAAUAGAAAUGGGAGGAAAAUUUCGUUUCUCUUGUGCUGAGAUGUUUCAUAUUCAUGUUUGUGAUUAUUCAUCCGUAUUCGUUUGAUGUUUGAUUAGUGUUCAUGUAUUUACUUAAUACUCGUAUUGCCUAGUUCUUUAUAACUAGUUUUUAUUAUAGUACAUGACAAUGACUAAUUGACAAAUUCACGUGUUUUAUUAGUACUAGUGUUUAAUCAUUUACUUAAUACACAAAUUAUUUAACAGUCAUAUGUAAUUAAAAAUGAUAUAUUCUUUUUUUUUUUUGGUUACAUACUUAUUUGUUAGAUGUUAAAUAUAUUAAAUAAAUACUACUUAGUACUAUGGUCUAGUAGUAUAUCUCUUCACUUGUAAGUGAGAGGUUUUAGGUUCGAUUCUCGUUAAAAACGAAUUUAAACCACAUUAUUGCUAACACAUUGUGAGGCUAAGUCCACUCUCUCCUCUUAGUGUAGACAAUAUCGGUUGUUCGAAAAAUAAAUAAAUAAAUAUAUAUGUAUGUAUGUAUAUAUAAUGUGUGUACCGCAAUUAGUCCCAUAUUGUUGUCUCUCUAUUUCCAACGAAAGCAAAAGGUUGAAACGAAGAGGUGGAAAUACGGUGAGGGACCAGAUGUAUUUAUAACAAGUUAGCACCAAAACUUUUGUCGUUUUGGUUGUAUUCUUUUUGUUUAUUUUCCGACUAUAGUUUGACUUUAACAAAAAAUUACAAGAGUUGUCUUUUUGGUUUUUCCGACCAUAAGAGUUGUCUUUUUUAGUUGAAAAUUACUUUUCUUAAAACAAUCGGUAUUCGAAGGAGAUUUAAAUUCGGGAACUUCUUUAAUAUUGAAAAAAUAAGUAUUAGAUCGUUUGCUUGCAUCACAAAUAAAUUGAACUUCUUUAUCAUAAGAUUGUGCCAUAGAGGGGUUUAAUCUGUAGUUAAGUUUUUUUCCUAUGCCUUAUCACCAAGGAUUUUGUAUUUUCUUUGUGUUUAUGCCAAGAGACAAUCCUAAACUAAUCGGAUCUUAGUUUGCAACUGCAAAAUAACUUGGAAGACAAAUAGUAAUGCAAGUAAUGACAGAAAGGAAAGACAAGGAAGUAAAGGAAGGUUAGAUGUUCAUCAAAUGUUAAUUAACAAGAAAGUAAAUUGCAUAUAAGGCUAAUAAUUUGAAAAGAAAUGACAAAUACAAGUAUUCAGGCAAAGUUUAAACCUAUUCAAGCAAAAAUUGACUACUAAUAGGCAAAUUCUUGCAAGCAAGGGAAUUUUUUUUAGAAAGGAAGUUAAUACAAAAAAUCGAUUCUACAAGUGAUAUUGCAGAGCUAUAAAGAAAAAUGAAAACUAAUAAAAAGAACUUGAAAACUUUGAGUUUUAACAAUAAAGACAAAAUAAAGGGUAAAGUGAAUAGUAUCAAUAUUAACUUUUUAGUGUAAAAAUGUGGUUUUUCGUUAAAGUGAACAGUACCAGGGGCUUUGCAUGAAAGUUCCCUAAAGAAAAUGAGUGUCUGAACAACAAAAAGAAUUUGUAAAAAGUAGGUUUGCAGAGCUUUGAAGUCUUUUUGUGUGGAGUGAGUGUCUCUUUGUGCAGAGCUUUGAUCUCUUCCACCAAGACCAUUAAAUCAAGUGAUCCAGACCCUUGAAAUUUGAUCUAAUGGCUAAAAACAGGGGUUCCCUUUAAAAGUUAGAAUAAUAUUAGCUAUUAAAUCAAAUUUCAAAGGUCCGAAUCACUUAUUUUAGUGACCUUAGUGUAAGAGAUCCUUUAUACUUCCCUCUUAGUUCAUUCCUUAUGAUCCAAUAAGUUGCUGAUUUGACUACUGCCAGAGGAUGAGUUUUUCAUCUCGCAGCUCGAGCUUUUGUCCCUUUGAAACUACAAUUUUUCCACCAAAUAGCAACUGUCCUCUGAAAAAAAAAGGAGGAUAAAUCUCAGUUUACUACCUCUUAUAUUUUGUGGUUUUCAACAUUUAUUACAUCAAGUUUUUUUCAUCUCAGAGUCAUACCUAAAGUGUAAAUUUUGGGACAAUCUCAUACAUCCGUUAGUCAAACUGUUAAGUCUCCCUGUAACUGAUGACGUAACGCCCAUGUGGACAAUGAUUGGGCGCCACGUGUCAAUAGAGAUCCACUUGAAUAUUAAAAAAAUUAAAAAUUAAAAAACAAAAUAAAAUCCCCCCUAUCUCCUACCUCCCUCAUUCCCCUCUCUCUAUUCCUUCCUCUGCAACCCACACCUCCCUCCCUUCCAUCUCUCAUCUGCAACCCGCAACACCUCCAUCAUUCCUCUUCAUACCACCACCUUCCCCACCAUUCCUCUCCUAACCCCAACCCUCUUCUUCCUCCUCAUUCUCCUGCACCCCAACCUUUGUCGUUGGCUGUCCACAACCGACCCGUCCCUAAGCCCCUGGAGACAAUGCCAUUUUCCAUUUUUGCCGAUGUGGAUCCUGUUGAAAAAUAUUAGUAGUUAGGUUUAUUGUAGUAUUUGGGUUUUGCUUGUUAGUUUAGGAUUUAGGUCUAGCCCAUCCGAGUUAGGGUUUCUUAGAUUUGGUUCUCUAUAAAUAGAGUUUGUAAUUUAGUUUGAGAAUAAGUCAUUCACAAUGUAGUCUCUUAGGGUUUUGUAGUCGUUUCGGCAUUCUCAGUUAGUUUAAUAAUAUUCUUAUUAUUUUGUUAGUCUUGUUCGUUUCGCACUCUGAUAUUCAACUUGGUAUCAGAGCAGGUUUGAUCCUUCGGGAUUUAAUCUAUUCGUCUCAUAUUAGUUUGUUGUCAUCUUCCUCUGUUUGAUUGUUCCAAUUUAGAUUCAUCGUGGAAAUUGUUGUUGAUCGUUCUUCAUUGUAGUCCAAAAAAAAAAAUUGUCUUCGUUCUUGUCCUGUACUCCGGCUUAUGAACCUACACCUGACCUGCAUCCCACAACAUUUCUGCAUAUAAACUGUUGAACCACCAUCCGCAUUUGCAUGCACCCACUGCUGAAAUUUAUUCGUCCUCGCCAUCACACCACACCCACAAUCUGCUACACCCGCGUGACUCUGUGAACUUCUUCCUGCAUCAUACCUGCAACCCAUCUGCACUCACUCUUGGAUCCAUCUCCUCCUCACUGACCUUCUGCACCAUUCCCGCGGUCCAUAUUCAUCCCCAACGAAGCCCAUAUUCGAGAACCACUCGGAUCGAGCUCGUCUCCCCUUGAAGUCUUGUAAACCUGCAUCUGUUUCUGUUCCGCACCACACACCCAUUGUCUGCAACUUGAGCCUGUAUAUGCACCUGUGCUGGUUUUGUGCGAAUUGAAGAAAAGAAAGAGAAAUAUGGAAAAGGACAAAAGACAAAUUGGUUUGGUCCACACGGGCAACAAGAAGAAAUUGUUGGUUUUUGGUUUUUUCUUUGGGCCCACGUUUGAUAUUGGGCUUGUGUUUGGAGAAAUGACCAAAAUAUCGAUAUUAUCGGUGAAAUAUCGCCGAUAAUAUUGUUUUUUUUUGAGAUGACAAUAUUUCCACACUUAUCCACUUAAUUAUCGUCAAAAUAUCGCGAUAUUAUUGAUAAUAUCGUUUCUUCCUCUGCAGCUCUGGAUCGCUCAUGCUCCAACUCUUUGUCACCGACUUCCCCUUCCUGAACUUCUCGCCGUUGUUUCCCGCCUGGGUUUGCUGCUGCUACUGUUGCGGGUGCAUUGAGGACACGUAGGACGCAUUGUAGACAAGGAAGAAAGGGAGAAAGUUGACGAGGUGAUGGUGGUGAUGUUGUCGACGUCAGGGUGGCGACGGUGCCUCGGCGUGGGUCUGGGUUCAAACGGAGAGGGAGAGAUGAGUGAGAUCUUUGAGAGAGAUAAAACUGAGCUGAGAGGGGGUGGCUCGGGAAAGGAGAAGAGGAAAAGAGAUGGGGACUUGCCACGUGGCAAGUUGUGAUAGGAUGAUAAGAGUUAGGAAAUCCCAUCCGGAUAGGGUAAGUGUUCAAAUGACCAAAUUGUAAAAUUCGUUAACUUUGAGGGACAAAUAUCUGAAAUUACAAAUUAUUUAAGGGUGGGGUUUUAUAAUAGGUGUUGGACAAUUAUUGGGCCACCUAAGUCAGUAAAAAUUGGGUACUAACACCUUAUCCCAGUAUUAUCCUGCUGACCAUUUGUUUUUUUUUUCUCUCUUAAAAUAUUGUGCUAACCACCACUUCUCUUCUGGUCUUUAUCUUUCUACCCCACAUGUUUGUUUACCCAUUUCCUCCCUUGUUUUUUUCCUCUUAUGACCCCAUCUUUUUUGUGGUUUAUUAACUCAUUUCUCUUUUUUUUUUUUUUUUUUUAUCUUGUAUGUAUUUUUAUUUUCUCUUUUAAGAUUUCACCGUAUUUAUCUUAAACUCUCACAUUAUUUAUAAAUAUCAUAUUACUUUUUAAAAACAAUGUAAAUAUUGUUUAAUGCUUAUUUUAUGAUAAUUUAAAUCCAUCUAGGCUCCUACCUAGAUCUCGCUUAGACACCUAGCUGCUAGUUCCCAAUCCGCUGUUUGACUAGCAUCUAACAUUUUUUAGGAUCUAAUCCUAGCCAAUUUAAACUUUUUACAUUGGCUUUGAUAUUAUUGCUCAUAACUGCUUUGGUAGAGAGACUGUUUUCUAGUAUGCAAUGUAUCUUACCAUGUAUCUUACCAUGCAAUUAUUGGGCCACCUAAGUCACUCAUGUAUCUUACCAUGUAAUGUAUAAAGUGUAAAAUAUUGUACUAAUUCAUUAUAUAUAAAUGAUUAUGGUGUGUUUAAACUUCUUUCAUCAAUUACUACAUAUUUUCUACACUCAUAAUGUUUGACAGCUCGCUAUAUAAUCAACUUAAAUAAGUUAAAUCCAUCAUGUAAUGCAUUUCCUUCCAAUUUUUUUGUGAUAAACUAAUAGAUAAUUGACUAAAUAAACAUCCUACAAAGUUUCAAUAAAAAUUUCCAAGUUUUCCUUACAAUUUCCGUGGUUUUUAUUCAAUUUUUAUCGAUAUCGAUAAUAUCCCGAUAUUUUCAUUGAAAUUUUCGUGUUUUUGGACUACCGAUAUUUCUGAUAUCAUCGAUAUUUUAGACCUUGGUUUGGAGCAUGUAAUUGUUAACUGUAAUGAUUGCUCGAGUGCUUGAACUGGUGAUCACUUGAUUGACGUUGCGAAAGUUAGAUUUUUUGUUUUGUUCAAGUUUGUUCGGAAGUUGGCAUUGGCAUUGGCAUCGACAUCGGCAUCGGCAUCGGCAUCAGCAUCAGCAUUGGCAUCGACAUCAGCAUCAGCAUCGGCAUCGGCAUCGGCAUUGGAAUUUGGAAGCUUGCAUCCACAUCUGCUUGUUGGCAAACUCAUGCCAUGUACCGCCAUGAGUUUGACGGGGGGUGUUGGAAAAUAUUAGUAGUUAGGUUUAUUUUAGUAUAUGGGUUUUGCUUGUUAGUUUAUGAUUUGGGCCUAGCCCAUCCGAGUGAAGGAAAUUUUGUGAAAAACAUGUUCAUUUAAGCAACAUCUAUAGCAUGCAAUUAACACUUAAAGGCGGAAUCAUGCUUGCAUGCACUUAAAAACAAAACAUUACCCAUGAAAUUCAAAGCCUAGUAGUUAGGUGAACCAAGACUCAACUCAAAACAAAGUUAUUUGAGAAAUUUAUACCUUUGUUGAUUCCUCUUUGUAUAAGCAAAGGAUAAUCACCCAAGAGAUAGGGCAUUCAUUCCUUGCUUCUAAGAUCCAUCAAUUUCUAGGAGGAGGAUGGUAUAAAAGAUUCUCCAAGUUCUCAAAACUGAGAACCUCUAAGUCUCCAUACCAAGGAAAGAUUGAUGAAGAAAUGAGUGACAUAGAGGAAGUAAGAUUGCUAGCUAUGUUCCUCUAGGGUGGCCGGCCUCUUAGAGAGAAAAGAGAGCUUGUGUUCUCAUCUUUUCUCCAAAAGAAAACCCUAAAUGAAUUUUGGCUAUAAAAUCAUAUUUAUACCUACAUUCAUUGGAGUGGCAAACUUGUAAUUAAGUCCAAAACCCACUCCUUUAUCAAUAUGGCCGGCCAUAGGGUUUCAUUGGGCUUUUAGGCCUUUGUGAAUUAUUUGUCAUUAAGUUGUCAUACAACUUAAGUCAAUGGGCUUGACGUUCGAAGCCCAUUGGGCCUUGAGGCCCAAAACUAACCCGUGGUCUUUUAACGAACUUUAUUCGUUUGAUUAAUUAACAUAUUAAUUAAUCCUUGCCAUAAAUAAUUAAACCAUUUAAUUAUCCUUACUCAUCUCCGUUGUUUAUUCAAUCUCUGCCUUACCCGGUGUACGAUCCAUUAGGUUCUUUUUAGCGAGGCAGUGUGCGAUUAGAACUCUUUCAAAUUGAUUGUGAAUUGAAACUUACUUUCAAUUCUCCCUUUAGUGAUUAUAUACGUCUAGGGUUUCCACAAACCAUGAGUGACACCUAUCAGUAUGUCAUGGUUACCCAAGCUAAUCAGAAGAGGUGGAGAACCUAUUCAGUUGAGGAUUACAAUGCAAUACGGUUUUUCUCUAAUACAAUACUUUUGACCACAUUGUUUGGUUUGAUAGUUUAAUCAUGUCUACUAUCCAAUGUGAUUCAUUUACUUAUAUGAUUACCUUGAAUGUGAUUUGGAACGACUUCCUAAAUCUCAUUCAUACUCUGGCCAGAGAUUCUUAAUCAUAUCAUAGAGUAUUCUCCUUUAAACGGUUUGAAGGUUAGAGAUCCUUGUUGCGCAUUCACUUGCCUUCAUGGCUAAGUGGCUUAACCCCAACUAUGCCGUGGACACCCUCGGACGGGGUGACUUUGACAUAGUCAAAGAUCAAGGACCUAACCACAAGACAACUAUGAUGCCUCAGGUCAAAGGACUACUUUGCAUUAUCCCAACCAUGAGUUCUCAUAUGACAUGAGUAUGAGAACUCCUCGUUGAUCGUGUUCAGUGGACUCAUUCGUUAUUGAGCACCUACAUGCUUGUCUUGGUGUCAAUCACACCAAUGACUCGAGACUAGUCACUCUCCCUAAGAGAAGACAUAGCAUGUACUGAUCUUAACGGACUGUCAAUGCCCAAUUGGCAAUCCUAUGAUCAGGAACGUUUAGGGUAUGUAUAUUAAUCUAACUUGUUUAAAUUACAUUCUCCUAAUUACAUCUUGGACUUAUCGUUUAAGCAUACAACAAGUAUAUGAGACGGCUUAAAACAAUAAUCUUUGCCCUUGAUAUUAAACUAGAUUAGUUUAACAUGUGAAAUGUCCGUAAAGUAUCAUCAUAUAAUUGGUUUUAGGGCACAUUUCCAACACCGAGUUAGGGUUUUUUAGGUUUGGUUCUCUAUAAAUAGAUCUUGUAAUUUAGUUUGAGAAUAAGUCAUUCACAAUGUAGUCUCUUAGGGUUUUGUAGCCGUUUCGGCAUCUGAGUUAGUUUAAUAAUAUUCUUAUUAUUUUGUAGUUUUUUUCGUUGCGCACUUUGAUAUUCAACUGAUCCGGCCUCUGCUUUCGUCGUCAUUCCGCCGAGGAAGCUGCAGUUCGAUGAGCUUGCCACGGUUCAUAUCUUUUAGGAGAACACUCCUCUGUUGUUUACAUCACCAAUCUUGCAGCCAGGUACUGUUGAAGUUUGAACCUUUUGGAUUUUGCUGAAAAUUGGGCCACUUUUGGAAUGGGGAGACAGAACGAGUUGCGGGAGCGAGGGGAGGAGUUGCGGGAGUCCGAGUAGGAGUGGUACAUGGCUGACCCUGAGGGUGUGCAAGUGGUGUCACUGCACAGGGCCCCCGAUUUUUCAAUUUUGCAUACAUAUGCAUAUAUAUAUAUAGCUGGAUGUGUAAAAUAUUAAAAGCCUAAGUCUUAGCACAAGUGUUAUUAUUGCUUCUUUACAUCGGCCUAGGGGAUGGGUUUGAAACUCAUCUUCAUCAUUUUUUUCAGUUUAUUUAUAUUAAAUGCAUAUGCUUCCACAAAAUAAUAUAAAAACUCAAACCCUGACCCUCUAAAUAGUUAAGAAAAAACAAUACGUCACCUUUCCACUUGUUGAUUUGUUAAAUUUGUGUGUGCUAUUAGAAUUUAUAGAAGCUCAAUUAAAAACUAAAAUGAUUUUUUUGAACAAAAAAAAUAAAAAAUUAAAUUCUUAGUACUUUUUAGGGCCUCCAAUUCACUUUCGCACAGGGCCCUGAAAUCUCAGGGCCAGCUUUGAUCCUAAUGUCCUUUUCAUUUACAAUUUAAGUAUCUUCUCAAAUUCUACACACAAGUUGAUGCAGUCGAUCACAUGACCACUUUGGAUAUUAAUUUUUAGAACUCCUUCUGUGUAAGUUUAUCUUACAUUAUUGGUCCUAAGUUCGGAUAAAGAAGGAGGGAGAGAGUGUCGAGCAAUUGACAACCGGCACUUCGUUCUUACGUCGUAUCCUUAUGAUAAUGAAUUCUGAAUGAAAUUUCCCCUUUGUAGAAUUAGGCUUUGUUAUUGUUGUUUAAUUUGCGCUUACUAAAAUAUGGGUUCAAAAUUUUAACUUGUACAUGUUUACUGACACAUAUAAUCUCGAUAAAACUAUGAAUUUUCCUUUGAAAGUCCAGAAUCCAAAACUUCAAUUAGAAAUCAAGUCAACUAGAGGAUUAGGUGAUCCGGUUUUCUUGUCCUUCCCCUUUUUCUAAAUGUUGUUGGAUCCCUUGCUUCUAUCAUCCUGUUAAGUAAACAGAAAGAUAAUUAAUGUCAUUUAGCACAUCCAUUGGUGUUUAUACUUUUUAUAAGAAAAUUAAUAUUACAUUUGAUCAACUUUUAUGCCCAACCAUCUUCAUUAUCACCAGUAUUGUACUCCAAUCGCUUCUUCUCUUACAUUGAUAGUUUUUUCAAUAUUUUAUGGAGAAAAAAAACCAGGGUUUUCUUUCGCAAGAAGCAAAUAUAAUGGCAUUAUGAAUGUUAUCCUAUCAAAUUGAAUGUCCUCACCCAUAUUUUCUAAUCUCACUAAUCAUAGUAACCAAACAUGACCUAAGACUUGAACUCAUGAAUCUUUUUAGCACUUAUUUUUAUUUAAAUCAAACGAUGGGAGGUUGAGAGUUGAACAAUCGUUGUAAAUGUGAUGAUAAAUGCUCCAACAUUGAAUUUGUAACCUCUUUAUCAAACUGAACUUUGAUCAUUGACUUUUGUUUAUUAAUCAUUUUUGUCAUUUUCAUCUAAGUUGAGUGCUAAUGCGUAUACGUGACACAACAAAGACUCAUACAUUAGAUGUUUUUUGUUUUUUUAGUGCAACGAUAUAUUUUUUACUAAGGUGAAGGGAAGUUCGGGUAAGUCACACCAUGAACAACCUAAGGUCAGGGCCGGCCCUGAGGGUGUGCAAGUGGUGUCACAGCAUAGGGCCCCCGAUUUUUCAAUUUUGCAUACAUAUGCCUAUAUAUAGUUGUAUGUGUAGAAUAUUACAAGCAUGAGUCUUGGCGUAAGUGUUAUUAUUGCUUCUUUACAUCGGCCUAGAGGAUGGGUUUGAAACUCAUCUUCAUCAUUUUUUUUUCAGUUUAUUUUUAUUAAAUGCAUAUGUUUCCAUAAAAUAAUAUAAAAAUUCCACACAAUAACAUAAAAAUUCAAACUCUGACCCUCUAGAUAUUUAAGAAAAAACAAUACGCUACAUUUCCACUUGUUGAUUGUUAAAUUUGUUUAUGCUAUUAGAAUUUAUAAAAGCUCAAUUGAAAACCAAAAUUAUUUUUUUGAACAAAAAAAUAAAAAUAAAUUAAAUUCUUUGUACUUUUUAGGGCUUCCAAUUCACUUUCUCACAUGCCCUUGAAAUCUCAAGGCCGGCUCUGGUGCGAGAGGAAGAGUGUUGGGGGUGGUAGUUACAACAAAUUAUGAUAAAACCCACAUCAACUUUUCCACAAAUUCAAAAACCGAAGUCCUAAAAUCUGGAAAGAAAAGCAAAACUUUGAAAUUUUGAAUGGGGGCAAGACAAAAUUUUGAAAUUUACAUAGCAGAACAACAUUUUGUGAAAAACCCAAAAGCAAAAAAUGAUGAUGAAAUGAAUCCAAGGGAAAAGAAAGAUGAAAAUUUGGGAAGUAUCAGGAGGACGUUUUGGCUCAAGAGGGAGUAAUGGGGGCCUCUCAUUUCUGUGACGCCAUAGCUUCGAGGUUUUUCGGGACGGUCUUCGUUCUCCUCGAAGUACUUCCAUCUGUACGCCGCCAUCGUCUUCCUCCUCAGGAAUCGAGCUCACAGGACGAAUCAGAGAUUGAGAGAAUUGGAGAAAAGGAAAGGGGUGGGUGAUGGGGGCACGGGUGGGAUUCGGGAAAGACGAAGGUGUUUUUUUUUUUUUUUUUUGAAUAUUUUUUUUUUGAAUUUUUAAUUUCCACAUCGACUCUUUAAUGACAUGUGACAUCCAAUCAUUGUUCCAUGAGCGUCACGUCAUCAGUUAAUUGGAGAUUUAACAGUUUGACUAACGGAUAUAUAAGACUAUCUCAAAAUUUACAUUUUAAGUAUGAUUCUAAUAAAAAUAAAUUUAAUGUACUAAAUAUUAAAAAUCACGAAACAUGAGGGUAGUAAACUAAGAUUUACCAAAAAAUCAACUGAAUUACCUUCUUUCAAUGUGAAAAAGGGUAUCUUUGACGUCGACAUUGCUACAUCAUAAAGUACUUUUAAAAACCUGGACCGCAUACUGUUCACCUAUAACAUAAUUAAAUACCCACUAAGUCAUCAGUUAAAGUUCAGUGGGUUGGGCUAGAACGUGCCUAACAAAUGUUUUCAGUCCAAACAACUUGGCCUUAAAGGCACCUAACAAUUUAUUUGACAUUUUCAGUAAAUUAAAAUCAAUAUUUGAUACUCUUUGUUUGUUGUCUUUUUAAUCUCUUUCCUUGAUAAAAUUUUGUUUAUACUUGUAUUAAAAAAUGAUUAUACUUAGCAUUAAUAUACUAUCAUAUGAUUUUAGAAUGAUAACCGAAUUUGAUCGUACAUAUCAAAUUUAUAAUAAUAUUCAUAAAAAUUAUUAUUAUGGAUGCGUAAGAUUUAAGAAAACAAUCUCAAUUAAUUAAUUUAUUUUAUUGCAAUCAAAAUAAACUUACUUUCCACACAAUAACUUCUUAAUAACAAAACAUUUAAGGAAACAGUUAACUUUCUAUCUAUAUAUAUCCAAAGGAAGGUGAUCACAUUAAGAAAACAAUUAAGUUUCUAUCUAUAUAUAUAGAAAGGAAGUUCACUUAUACAUUCGCCCAUUGAAAGCAUAGUUACGUUUCUAUAUACAGCUCUCUCUCUCUCUCUCUCUCUCUCUCUCUCAAAGUGAUGAUAUAAAUAGGGUAGUGCUAUCCACACUCAUUUUUGCUUACCACACACUCUUCUUAAUUUUCGACCGUCAGAUCAAAUGAAUUGAAGAAUAUCAUUAACUAAAAAUUAACAAGGUAUGUAGGAAGUAAAAAUGAGUGUGCGAGUUACACUUUCUAUAAAGAUACAUUGUGACUUAUAAAUUGCUUGCAUGUAACAGGUGCUUGAUAAGAAGAAAGAAAUAAAGAAUAUUGAAAAAUGUGGAAGCUUAAGGUCGCAGAUGGUGGCAAUGAUCCAUACAUCUACAGCACAAACAACUUCGUGGGUAGGCAGAUAUUUGAGUUUGACCCUGAAGCAGGAACUACCGAGGAGCGAGCUGAGGUGGAAGAAGCUCGUCUUCAUUUCUACAAUAAUCGCUAUCAGGUUAAGCCCAAUAGUGACCUCCUAUGGCGAAUGCAGGUAUACUUUAAUUAGUUCGUCCAAACUUAUAAUGUUGUCAAUUAGUUUACUGCAAAUAAAAGCCACAAUUUGACACAGGGGCGGAGGGAAGAAGAGAAUAGCCUAUCCUCACAUUUUUUUUGCAAGCCUUCCUCUGUAAACAUAUUUCAUUAUUCUUCUUUACAACCCUUCUCCUAUUAGUCAAUAAUACAAAACACAUUAUAAAUUAUCUCCUAUUUAAAAUUCCAACUCCCAUAUUUGAUUCCAUCCCAACACUAAUUUAAUAUUUAUUUAUUGGACAUAAAAUCAAUAACCUUUAACAUUUUGAUAAAAAAAAACAUUAAACCCGUUCACUUUUAAUUAAAACAAAAAACUUCUUUGGUCUUUCUUUCACAGUCAACCCAAGAGCAAGAGUCCAAGACUAAAAAGCUAUUAUUCUUCUCAUUUCUUGAAAUUUCAUAUCUAUUUUUAUAUAAAAUUCAAAUUAAUUCAACAAAAACAAUACUAUUUGUAAAAUCUAUCUUACUUUCUAUAUUUUUUUUAUUGUUUCUCGUCUAUCUUACAUCUUACUUAAGUGUUAAGAGUUUGGACCUUUUGAUUAAUUCUUCUUAUUAAAUUUAACAAUAUAGAUAACAACGUUAUCAUGUUGUUAUCAUGCAACAAUUUCAAAAUAUGAAAAUUCUUGAGAGACAAUUAUGAUUAUUGAAAAUAUAAAAUAUUAUAGAUGCACGUGUUAUUAUAGUGUUUUGAUUAGUAGUUUUGUAACUGUUAUUCAUCAUAUUUUUUUGCAUUUGUGAAAGGCCCCUCCUCACAUGAAAUCCUGGCUCCGCCACUGAUUUGACAAGAAUACAUUUCCCACCAAUAUGAACCUAUGAUACUUAUUUGAUCAUGUUUCUACUAAAUGCCAGUUCUAGUUAUCUUGGUUCCACCCAUGUAGUUUUUAAUUAGAAACAAUACAUGUGCCCACUCUAUAGGUGCACCUACUUAUCCACCACUUAUUAUUAACGUAUCGUAUCAUACUUGCAUAAUCCGAGACAUUAUUUUACUUUUUCACGUCAUCUAAAGAUUUUGUUUGCAAAAAAAGAAAAAAAAUCAAUUUAAAUUUAGAGAUUGUUCAGUCAACCAUAUGUAGAAGAGCACAAUACGAUGAAAGUUGUAAGCUGUGUUCAUUGAACAUGAUCAACAGUUUUGGUAACAAGUAACAUUCUCAAGAUGAAUAUACCGUUCUUGGUACUAGGGUUUAAUAAUAUUCCUCUUGAUGUACUUAUGUUCGAAUCUUGUAAUGUCGAGUUUGAUACCGAUUUAUUCCCCACCCCUUAAUAUAAAUAUACCCGUUCUUGGUUGGGGGCUUUUGGGCUUCUCUCGAUCUUAUUCCUAGUUGGGGAAAAGAAAGGAGCCUUGUUCGGCAGGUGCACAUCAAGUUGUAAAAAGAACAAAUCACCAAACAAACAAACAAACAAACAUCUACUUCUUGUUUGUCUUGUUUCUGGUACUUACAAGUUUUCAUUUCCUAUAUGAUGGGCAACACCAUUAAAAUUUUAGGGUUUAAUAACAUUUAAUUAGUAAUAAUAACGUCAUCAUAACUUUAAUCCUCUCAUUAGUAUCGCUCUCAAUUUUUUGUUCACUAACCGACAGUUCCUAAGAGAGAAGAACUUCAAACAGACAAUUCCCCCAGUGAUAGUUGAGGAUGGAGAGGAAAUCACAUACGAAAAGGCCACCGCUGCAUUGAGAAGGUCUGUCCACUUCUUUUCAGCCUUGCAAGCUAGUGAUGGCCAUUGGCCAGCUGAAAAUGCCGGCCCGUUGUUUUUCCUUCCUCCUUUGGUGAGCAUUUACCAUUUACUAUCAUGUUAAUUGAAUCUCAUGUUCCCGUUUUAGGGCUUAAAAAUAUAUAGCACAUAUAUUGUCGAGUUUUUACCAAAGUUCAAAUUUUAGGAGGUUACUAAUUACUUUCCAAUUUCCUACUCAAAAUUUGCAGGUCAUGUGCACUUACAUUACGGGACAUCUUACUACUGUAUUCCUUGAAGAACACCGCAAAGAAAUUUUGCGUUACAUAUACUAUCAUCAGGUACAUAAAUAUAUAUAUGUGUGUGUGUGUAUUGGUCUUUGUUCACACAAAUUGCAUCAAAUUUUAAUUUUUCAAAAUGUGCUUAUUUGUGUUAAACUACUAACAAGGGUUGCAGUGAAGUUGCCCAAGAGUUUUCACUUCUACAUCCGAAGUCCCGCUCGUAUAUAUAAAAAAAAAAAAAAAAACUGAAUAAAUACGCAUUACUUUUUCGGGUAUUUCAGAACCAAGAUGGUGGUUGGGGAUUACACAUUGAAGGACACAGCACCAUGUUCUGCACAGCUCUCAACUACAUUUGUAUGCGUAUUCUUGGAGAAGGCCCUGAUGGUGGCCAAGACAAUGCUUGUGCAAGAGCUAGAAAGUGGAUUCUUGAUCAUGGGAGUGUUACCCACAUCCCCUCUUGGGGUAAAACUUGGCUUUCGGUAUGCCUAUGUGCAACACUAAGACUAAUUGCUUUUAUUAGGCUUCAGUUAACUGUUCUUAAAUAGCACUAUCACUACGCAAAUCGUCAACAACAUAUUGAUACUUUAUCUAUGCCAUAUAUAGCUAAAUUACAUGAGAUUAUUUGCUAUCGAUAAUGGAGCAAUAUCGACAACGUAUAAAAAUGUAUCACUCUUAAUUCUAAAUAAUGUUAGUUAAGACACACAAAACUAACAUUAUUGUUGAUACACUCUUUAGUAGUGGUGGGCCCCUAUUAACAAUAGAUUAAGUCAAAUAUUGAAGAAUGAUGGAGUCAUAUUUGGCAUUGUGUGUCUAAAUUGCUUUUACUUCAUCAAUGUAACAAUACUUUCUUUUUAUCGAAAAUAAAACGCGACUAGUUGCUUCAAUUUAGUACUGGUGCUGUUUGAGACUGCAACUAUGUAAAAGCAUUUCCCUUUCUAAUUAAUCUUGCUUAAUUGAUUCUUGUAGAUACUUGGUGUGUUUGAGUGGUCCGGAAGCAACCCAAUGCCCCCAGAGUUUUGGAUUCUGCCUUCCUUUCUUCCUAUGUAUCCAGGUUAGCACAAUUCCGGACACCACAAGUACAAAUAAUUCAAUCUUUCACAUGUUGAUUGAUUUAAUUAGUCUCUCUCUACCUAUAGUCUUCUUUUUUAAUCUCUUCUACAUCAUGCAAAUGCAGGAAAAAUUUGGUGCUUUUGUAGGACUGUUUACAAGCCUAUGUCAUAUUUAUAUGGCAUAAGAUUUGUUGGUCCAAUAACACCUCUCAUACUACAAUUAAGGGAAGAACUCUAUGCUCAACCUUAUGACGAAAUUAAUUGGAAGGGAGUGCGUCAUCACUGCGCUAAAGUGAGUUUAACUUGAUUAAGUUAGCUAAUUAGUUCAUGUUUUCUUGUUUUGGUAAAUAAACUGAUUGCAGUAACAAUUUGAUCGCAGGUGGACAUCUACUACCCUCAUCCUUGGAUACAGGACUUUCUAUGGGAUAGUCUGUACGUAUGUACAGAGCCUCUUCUUACUCGCUGGCCGUUUAACAAGCUGAUCAGGAAAAGGGCUCUUGAAGUAACAAUGGAGCAUGUUCAUUAUGAAGAUGAAAACAGCAGAUACAUUACCCUUGGAUGUGUGGCAAAAGGUGUUAUGCAUGCUAGCUUGUUGGGCGGAAGAUCCAAAUGGUGAUUAUUUUAAAAAGCAUCUUGCCAGGAUACCAGAUUAUUUAUGGGUUGCUGAGGAUGGGAUGAAGAUGCAAGUUAGUACACAUUUUGUUAAUACAGUAUAUGAUACGAUGAAUUGUUCUUGAUCCUUUUUUUUCUGUUUCAAAAGUUCACUCUUCUAAAUCAUUGGAAAACAUUAUAAAUUGAUACAUUUUAUUGAUACAUGCAGAGUUUUGGCAGUCAACAGUGGGAUACUGGUCUUGCCAUUCAAGCUUUGCUUGCUUCCAAUCUAACCGAUGAAAUUGCACCCACGCUCGCUAGAGGACAUGACUUCGUCAAGAAAUCUCAGGUUCGUUUUAUAUAUAGUCAAUUCAACUUUCAUAUUUGUAAAAUGUAAAUGUGCAUCCAUUAUUUUGUUCUAACUAGUGACUGUUUUGGAUUGAAAUUGUUAAGGUCAAGGACAAUCCGUCGGGUGACUUCAAAAGCAUGUACCGCCACAUUUCCAAAGGAUCAUGGACUUUCUCUGAUCAAGACCAUGGAUGGCAAGUUUCUGAUUGCACUGCAGAGGGUUUAAAGGUAACAAAUUCAACUUAGUUGUCUAAAAUGUUAUCUCAAUUUUUCUCACCAUAACCCCAUCUACAGUGUUGCCUGCUUUUAUCGAUGAUGCCACCAGAGAUAGUUGGUGAAAAAAUGGAGCCUGAGCAGUUAUACGAUGCUGUCAAUGUCCUAAUUUCCCUACAGGUGACAACAAUUAUUUCUGACAGUCAUAGAUAUGAGUUUGAGUUGCAUUUUGUUGCCGUAAUCAAAUUUGGAUCUAAUGCAUGGCUGCCUUACUUUAAAAGUUUUGAAAACUUUUAACAUUUCAAUACAUUUUUUCUUCAGUGCAUGGUCUAUUAGGUCUCUCUAGUCAUUACAAAUCUCACUGUAUUUCUCAUUGUAGAGUAAGAAUGGUGGCUUAGCAGCCUGGGAACCAGCAGGAGCAGCAGAAUGGUUAGAAGUAAGAAUUUUAAAAGAAUCGGAGUCAUGUUGUCGAACUUAGCCAGAUGCGUAACGAACUAAAUUUUUUCAAAUCAUUAUUAUUUAGUAUAUACUUACUAGGAUAUUGUCCUUUUUUUCCCCUCAGAUGUUGAAUCCCACAGAAUUCUUUGAGGACAUUGUGAUUGAGCAUGAACACGUUGAGUGCACUUCAUCUGCAAUCCAGGCUUUAGUUUUGUUUAAGAAGUUAUACCCUGGCCAUAGGAAGGAAGAGAUUGAUCAAUUUAUUACCGCUGCUGCACGGUACCUUGAAAAUGUACAAAUGGCAGAUGGUUCAUGGUAUAUCAUAUGAUUAAAUCAAAAUUUGAUUAUAUAAUUUUCUUUCAUUAAAAACUAGAGAAGAAAAAGAACUCAGUGAAGAAACGUUUGCACAGGUACGGGAAUUGGGGAGUUUGCUUCACAUAUGGUACCUGGUUUGCUCUUGGAGGGCUAACUGCUGCUGGUAAGACCUUCAACAAUUGUGCAGCCAUGCGCAAAGCUGUUAGUUUUCUACUCGCAAUCCAGAAAGAGAAUGGUGGUUGGGGAGAGAGCUACCUUUCAUGUCCAAAAAAGGUAAAAUACGAGAGGUGGAUUAUGAUUGAAGCUAGCUGCAAGUAUUUCUUAAUUAAUCUCAUUGUCUUGGACUAAAGUAUUUCACUCUAUGGCGGGUGAUACAGGAGUACGUUCCUCUUGAAGGAAACCGAUCAAAUUUAGUACACACAGCUUGGGCUAUGAUGGGUUUGAUUCAUGCAGGGCAGGCGGAAAGAGACCCCACACCUCUUCAUCGUGCAGCAAAGUUGAUAAUCAAUUCUCAGAUGGAAAAUGGUGAUUUUCCUCAGCAGGUAUCUUGCUUACCACAUUAGUUCCAACCAUAAUUAAAAAAAAAAAAAUUGCCUUAGUAUUACUUGCAUUGCAAGCUUGACGAGUACAAAUAUGAAACACAAAAUAGCAUAUCAUGUUGUGUUGUUUAUACGUAUGCUCAAAUUUUUACUUGAAACGUUGUAUAACUUCUUGUUGAAGUCCCACAUCGGUGGGUUCAAAGAAACCCAAUGGGUUUAAAUAGGAUUACCCUACUCUAACUAAUGUCGAGGCUUUUUGUGGUAAAACCUCACACCUGACGGAUUGGGCAAGUGGUUAAGUUGGGGACAGUAUCGGUGUCGUUAGAGUGGGAUGAGCCUGGCGAUCCAAAAAUCCAACACUUCUAACCACUAAUUAUAUAUGGCAGGAAAUCACUGGAGUAUUCUUGAAGAACUGCAUGCUACAUUAUCCAGCUUAUAGAAAUAUCUUUCCCAUGUGGGCACUUGCAGAAUACCGCAGGCGGGUUCCGUUCGUUGAUGUCUAAGCUUUGCAGCCAUGUUCAUGAAGAAAAGAGUGUUUUGAUUCAUUUGAAAGCUUCGUAUUUCAGUUUAGGGAGUAUUUUUGCUCACCACUAUUUAGUUUGGUUAUGCUUACUACUCUAUUUAUCACCGUUAGAUGAGUUUGAGUUUCGAGAUUUGUUUGCAAAUGGAUUAUAAUAAGCUCAUAGGUUUCAUGUGUGCCAUCUGUCAUGUUGGAUGAGUCACUAAGUAAUCCAUGUGCAUUGCACAUGAUCAGUUCUGUGUGUUUUGAUUAUUUGAAAGCUUUGUAUUUCAGUUUAGGGAGUAUUUUUGCUCACCAUCAUUUAGUUUGGUUAUACUCGCUACUCUAUUUAUCAUCGUUAGAUGAGUUUGAGUUUCGAGAUUUGUUUGCAAAUGGAUUAUAAUAAGCUCAUAGGUUUCAUGUGUGCCAUCUGUCAUGUUGGAUGAGUCACUAAGUAAUCCAUGUGCAUUGCACAUGAUCAGUUCUGUUUGUUCGGUAGCGGAGGUCCAACGGCUAUAAGCCUAUGGCCUCUCACACCUUACAUGCUCGUAAUGCUUUACCGAGAAUUAAGGAAUUGGUGUAAUAGCACCAUCAUCUUCUACUUCUCUCCCUCUCCAUUGUUCUCUGCAACUUCUUCAUUUCAAGUUCUUGUUGAAUGUUAUUGCAGUAAAACCAUCAUAAACCACCCAAAUUACAGAAUCUAAUAUGGUCUCAGAGCCUAAGUUUGAUUUAACUUUCAUCUGGGAGUAAAUCUGUGCUUGUAGAAUCAAGCUCACAUUGAGCUUCAUCUCUGCAAUACUGAGCUUUAUAAACACUGAAAUCCGUCAAACCCAAGUCUAACAUGGCUGGAUCAACUAGUUCUGAACUUAGUACAACAGUUUUCAAUGGUGAAAACUACGAACUCUGGAGAAUCAAACUGAACACCAUUCUCAAUCUCAUGGACCUUGGGAUCUCAUUGAGAAAGGGUGUGAAGUUCCUGAAUCGAAGAAGGAUCUGGCUAAAAGAGCCACUGAUGCAAAGAAGGAGGAGGAAUCAAGCACUCUAGCUGAGGUGCUGAUGAAGGAUGCCAAGGCCCUUGGAUUGAUUCAAGGAGUUGCCUCUGAUCAAAUCUUUCCCACAAUCUCAAAUGAAGAAACAUCAAGGGGAGCUUCGGAAAUAUUACUGCAAGAAUUCAGAGGUGAUAACCAAGUUAGGAGUGUGAAAUUACAAGGAUUACGUAGAGAUUUUGAAAUACACUAGAAUGAGAGAUGAUGAAUCCCUUUAUGUGUAUCUUACUCGUUUGUUUGAUAUCAUUAAUCAAAUGAAGAGUUAUGGUGAAGAGUUAUAUAGAGAAAGAGUAGUACAAAAAUUGCUUAUUAGCUUGCCUAGGUCCUGUGAUUCUAUAUGUUAUGUGAUUGAGCAUUCUAAGGAUCUGGAUACGCUAAAAGAGCAAGAAGUUGUUGCAUCCUUGAAGGGUUUUGAGCAACGGUAGGAUAGGAAUGCUGAGAGCUCCACUGAGAGAGCUUUUGCUAGUUUGAAUGUAGGGUCAAAAUUCCCUAAACUAGUGGUUUUUCUGGCAAUCAAAGGACAAUAAAGAAUUGGAAAAAUAAGGGGAAUAAAUGGGAAAAUAAGACACUUUUUGUACCAAAACAAAUUGCAGGACAAGAGUAUAACAUGAAUGCCUGUAAGCAUUGUGAUAAGCUUCAUUAUGAUAAAUGUUGGUUUGAAGGAAAGCCUAAGUGUACUAGAUGUGGCAAGUUUGGUCACGAAGCUAGAAACUGCAAUGGAAACAAAAAAUUGUGCAGAAGGAAAAUUAUGCAAAUCAAGUGGAUGAACUUGGAACUCUUUUCUAUGCAUGUAAUGCAGUCACAUAGGUGAAAGUUAACAGCACAUGAUACAUUGACAAUGGGUGUAGUAAUAAUAUGACAGGAAAUGAGAAGUUUUUGGUUGAUGUGAAGAAGAACCUCACUGCUUGAGUGAAAAUGGCAACUGGUGAAAUUGUCAAUGUUGCUAGUAAGGGGACUCCUUGUAAUUGAAAUCAAGCUAGAAAGAAAACACAUUCAAGAUGUGAUAUUGUUGCCCGGAUUAGAGAAAAAUCUUCUAAAUGUGGGACAAAUGAUGGAACAUGUGGGUAUUAUUUGCUGUUUGGAGGAUGUGUGGUUAAUGUAUUUGAUGGAUGGAGCAUAGACAAUCUGGUGGUUAGAAGCAAAUAACAGGUAACAGAUGCUUUCCAUUACUAUGGUACUUGCAAACUCCAUGCUAUUGAAUAUAAGUGUCUCACAUUGCUCACAGGUUUGGCACAAGAGAUUUAGUCCCUUGAAUGGAAGAAGUCUCACUUUACUUGUAGAACAAGACAUGGUUCAUGGAUUACUUUCACUAGAAGAAUCAAUGGCAGUAUUUGAAGGAUGCAUGCUUGGCAAACAGCACAGAGAUGAGUUUCCAAGAAUGGCUAAUUAGAGAACAAAAUUACCCCUGGAAUUGGUACUCACAAACAUUUGUGGUCCAAUGCAGAUGGCUGCAUAAGAAUGGGUUUAUUUCUUGAGACACAAGUCAAGAGCAUUUGAAUGCUUCAAGGAAUUUAAAGCUAUGACCGAGCUACAAAGUGGUUAUAAGGUGAAAUGGCUUAGAAGUGACAAAGGUGGUGAAUUCAUGUCCAAUGUAUUUGUUGAAUUAUGCAAUUCCACUAAAGUGCAAAGGCAAUUGAUUGAUCAUGUUUUAUACUCCACAACUAAAUGGUGUUGCUGAGAGGAAAAAUAGAACUGUUGUGGAGAUGGCCAAGACAAUGCUACAUGAGAAGAGCAUGCCAUAUCAAUUUUGGUUAAAGCAUCACAUAUUGCUCUCUAUUUGUUGAACAGAAGCCCUACUAAGGCUUUUGAUAAGAUGACUCCAUUGGAAGCCUACAAUGGAAGGAAACUAGGAAUUGCACAUCUCAACAUUUUUGGCUCACUAUGCUAUGUUCACAUACCCUGUAACUCGAGACACAAGCUAGAGAGCAACAAUCAUAAAUGCAUUUUUGUUAACUAUUUUACUAGUGAAAGGGUACAAACUACAUGAGCCUCUCUCAAAGAAGAUCAUACUCUCAAGAAAUUGUAUUUGAUGAAGAUAGCUGCUGGAAUUGGAGUGAAAACUCUGAGGGAGAUGUUAGUGUUCCAAUCCUUGCUGAGGAGGAAGGGACAACUAGUAAACAUAUUGAAGGUACUACCGAAGUUGAUGAUACUCAAGUUUCGACUCCUAUUACUGAACAAAGUAAGGAUAUUCAAGAUGCAUAUGGUGCCAGCUCACAGAGAGAUGUGGAGUUAUCACAAAGUUAUGACUUCACUCCACAAAAGUGGAGGAAUUUGAUUGAUGUACGUGCACACUACAAUGUAUGCAUUAUUGAACCAGACAACUAUGAGGAAGCUGCACAAGAUGAUUCAUGGAAAAAAGUUAUACAAGUUGAAAUUGACAUGAUUGAGAAGAACUACACUUGGGAUUUGGUGAAUGGACCAUGAGAUAAACCUAUUAUUGAUGUGAAAUGAGUCUACAAGACAAAACUCAACCUUGAUGGUACUCUAUAGAAGAACAAAGCAAGAUUGGUAGCCAAGGGAUAUUCAUAGAAGCUUAGAGUGGAUUUCAAUAAAACCUUUGCCCAUGUGGCAAGGCUUGACACAAUUAAAACCUUGAUUGCCUCAGCAACUCAUAAGUGUUGGAGUCUCUAUCAACUUGAUGUGAAGUCUGCAUUCUUAAAUGGAGUACUUAAAGAGGAAGUGUAUGUGGGAUAAUCAUUGGUUUUUGUGAUUAAAACUGAGGAAGACAAAGUAUAUAAGCUAAACAAGGCUUUUCAUGGAUUGAAGCAAGCACUUAAAGCAUGGUAAGAUGAGGUAGAUGCCCAUUUUAUCAAUGAUCGCUUUCCGAGAGUCCUAGUGAAGCUACAUUUUAUAUCAAAAGAAUGGAACCUCAGGUAUCAUCAUUGUAUCUCUUUAUAUUGAUGACAUUGUCUACAUUGGAAGUUGUCCAUUAAUGCUUUAGAAAUUUGAAAAUGUUAAGAUAAACCAUUAUGAGAUGACAAACUUUGGAUUGUUGCAUCAUUUAUUGGGCAUGGGAGUUGUUCAAACUGAGAAAUUCAUUUUCAUUCAUCAAAAGAAAUAUGCAUUGAAACUACUUGAGAAGUUUGGCUUGAAGGAUUGUAAAUUAGUGGGAACACCACUUGCAGUGAAUGAUAGAUUGAGCAAAAAUGAUGGCACUGAACCAGCAAAUGAAUCUGAAUACAAAAAUCUUGUUAGAAGUAUGUUGUAUUUGAUUGCCAUAAGGCCAAAUAUUAUGUUUGCUGCAAGUCUGUUGUCUAGAUUCAUGCAUAAUCCCACAAAGAAACAUAUGGGAACAACCAAAAGAGAGCUAAGAUACAUUUAAGGAAGUGUGGAUCAUGGAAUUGAGUAUAUCAAAGGGAAAUCAACUUUACUAAUAGGCCAUUGUGAAAGUGAUUGGGAUGGUAAUGAAGAUCUUGUGAGGGGUACCUCUGGAUAUGCAUUCAACCUCAGUUUAGGUGUGUUUUCUUGGGCUUCAAUUAAGCAGAAUACUGUUGCACUUUAAAAUGUAGAGGCAAAAUAUGUUAGUGGUGCAGACAGUGGCGAAGCCACGUGAGGGCGAGGAGUGGCGUCCGCCACUCCCCUCGCCGGAAAACAUAGCCCCAGCGCAGGUUCAGCCCCUCCCCUCCCGGAAAACCCAACCCCUCCAUGGCUGUUCUACCUCCGCCACUGUGGUGCACCAUGGACCUGUCCUCGGUUUAAGUUCUUGCUUGGGAGGGUCCUAGGGUGUGCAUGUGUAUAAGAUUGUGGGUAUGGAUGUUGCUCACGGGUAGAGAGGGAGAGGGUGAGGGCGACUUGAGGGAGAGAGAGCUCGGGGAGCUUCGAAGAAGAGCGGAAGAGGGAGUGAGGGGAGAAAGGAAGAGAGAUGAGAGAGGGAGUACGGGAGAAAGGGACAUAUAUCAGGGGGUGGGCCUUGGGCUCACCAAUUAAGACCCCAAAACUAUUUUUAAUUAGGAGUGGGGUGUGACAUCACAUGUAGGCUUAUUUGUAUUAAUACAUUACGAACGAUAAUAGUUGUAACUUGUUUGUAUUAAUACAUUACAAACGACACUUAAAUUUUUUACUAUAUAAAAGGAUUUUGUUGUCUACAUAUUUUUUGGAAUUUUGUACGCUUUUAAAUUUCGCCCCUCCCCUUGAAAAUUUCUGGCUUCGCCACUGGGUGCAGAGGCAACAUCACAAGCUAAAUGGCUGAGAUUUGUAUUGGAGGAUUUUGGUGAAGAACAAAUUAAGCCUACUCUAUUGCUGUGUGACAAUAUAUCAGCAAUUGCCAUUGCCAAGAACCCUGUCUUUCACCAAAAGACAAGGCACGUUCACAGAAAGUUUCACUUCAUCAAAGAGGCAAUCCAACAAAAUGAAAUUGAGUUGGUAUGCUACAAAACUGAGGAACAAAUGGCAGACAUUCGUACAGAGGCGCUACCAAAGGACAAGUUCUUGUACAAAUGGCAGACAUUUGCAGCCAUCUUCAUGAAGAAAAGAAUGUUUUUGAUUCAUUUGAAAAGCUUAAUUUUGUAUUUUAGUUUAAGUGUUUGUAAAUGGAUGGUCAGGAUUAUAAGAAGCUCACAGUCUGUUAUAUUGGAUGAGUCACUUAAGUGAUCCAGUGCAUUGCAUAUGAUCAAUUCUGUUUGUCCGGUACUGGAGGUCCAGUCUAUGGCCUCUUCCACCUUACAUGCUUGUAAUGCUUCACCGAGACUUAAGGAAUUGGUGUAACAGCACCAUCAUCUUCUACCUUUAUCCCUCUCCAUUGUUCCCUGCAACUUUCUUCAUUUCAAUUUCUUGUUGAAUAUUUUGCAGUAAAACCAUCACAAACCACCUAAAUUGCAGAAUCUAAUACCAUUGCCUUCCAUAGCCUAAUUAGGUUUUUUCUGUAUUGUGCAGCUCUUGCAUGCGGCAUAAAAUAUUAAGCAUAAAAGCCAAUUGUUGAAAUUAUGUAUUAUACAAAAAGUGUAUCAAUCAGAUGGGGAAGUAAAAUUUAGCUAUUUGGAAUCAAUGAAAUUAUACUUCUUGUUCAAACUGAAAACAUAUAAAAUAAAAAAUAAAAAAUAAAAAAUAAAAAAUUUAUUUUCUUAGUAGAUGACUACAAUUACAGUAUUAUAGGGCGAAUAUAUUGUGAGAGAUGUUGCUCAAGGUGCUUUCUUAGGAAUUUAGGCCACAGUUGUUAUGAAUGUACUACAUAAAGAACAUGGAGAUUAGAUGCAAUACAUUUGAGAGAAUUUUUAAAUGACACCAAGUCCUUUGUUCAGCUUUUUCUACUGCAUUUCUAAUGUCUUUGUACUGAUUGAAUAGUUCAUUGAUAAUCUUCUUGCAGUGCGUUUUUCACAAGCUGAUGUGCAACCCAGUCGCAUGUGGGUAAUGCACGAGAGAAAAAUUGUUGCUACUACACUCUCCCUUGAGUUGCUACUACACUCUCCAUCAAGUCUUCACGGAUGAUUGUUGAAGUCUUUGAUCAGUAUAGGCAAUACACACGCAAAUCUAUGUUAGGAAUGCAUGUAAGAAAACAUAAGCUCACAAAAACCUGACAAUGGUAAACCCAAUGCGGGACAAGGCACAAAGUCUCGGAGAAAAAGGUCAGUAAUACAAAGUCGACACUUGAAGUAAUCAAGCUGUGAUUAAUGCUCGCAUUAGCAUAUGACCAGCCCAAGAGAGGUGCCUUAUUAAAACCUUGUUAGGUUAGCGAAAUUCUUAGAAUCUGUCUCGGUGGUGAGUGGUACAGGAAUACGUUCCUCUUGAAUGAAACCAAUCAAAUUUAGUGCACACUGCGUGGGCUAUGAUGGGUCUGAUUCAUGCUGAGCAGGCAUAAAGAGAUCCCGAGCCUCUUCAUCGUGCAGACCUAACUUGCAUUGCAAGACUUAUGAUGAAAAAGAUCAAAUGCAUAAUAACAUUCCAUGUUGGAAUAUGAAUACAUUUGUAAUCAAUCACUGAAUUAUACUGCAGGAAAUCACUGGAGCCUUCAGCACGAACUGCAUCCUACAUUAUCCAAAUUAUCGAAAUAUCUACCCGCUCUGGGCUCUUGCAUAAUACCGCCGGAGGGUUCCAUUGCCUUCCAAAGCCUAAACAAAUCGCCGGUUGAAAUGUACUUUUACUACUUUUCAUGUCUUCUGGUCAUUUCUAUCUUCAACGGUGUUGCUUCAUGCACGGAUGUUUACAUCGAUGUAUCUACGAAUAAUUAAAGAAAGAAAAGCUUUGCGUUUAUCCCUACUGAGCUAAAUUUUCUCAUUCUGUUACUAUUUAUUCUGUUUCCAGUGUUCUUUUUAUCUCUGAAUAGAUCAAAGACAAUUUUGAAUUAAUAAACAUAAAGAUUAUGCAGUAUGUUACCAAUAGAAUUACAUGGUUUUGAGCUGAGUUGAAGCUCUCAUACAGGUUUAUAAACAUCAGUUCAUUAUCCGGAGGACUAAGCUUUGAACAAUAAACAAUCAUUCAGAGGGUGUCCAAUACCUGGCACGGAUAUUCUCCGAGGGCCCAAACGGGAAAAAUGUUUCGGUAGGCUGAAUAGCUGAUCAUACAGUUCUUGUUGAAAACACCAGUGAUCUCCUGUAUGGGGAAUGAAAACAUUACUGGUAGUGCUAGUUACAAAUAGGUUGAAAAUUAGCUAUGCAGUUUCGAAUUCACAUGGGGUUAUCAAGGAUUCACGAUAUAUCUUUUUGUUUUAUAAAGGUCUUUACACCUGCAUUUCUCUCUGUACAGUUUUCUUCUACAUUGGCUAGAUGUGUUGAAAAUGGCAGUUAACAUGUCUAUAAUCAAACCAAACAGAAUAGAUUUCUAUGGCGACAGAAAAACCAUGUAAACUUUAUGUGAAAAAUUGAGGAAAAAGUUGCUAGAUUACCUUUUGAGGGAAAUCUCCAUUUUCCAUUUGAGAAUUGAUUAGUACCCUAGCUGCCCGAUGCAACGGAGUUGGGUCUCUCUUAGCCUUUCAAAGAGGCAAACAUGAGAAGAAAAUACAGGUAUUAAAGUCAGCAACAUGUGGAAGUUAUACAGUUAUUCGUAAAACGUUCCAAAAACUAUGUUUAGCUGCAAAUCAUUGAUUCAUUAUGCAGCAGCCAGCAGCCAGUUCGAUAAGUGGAUGAAGAACUCGAAGGAUAAAUUUAAUAAAUCGCAUGGGAGGGAGAAGAGAUGAAUUUGAUAUCCAAAUGUACCUGCCCGGCACCAAUGAGGGCCAACAUAGCCCAUGCAGUAUGAACUAUAUGUGGCCUAUUGUCCUUGAGAUUUGUGUACACCUGACAUAUAAACAGUCAGCAUUGGAGUGAUGCAAGUGUAACGUAGAUCAUACAUCUUGCCACAUGAGUAUGCGCGUGAAACCAGCAAUUGACUGAAGGAAUGAAGCAAGCUCCGUGGGUAUGAAAGACAAAAGAAAGUAUAUUUCAAAUUUGAGGAAUCAUUAAACCUUGUUCUGACAUGAUAGAUAGCUUUCUCCCCAUCCACCUGAAGAAAGCUCUUUGGAUAACAAAAAGUCGCAUGCUUUACAAAUGCUAGAGCAGUCUUCCUAUGUCCUUCCCGCAGCAACCAACCCUUUUAUUCCAAACCACCCAGCAUAGGUCAAGCAUACUCCCCAGGAACCAUACCUAUCAUAAAUCUCCGUGUAAAUUGGUGCGACUACUUUCAAGAUCACUAUGUUUCUAAAUUGUCAAACAUUAGAGAGGGAGAAAGAGGUGAGAGAUUCUGUCCUACCAAACAGUCUAACAUGUUAUGUCGUUCGACUGUUGAUAAAGAUUGUUGGCAAGAUGGAAUGAUGUUCGAAUAUGCAGUGUUUUAAACUUGACUGAUUUACAUGUCUGACUGUCUGACAAGAGAGCAUCAUGCAAUAAAUGUGUAUGCAUGCAUGAGUUCUCAAUUGUGCAAGUCGUGGAUGCCAAAGACCAUUGCUAGCGGGAUUGCAUUGACUUCGUGGAUCACUUGGACUACACAUCGAAGUCAAUACAACCAAAACCAUUCAGCCAUCAUACAUCCAAACACGAAUGAAAUGCCCUGUAUAUGUAUGCACGUAUUUUUAAUUGAAUUCGGUUACAAACCAAGAUCCGUCUGUUGCUUGUAUCGUUUCAAUGAACUUUCCAGCACGAGCAAUACAGUUUUCUAUUUCUUCACUCCUAUGCCCAGGACAUAAUUUUUUGAACAAUGCAAGUGCUUGAAUUGCCGCUGAGGUGCAUUCAACAUAUCUGCAUCCCCGUUCCAGUCAAGAUGACUUCAGGCAUCUUCCAUGAUAUAGGAUAAAUUCAAAAUAAAGUGUACAGAAAUCUUACGGAUAAUCAAUAACAAUGUCACCAAAAGUUUCGGCUGGGUUGAUUAGCUGAAAAUAGGAUAGAGUUAAGCAUAUGCAUUAUGGAUUCAUAUUAGAUGAUGGUAAAAAACAUGAGCAGGCUAGGCAGCAUAUAAAUGAUACUUACCUCCAACCACUGGUAUGAUCUAGUUAGUUCAUAAGUUGCAAAACCACCAUCGUCAUUCCACAGUACUUCAAGAAUCCAAAGAUUAGGGGAAUAGUUAAAUACUCAUAAAACCAAAAUGCAGGAAUAUGUAAAUACUCUGUCAACAAAUUAAGACUUGAGCUGAGCUGCUGAUACGAAUCGUGACAUAUUGACAAGGAGGGUUCUUUUAAAAAUAUAAAUUAUAAAGAGAAUACAGGUUGACACAUUAUGUCCGGUAGGAUUCAACUCCCGUACAGCCAGUGAUUUACCUGUAAGGAAAGGGUAACAUUUACUGCAUCAUAAAAACGCUUUAUAUCUAAUGAGUCCCCAACUGUUUCUGCUGGAAGUUUUGAUAGUAAUAAGGCAGCCUGCACAAAGAAGUAAAUAUUAAAUUUGUAAUAAAAAGAAUGUCUGUAUGUGAAAUGCUGAGUGUGCAAGCUACCUUCAGCACUUCUGCUGUGCAGUCAGAGAUAGGCCAUCCAUGAUCGGCGGUUGAGAAUGGCCAAGCACCUUUUGAAAUGUGACGAUACCAAAAGUUCAGAUCUCCGGGACAAUCUUCUAAAACCUUCAAAGCAAAAGUACCAGUCAAGCAAGGAUAAUGAGCAUAAUUGUUAAAUGAUACGGUAAAAUUUUCUGCUCACGAAAACCUGGGAAUCUUUGAUAUACUGAUGCGCUUUUCUUAAAGUUGGUCCAUACUUUUCAACAAGGUUAGUUGAUAUGAUCGCUUGAAUGGCAAAAGAAGUAUCCCAUGCUUGACUUCCAUUGUAGCCCUGCGGUAAAAGGAAAAAAAAACAUUAGAUAAAAAUCACAAUUAGCAGCAUGUCAGCAAAGUCUUAAGUUGGUAACAAACUCUAGCGAUGCCAGACCAAAUUGAGAUUGCUUCAGGUAAGAAAGAGGGAGUCGGGAAGAGAUGGGAAGAAUCUUAAAAUCAGUUCCAGCCAAUUUAAUGCUAUAACUGUCCUGCAUCAUCAUGCCAUCUUCAGCGAUCCAUAAAUAAUCAGGGAUUCUCGGGAGAUGCAACUUGAAUGCCUCUGAGUUUGGAUCCUCUGCCCAACAAAAAAGCAUAUUUAACACCUACAUCAUUUAAGAAAUAGGCAAUCAAGAAGCACACAACUACAUACUGAAUGAAUCUGUAAACCAAAGAAACAUGUCAAUUCAGCAAUUCCAAUGGCAACCUUGUCAAUAUAUGUAUGGAUCUAUUGGCAGAUGAUCAUAUACAUACCUUGUUAACAGGCCCUAUGCAUAAGUACCGAGUAUUUUCAUCUUCAUAAUGUAUAUGCUGCAUUACAGUCUUCAAAGCACUCUCCCUCAAUUCUUUUGCUGGCCAACGUGUGAAAACAGGUUCAUAAACUUAGUGAAGAGACCCCCACAAGAUAUCUUGUACCAUUGGGUGCUGAUGGUAUAGAUCUUCCUAGAAGUCGUUUAAAACAUCCAGGUAAGAAUUAAAAACAUAUGCAAAAUGAAUUGUCAUCAAUAAUUACCUGUACAACUAAAAUCCGGUAAAACAGAUGCAGAAAUUGUGGUAUAUUGUAUUUGAAGAGUUAUAGGAAAGCAAUCUAACAAUUAAACAUCCGUCGGACUAAAUCCCUAAAUAAAAAAUGUACUUUUACAAAUAGCUAUCAUGUAUUUCACCUGUGAAUAGCCCUAUGAAAAGUAAAAAAAUGUAUAAUUAAACUCACAAGCACGGGACUUUUAUGCAGGGGAGCUGGAAAAAGCAGAGUACGCAGAUGUUUCUUACCAACCUCUGCAUGUAGAUUGCGAGCAUUAUUCCAAUCAACUUCAUGAUAGGGGACUGUAUAAAGCUCCUUCCUCAAUGACCGGAUUGUGGGUGUGAUAGGUCCAACAAACCUCUUCCCAUACAAAUAUGACAUGGGCAAAUAUACCAUUCGGCAAUGACACCACAUUCUUCCUGUAUGUGGAAAAUUUGAAAAUUCAUAAACUGUAAAGAGUAGCAGUUAGGCAGUUAACAACAUUGACAAGUGUAUGAACAUAAUAAUGUUAAUGGGACCUAUGUUAUUUAUUUGAUCGAGAUAUUUUUAUGAAAGGAGGCUUGAAUUUCUUCUAUCCUGCCUAGAAUGAACAUAUAGCAUCAAUGUCAAACGUAACGAUAUUGAUCAAAGACCUGGAUGAAAUGGAAGAGAGUAAGGACAUAGCCACACUUCAGGCGGAAGUGGAUUAUUCCCAGACCAUUCAUAUGCCCCAAGUACCUAUAACCACCAAAGAGUCAGCUAAUAUUUUCAAAAGACAACACCCUUGGUAGAAUCCAACAAGGAAAACACUGAGUUCAUACUGAAAGCCACAUUUUCCCCCAUGAAGUAACUGCAGUCACGCCACCAUGGUCUAAUAUCCACUUGCGUGCUAGUUCGAUUGCUCCCUGUCCAUCAUCAGCACCUUCACCAAGCAACCUCAAAGACAUAAUUAAGUGCAGUGCCAAACAUGGUACUUGGCCCCUCAAUAUGCAGACCCCAUCCCCCAUCUUCAUUCUGCAAAAACAAUUCAUCAGUGAAUUUCUUCAUUUUUCUAUGCGGAAAUCGAAGCUUUCUUAAAAGGCAUUAAUUUCAUGAAAACCAUUCUUACCUGAUGAUUAUAGAGAUAUCUGCACAUCUCACGUUGAUGCUCUUUCAAUAACACAGCAUUUGGAGCUCCAGUAAUUGAAAGUGUAAUGAUCUGUUGCAAUUGGUAAGUAAUACUUAGUCACGCAACAACUACCGAAUGGACCAAAUAAUAAAGGGUAAAAAAAACAAUCUUGAUUAAUUUAUUUUUCACUAAGAAGAAAGGCUGUGAAGUUCCGAAAUGAAUAUGCAGCCAUCUUUAGGAACGUCAAAUUUAUUUCUCAUGUUUAACCAUGACAUACAGAUUUUCCUAUUUUCAUCUUCUGGAUUACACAGUGAUUACUACUUUUCUCCCUUACCAAACCAGGAAGCAGAAACAUGGGACCCCAUAAUCCCCAGCCCAAUGACCGUCAUGCGCCUGGAUUGUUGAAUAGAAACUGACAGCCCUUCAUAAUGUGGUUGUCACUGCCUCUUCCGUCACCUCUUCUUGAUCUUUAACUUUGAGUUGUGGUAGAUUAGUGGCACAUGGAUUCUCCUUUGCAAACUACAUUUCAAAAAUAAGAACAAAACAACAACAACAACAACAACAAAGCCUUUUCCCACUAAGUGGGGUCGGCUAUAUGAAUCCUAGAACGCCAUUGCGCUCGGUUUUGUGUCAUGUCCUCCGUUAGAUCCAAGUACUCUAAGUCUUUUCUUAGAGUCUCUUCCAAAGUUUUCCUAGGUCUUCCUCUACCCCUUCGGCCCUGAACCUCUGUCCCGUAGUCACAUCUUCGAACCGGAGCGUCAGUCGGCCUUCUUUGCACAUGUCCAAAUCACCAGAGCCGAUUUUCUCUCAUCUUUCCUACAAUUUCGGCUACUCCUACUGUACCUCGGAUAUCCUCAUUCCCAAUCUUAUCCUUUCUCGUGUGCCCACACAUCCCACGAAGCAUCCUCAUCUCCGCUACACCCAUUUUGUGUACGUGUUGAUGCUUCACCACCCAACAUUCUCUGCCAUACAACAUCGCUGGCCUUAUUGCCGUCCUAUAAAAUUUUCCCUUGAGCUUCAGUGGCCUACGACGGUCACACAACACGCCGGAUGCACUCUUUCCAUCCAGCUCGUAUUCUAUGGUUGAGAUCUCCAUCUAAUUCUCCGUUCUCUUGCAAGAUAGAUCAUAGGUAACGAAAACGGUCGCUUUUUGAUCUGAUCUUCGCUAGAUUGCUCCGGUCAUUAGUGUGGAUAAGUAUAUAAAUGGAUAGAGAUAGGAAAGCAAACACAAGAUGUACGUGGUUCACCCAGAUUGGCUACGUCCACACGGAAUAGAAGAGUUCUCAUUAAUUGUGAAGGGUUUACACAAGUACAUAGGUUCAAGCUCUCCUUUAGUGAGUACGAGUGAAGUGAAUGAUUUAGUACACAAAUGACAUUAGGAAAUAUUGUGGGAAUGAGAAUGAUCUCGUAAUCACGAAACUUCUAAGUAUCGGAGUGUGGUGUCGUCUUGACUUGCCUUAUCUGUCUCAUAGGUAGAUGUGGCAUCUUCUCUGGAAGUACUCUUCCUCCAUCCAGGGGUGGUAUCUUUAACUGGUGAGAGAUGCACAAGGUAAUGUAUCAAUUUCACUUGAAGCUUACUUGUAGUUUCAGGCUUGGUCAAGCGCGAUACAAACCAUGUAGUAGGAGUCCCCCAAGUCGCCGAGCUAGGGGGUCUGCUGAAAGAGGUGACAGACAAGGUAAGCAAUCAGAGCUCCGACUGAUUGUUCACCUUCUCCCCAUCUUGCAGCAGCAUGAAGGAUAAAGAGAAGAAAAAUGAGAAGAGAUGAUAUGAGAUACUUUUGCUUUUGAAGAAGUAACUUUCCACAGGCUUAUUCUUGAACUGAGCUGGAGGGUUUUUCUGGUUUCCUCCAGAGUAUAAGGCCGACUGAAGAAUUUGAGGGUCAAAACAAGUCCAUCAAAUCUAGAGUACGUUCCACCCUGCUGAUAUGGGAUACUUUUGCUUUUGACAGAGUAAUGGAUGUAUCGGCACGUGUGCUGUUACGCUUGUCUCCACAUGCUUCCUUGUAUCCUUCGCACUUGCCCUAUCUGUUCCUCAAGCAGAUGCGGAAUCUUCCCUGGAAACAUAAGAUGUUGAAGAUGAGUACUCGAGAGCAAUGCCAGGUAAGUAAUCAGGUAAGGGGUUCUAGGCAGUCAGUUCCUGGCUGGAAGCUUGAUUCCAAGUGCUGACUGAUUGCUCUCUUUCUCCUUGUCUUGCAGGUAAAAACAAGGCCAAAAGAAAAAACAGGGAAAAAGCAUGAUAUGGGAUACUCUUGCUUUUAACCCUGAUGAUAUGAGAUAUUCUUGCUCUAGUAUAGCUUGUUUGCAGAGGUAUUAUCGGGGGGAAAGAAAGCUGAAUAUUUCGAAAGGCUUUGUUGGGAGUGCCCUCUCAGAUAUGAUGAAGGGUUGAGCAUUUUUGCAGGUCUGCCUGUCCGUUGGGGAUGGAGGUCGACAUAUAUAGGAGUCUCCCUAACAACAAGUAGUAAUGCUAUUCCUUUACCCUGCUUGGUCAUAGCACGGUAGUGGGAGCUGCCAGUUUCACAUGUUUUAACUCUGUCAGAGCACUUUGAAAAAGUGGUCUGUGGUAUCUGGCUCUCGAGAUUCGGAGAACGAUGCCUCUUCGAUUUUUGAGAAAGCAAUCAUGUUGGGGGUCUGACUCUCGAGAUUCGGAGAGCAGUGUCUCUUCGAUUUUUGAGGAAGUAAUCAUGUUGGGAGUCUGGCUCUCGAGAUUCGGAGGGCGGUGCCUCUUCGAUUUUGGAGCAAGCAAUCUUGUUGGGAGUGUUGUCUCGAAUGUGAGUAAAGGUUGGACAUGUUUGCUAGUCUACCUUGCCACGAAGCACAAAGGUUGACACAUAGGGACUUUCCAAUUAUCCAGCAAUGGUACUGUUCCUUUACCCUCUCUUCGAUUUUGAGAAAGUAGUCAUGUUGGGAGUCUGGCUCUCGAGAUUCGGAGGACGGUGCCUCUUCGAUUUUGGAGCAAGCAAUCUUGUUGGGACUGUUUUCUCGAAUGUGAGUAAAGGUUGGGCAUGUUUGCUAGUCUACCUUGCCACGAAGCACAGAGGUUGACACACAGGGACUUUCCAAUUAUCCAGCAGUGGUACUGUUCCUUUACCCUUGUGGGUAAUAAUAUGGUAGCUAGACCUUCAAAAUUUAUGUGUCUAAACUUUGUUAGUGCUGUUUCUUUGCUAUUCUUUUACCUUUCUUGGUCAGAGCGAUGUAGUGGGAGCUGCAAGCUUCACGUGCUCAACUUUGGCAGAGAACUUUGGCAAAGUGAUCUGUGGUACCCAUGAGUUAUUGUUGCGUGUGGGAAGUGGGUGAUUGAACAGUAGUAAGAUUCAUGUGCUUUCUACUUCACCAGAAGUCUUCGACAGAAUGCCCAUAAUUUCUGCAAAGCUGAGUGUGCGUGUGACAGGUGCUGACAAGGCUAGAAAAAGUAGGUGCCUCUUUGAUUUCUGAGAUCGGCCUCUGUGGUCUCUGAGCAGCCCAGCUUUUGAGAAAGCGAGCGCCUCUUCGAUUGAUUCGGAGAACGGUGCCUCACCGAUUUUUGAGAAAGCAAUCAUGCUGGGGGUCUGGCUCUCGAGAUUCGGGGAGCAGUGUCUCUUCGAUUUUUGAGAAAGUAAUCAUGUUGGGAGAGUGGCUCUCGAGAUUCGGAGGGCGGUGCCUCUUCGAUUUUGGAGCAAGCAAUCUUGUUGGGAGUGUUUUCUCGAAUGUGAGUAAAGGUUGGGCAUGUUUGCUAGUCUACCUUGCCACGAAGCACAGAGGUUGACACACAGGGACUUUCCAAUUAUCCAGCAAUGGUACUGUUCCUUUACCCUCUCUUCGAUUUUUAAGAAAGUAGUCAUGUUGGGAGUCUGGCUCUUUAGAUUCGGAGGACGGUGCCUCUUCGAUUUUGGAGCAAGCAAUCUUAUUGGGAGUGUUUUCUCGAAUGUGAGUAAAGGUUGGGCAUGUUUGCUAGUCUACCUUGCCACGAAGCACAGAGGUUGACAUACAUGGACUUUCCAAUUAUCCAAGCAGUGGUACUGUUCCUUUACCCUUGUGGGUAAUAAUAUGGUAGCUAGACCUUCAAAAUUUAUGGGUCUAAACUUUGUUAGUGCUGUUUCUUUGCUAUUCUUUUACCCUUCUUGGUCAGAGCGAUGUAGUGGGAGCUGCAAGCUUCACGUGCUCAACUUUGGCAGAGAACUUUGGCAAAGUUAUCUGUGGUACCCAUGAGCUAUUGUUGCGUGUGGGAAGUGGGUGAUUGAACAGUAAGAUUCAUGUGUUUUCUACUUCCCCAGAAGUCUUUGACAGAAUGCCCAUAAUUUCCGCAAAGCUGAGUGUGCGUGUGACAGGUGCUGACAAGGCUGGAAAAGUAGGUGCCUCUUCGAUUUCUGAGAUCGGCCCUCGUGGUCUCUAGGGAGCCCAGCUUUUGAGAAAGCGAGCGCCUCUUCGAUUUCUGAGAUCGGCCUUCGUGGUCUUUGAGCAGCCCAACUUUUGAGAAAGCAAACGGCUCUUCGAUUUCUGAGAUCAACCCUCGUGAUCUCUAAGCAGCCCAACUUUUGAGAAAGCAAACGCCUCUUCGAUUUCUGAGCAGGCGCCUCUUUGAUUUCUGAAGCUCCGUCGAGUGCAGAUUUUUAUAGGGGCUGGCAUUAAGUUCCAAAGCACACUUGAAUCUCCACUAGUAGAAGCUUCAUUCUUGCACUUCUAAGAUCUUGAUUUGUCCGACCUCUUCUCUCUUCAACACCUUUGAAAAUGUCUGGCCCCUCCGACCGUCGUUUUGACUUGAACCUUGUUGAAGAGGCAGCCCCGCCUUCUCCAGACAACAUAUGGCGCCCAUCCUUCGUCUCCCCAACUGGUCCUCUUACCGUUGGGGAUUCCGUGAUGAAGAAUGAUAUGACCGCUGCGGUGGUGGCCAGGAAACUUCUCACUCCCAAAGAUAACAGACUACUUUCCCAAACGGUCUGAUGAGUUAGCUGUUAAGGAUUCGCUGGCUCUCAGUGUUCAGUGUGCAGGUUCUGUGUCUAAUAUGGCCCAACGCCUAUUUGCUCGAACCCGCCAAGUUGAAUCAUUGGCGGCUGAAGUGAUGAGUCUCAAACAGGAGAUUAGAGGGCUCAAGCAUGAGAAUAAACAGUUGCACCGGCUCGCACAUGACUAUGCUACAAACAUGAAGAGGAAGCUUGACCAGAUGAAGGAAACUGAUGGUCAGGUUUUACUUGAUCAUCAGAGAUUUGUGGGUUUGUUCCAAAGGCAUUUAUUGCCUUCGUCUUCUGGGGCUGUACCGCGUAAUGAAGCUCCAAAUGAUCAACCUCUGAUGCCUCCUCCUUCUAGGGUUCUGUCCAGUACUGAGGCUCCAAAUGAUCCCCCUCCGGUGCCUUCUCUUUCUGGGGCUCUACCGACUGCUGAGACUUCUCCUAAGCAACCUUUGUGAAGGCUCCCUCUUGUGUGUUUAUUUUGACUCAUGUAUAUGUACAUAUUUGUAGCUUAUCGGGGAUAUCAAUAAAUAAGCUUUCCUUCAUUUCAACGUAUUGUGUUAAAUACACCAAAGCCUUCUUCGCUAAGUUCUUUGAAUUUUCUUUUGUUGAAGCUUGUAUGUUGAAGCUUUCUGAGUGGAGCAUGUAGGUUGGGGUAGUGUUCCCUUAAUUUCCCGAGUGAGGAAAACUUCUUGGUUGGAGACUUGGAAAAUCCAAGUCACUGAGUGGGAUCGGCUAUAUGAAUCUUAGAACGCCAUUGUGCUCGAUCCUGUGUCAUGUCCUUCGUUAGAUCCAAGUACUCUAAGUCUUUUCUUAGAGUCUCUUCCAAAGUUUUCCUAGGUCUUCCUCUACCCCUUCGGCCCUGAACCUCUGUCCAUAGUCGCAUCUUCUAAUCGGAGCGUCAGUAGGCCUUCUUUGCACAUGUCCAAACCACCGUAACCGAUUUUCUCUCAUCUUUCCUUCAAUUUCGGCUACUCCUACUUUACCCCGGAUAUCCUCAUUCCUAAUCUUAUCCUUUCUCGUGUGCCCACACAUCCAACGAAGCAUCCUCAUCUCCGCUACACCCAUUUUGUGUACGUGUUGAUGUUUCACCGCCCAACAUUCUGUGCCAUACAGCAUUCGCCGGCCUUAUUGCCGUCCUAUAAAAUUUUCCCUUGAGCUUCAGUGGCAUACGGCGGUCACACAAACACGCCGGAUGCACUCUUCCACUUCAUCCAUCCAGCUUGUAUUCUAUGGUUGAGAUCUCCAUCUAAUUCUCCGUUCUUUUGCAAGAUAGAUCCUAGGUAACGAAAACGGUCGCUCUUUGGUAUUUCUUGAUCUCCGAUCCUCACCCCUAACUCGUUUUGGCCUCCAUUUGCACUGAACUUGCACUCCAUAUAUUCUGUCUUUGAUCGGCUUAGGCGAAGACCUUUAGAUUCCAACACUUCUCUCCAAAGGUUAAGCUUUGCAUUUACCCCUUCCUGAGUUUCAUCUAUCAACACUAUAUCGUCUGCGAAAAGCAGCAUACACCAAGGAAUAUCAUCUUGAAUAUGUCCUGUUAACUCAUCCAUUACCAACGCAAAAAGGUAAGGACUUAAGGAUGAGCCUUGAUGUAAUCCUACAGUUAUGGGAAAGCUUUCGGUUUGUCCUUCAUGAGUUCUUACGGCGGUCUUUGCUCCUUCAUACAUAUCCUUUAUAGCUUGGAUAUAUGCUACUCGUACUCCUUUUCUUCUCUAAAAUCCUCCAAAGAAUGUCUCUUGGGACCCUAUCAUACGCUUUUUCCAAAUCUAUAAAGACCAUGUGUAAAUCCUUUUUCCCAUCUCUAUAUCUUUCCAUCAAUCUUCGUAAGAGAUAGAUUGCCUCCAUGGUUGAGCGCCCUGGCAUGAACCCGAAUUGGUUGUCCGAAACCCGUGUCUCUUGCCUCAAUCUAUGCUCAAUGACUCUCUCCCAGAGCUUCAUUGUAUGACUCAUUAGCUUAAUACCCCUAUAGUUCAUGCAAUUUUGUACGUCGCCCUUAUUCUUGUAGAUAGGCACCAAAGUGCUCGUUCGCCACUCAUUUGGCAUCUUCUUCGUUUUCAAAAUCCUAUUGAAAAGGUCAGUGAGCCAUGUUAUACCUGUCUCUCCCAAAACUUUCCACACUUCGAUUGGUAUAUCGUCUGGGCCUAUUGCUUUUCUAUGCUUCAUCUUCUUCAAAGCUACAACCACUUCUUCCUUCCGGAUUCGACGAUAAAAAGGAGUAGUUUCUACACUCUUCUGAGUUACUCAACUCUCCUAAAGAAGCACUCCUUUCAUGUCCUUCAUUGAAAAGAUUAUGAAAAUAACCUCUCCAUCUGUCUUUAACCGCGUUCUCUGUAGCAAGAACCUUUCCAUCCUCAUCCUUGAUGCACCUCACUUGGUUUAGGUCCCUUGUCUUCUUUUCCCUUGCUCUAGCUAGUUUAUAGAUAUCCAACUCUCCUUCUUUGGUAUCUAGUCGUUUAUACAUAUCGUCGUAAGCCGCUAACUUAGCUCCUCUGACAGCUUUCUUCGCCUCUUGCUUCGCUUUUCUAUACCUUUCACCAUUUUCAUCGGUCCUCUCCUUGUAUAAGGCUUUACAACAUUCCUUCUUAGCCUUCACCUUUGUUUGUACCUCCUCAUUCCACCACCAAGAUUCCUUUUGGUGUGGGGCAAGAACAAAAUACAUACAUAAAAAAUGGAAAGUAGUUUUACAAAACAUGUUAACUUCAAAACUCAUACGAUUUGGCCCAAAACCACUAAAAUUCUUCACUCAUAUUGGAAAGGGUUUAACAAAUUAGACAUAAUUGAGGACACUAACUCUAAGAAUGGAUAAAACACACUGACAACUUUAAGUUUUAUACAAAAACACCUCAAAGAGCUCAAUUGGAGAACAUGGUAUCUCAAACACAGAUCACCCGAAAGAAAAACAUCAUUCAGACUUACAAUGCCUAAUACUACAAAUGAAAUCCUAGUUUCUACAAUACUGUGUGAAAAACCCGACCGCAUUGUUCAACAGCAUUGUCAAAUAGAGCACAGUUCUAACUGAUGUUAUACAUAAUUCAAUGAUCCAGAGCACCGCAACCAUAAUUUGAACAGUUUGCAUUCAAAUUUCAGUAAAUAAUUAACCUUUUUUCACCCAUAUGCAGUAUAUUCAAUUUCUUGAGAAAAAGUGUCGAUGAAUUGAAAAAUGAAGAAAAACCCAGAUGAAAGAACCUGAAUUCUCAUGAGGAGGUCCGAGCUGUGCCGCCUUUCGAAACGGUGGUUCCAGAAAGCCUUGCGGGCAUCUUCAAUUUGCUGAAGCUCUUCUGGGGUUCCAGUCUCUGGGUGGAACUCCCACACCUGGCGGCCCAAGCGGUUGUUCACACUCUUCAGCCAUUGACCGCCACCUUCUCCUCCCACUGUCUCUGCCCCUACCUUCAGCUUCCACAUUUUUUACUUUGUUCUCUCCCUCUCUCUGUGCCAAUGAGAUUGUAUGUACUUUGCAUACGUCGCUAAAUCCGCGUGAAGUUGAGAUUUGAGAUUUUUUUCGGAACUAUAUUUUACAUUAAAAAGUUAAUUUUGAUAAUAUUUACUUUAUCAUUUAUUUUAUCUUUAUUGUUAAAAUUCAAAAUUUUCAAAUCAUUUUUAUUAGUUUUCUUUUCUUUCUUUCCUUUUGUUGGCCAUGUGAGCACAUCAAUCUUUGUGUAUUUACGGAAAAAAUCAUUAUUCUUCUAAUAAAUAGUUAAAUAUUUGUUUUAUAUAACAGUAUACUCAUUUCAUUAUACUUAAAAAUAAAUAAGUUUUCACCGUAAAAAUAAAGAAGUAGUUCGACUCAAAAUUACAAGAGUUGUCUUUUUGGUUUUUCCCACUAUAAGAGUUGUCUUUUUUAGUUGAAAGUUACUUUUCUUAAAACAAUCGGUAUUUGAAGGAGAUUUAAAUUCGGGAACUUCUUCAAUAUUGAAAAAAUAAGUAUUAGAUCGUUUGCUUGCGUCACAAAUAAAUUGAACUUCUUUAUCAUAAGAUUGUGCCCUAGAGGGGUUUAAUCUGUAGUUAAGUUUUUUUCCUAUGCCUUGUCACCAAGGAUUUUGUAUUUUAUUUGUGUUUAUGCCAAGAGACAAUCCUAAACUAAUCUGAUCUUAGUUUGCAACUGCACAGUAAAUUGAAAGACAAAAAGUAAUGCAAGUAAUGAUAGAAAGGAAAGACUGGGAAGUAAAGGAUGGUUAGAUGUCAAGGAAGAAAAUAUCGGUAAUAUCGGUAGUCCGAAAACACGGAAAUAUCGAUGGAAAUAUCGGGAUAAUAUCGAUAUCGAUAAAAAUUACAUGGAAACCACGGAAAUUGUAAGAAAAACUUGGAAAUUUUUAAUGAAACUUUGUAGGAUGUUUAUUUAGUCAAUUAUCUAUUAGUUUAUCACAAAAAAUUGGAAGGAAAUGCAUUGCAUGAUGGAUUUAACUGAUUUAAGUUGAUUAUAUAGCGAGCUGGCAAACAUUGUGAGUGUAGAAAAUAUGUAGUAAUUAAUGAAAGAAGUUUAAACACACCAUAAUCAUUUAUCUAUAAUUAAUUAGUACAAUAUUUGGAGGUUUUAUUUAGGAUAUUAAAAAAAAAAAAGGAAGUGAAUAAAAUGAUGAAGAAUAAUGUGCCGAAUUUGACACUUUAAAUUUCUUACACAUAAGAAUAAGACUAAACUUUAAUUUGGAUGCCGAUUAUGUUUUUUCAAGUUUAUAUAAAGUAAAAUAAUUGAAUUUUGGAAGCCAGGAGUGUGUCAAUUGAAUUUUGGCCGGCGUGCAAGAUAUCAAUCUCUUCGUCUCGUCGAGUAGUACAACUUUCCUUUUUGUUUCACUCAAUUUCGUUGAGUAUUGAAAAAGUUAUACUCAUUUGAAUCUUACCCAGUUUCCGGCGACCUCAGUGGCUUUCGAGGAAAUUUCCGGCCAAACCACAACGAGUCAGACGUCGUGUGAGGUACCAUUCUCUUCGUCUCUUCGAGGGCUACAACUUUCCUUUUUGUUUCACUCAAUUUCGUUGCGUAUUGAAAAAGUUAUACUCAUUUGAAUCUUACCCAAUUUCCGGCGACCUCAGUGUCUUUCGAGGCAAUUUCCGGCCAAACCACGGCAAGUUGGCCGGCGUGCAAGGCAUCAAUCUCUUCGUCUCGUCGAGUAGUACAACUUUCCUUUUUGUUUCACUCAAUUUCGUUGAGUAUUAAAAAAGUUAUACUUAUUUGAAUCUUACCCAGUUUCCGGCGAUCUUAGUGACUUUCGAGGCAUUUUCCGGCCAAACCACGACGAUUCAGACAUCGUGUGAGGUACCAUUCUCUUCAUCUCUUCGAGGGCUACAACUUUCGUUUUUUUCUUGCUUGAUUUCGUUGAGUUUUGACAAAGUUAUGGCCGUUUAAAGUGGGUGUAAAUUUUCGGCCGAAAUUCUGAUUUUCUUCUAUUGGGAGAGUCCCACAUCGUCCAUGCUUGCUCACUGCCCUCGCAAUUUGUCCUAUAAAACCCACAUUCCCCUGCUCAGUACGCCAUAUCUUGUUCGCCCUGUGGGCUAUGAUCAAGUGAAGUAUGUGUUGAGUUUUCUCAACAUAUUUAAGUAUUUUUUAAUAUUAUGUUGCGAUAUUAUUGAUAAUUUCGAAAAUAUCCCGAUAUUAUCGAUAAUAUUCCGAUAUUUUGACGAAAAUCAUUUGGAUAGUUAAAAAAAUAUCGGAUCUUCAAAAAAACGAUAAUAUCGGUGAUAUUUCGCCGAUAUUAUCGAUUUUUUCUUCCAUGUUAGAUGUUCAUCAAAUGUUAAUUAACAAGAAAGUAAAUUGCAUAUAAGGCUAAGAAUUUGAAAAGAAAUGACAAAUACAAGUAUUCAGGCAAAGUUUAAACCUAUUCAGGCAACUACUAAUAGGCAAAUUCUUGCAAGUAAGGGAAUUUUUUUUAGAAAGGAAGUUAAUACAAAAAAUCGAUUCUAGAAGUGAUAUUGCAGAGCUAUAAAGAAAAAUGAAAAUUAAUAAAAAGAACUUGAAAACUAUGAAUUUUAACGAUAAGGACAAAAUAAAGGGUAAAAUGAAUCAUACCAGUAUUAACUUUUUAGUGUAAAAAUAUGAUUUUUCGUUAAAGUGAACAGUAUCAGGAGCUUUUCGUUAAAAUUUCCUAAAAAAAUUAGUGUCUAAACAACAAAAAGAAUUUGUAAAAAGUAGGUUUGCAGAGCUUUGAAGUCUUUUUGCGUUGAGUGAGUGUUUUUUUGUGCAGAGCUUUGAUCUCUUCUAUAAAGACUAUCGGAUCAAGUGAUCUGGACUCUUGAAAUUUGAUCCAAUGACUAAAAACAGGAUUUUCUUUUAAAAAUUAUAAUAAUUUUAGUUAUUCAAUCAAAUUUCAAAGAUCCGGAUCAUUUGAUUUGAUGACCUUAGUGGAAGAGAUCCUUUAUACUUCCCUCUUAGUUCAUUCCCUAUGACCCAAUAAGUUAAUGAUUUGACUAUUGCCAGAGGAUGAGUUUUUCAUCUCGCAGCUCGAGCUUUUGUCCCUUUGAAACUACAAUUUUUCCACCAGAUAGCAACUGUCAUCUGAAAAUAAAAAAAAAAAAGGUAAAUCUUAAUUUACUACCCUCAUGUUUAGUGGUUUUCAACAUUUAGUACAUCAAGUUUUUUUCGUUUUAGAGUCAUACCUAAAGUGUAAAUUUUGGGACAAUCUCAUACAUCCGUUAGUCAAACUGUUAAAUUUUUCAUUAACUGAUGACGUGGUGCUUAUGUGGACAAUGACUGGAUGCCACAUGUCAAUAGAGGCCUACUUGAAUAUUAAAAAAAUUAAAAAUUACAAAAAAAAACCCACCCCCCUCCCAAAAAAACCCCCUCCCUCCCUUCCAUCUCUCCUCUGCAACCCGCAACACCUCCACCAUUCCUCUCCAUACCACCACCUCCUCCACCAUUCCUCUCCUAACCCCAACCCUCUUCUUCCUCCUCCUUCUCCUGCACCCCAACCCUCGUCGUUGGCUGUCCACAGCCGACCCGUCCCCAAGCCCCCUGGAGACAAUGCCAUUUUCCGUUUUCGCCGAUGUGGAUCCGGCCUCUGCUUUCGUCGUCACUCCGACGAGGAAGCUGCAGUCCGAUGACCUCGCCACGGUUCAGCUCUUUUAGGAGAACACUCCCUCUGUUGUUUACAUCACCAAUCUUGCAGCCAGGUACUGUUGAAGUUUGAACCUUUUGGAUUUUGCUGAAAAUUGGGCCACUUUUGGAAUGGGGAGAGAGAAAGAGUCGCGGGAGCGAGGGGAGGAGUUGCGGGAGUCCGGGUAGGAGUGGUGCGAGAGGAAGAGUGUUGGGGGUGGUAAUUACAACAAAUUAUGAUAAAACCCACAUCAACUUUUCCACAAAUUCAAAAACCCAAGUCCUAAAAUCUGGAAAGAAAAGCAAAAAUUUGAAAUUUUGAAUGGGGGCAAGCCAAAAUUUUGAAAUUUACAUAGCAGAACAACAUUUUGUGAAAAACCCAAAAGCAAAAAAUGAUGAUGAAAUGAAUCCAAGGAAAAAGAAAGAUGAAAUUUUGGGAAGUACCUGGAGGACGUUUUGGCUUAAGAGGGAGUAAUGGGGGCCUCUCAUUUCUGUGACGCCAUAGCUUCGAGGUUUUUCGGGACGGUCUUCGUUCUCCUCGAAGUACUUCCAUCUGUACGCCGCCAUCGUCUUCCUCCUCAGGAAUCGAGCUCACAGGACGAAUCAGAGAUUGAGAGAAUUGGAGAAAAGGAAAGGGGUGGGUGUGCACGGGUGGAAUUCGGGGAAGACGAAGAUGUUUUUAUUUUUUUUAUUUUUUAUUGAAUAAUUUAUUUUUGAAUUUUUAAUUUUCAUAUGGACUCUUUAAUGACAUGGUAUCCGGUCAUUGUCCAUAUGGACGCCACAUUAUCAGUUAAUAGGAGAUUUAACAGUUUGACUAACGGAUGUAUGAGAUUAUUCCAAAAUUUACACUUUAAGUAUGACUUUAAAACGAAAAAAACUUAAUGUACUAAAUGUUGAAAAUCACGAAAUAUAAAGGUAGUAAAUUGAGAUUUACCUAAAAAAUCAAUUGAAUUACCUUCUUUCAAUGUGAAAAAAAGUAUCUUUGACAUUCACAUUGCUACAUCAUAAAGUACUUUUGAAAACCCGGACCGCACACUGUUCACUUGUAACAUAAUUAAAUACCCAUUAAGUCAUUAGUUAAAGUUUAGUAGGUUGGGCUGAAACGUGCCUAACAAAUGUUUUCAGUCCAAACAAAUUGGCCUUAAAGGUACCUAACAAUUUGUUUGACUUUUUCAGUAAAUUAAAAUCAGGCCUUAAAGGUACCUAACAAUUUGUUUGACUUUUUCAGUAAAUUAAAAUCAAGGGAAAAUUAGGUUCACAUUCUUAUUUUUGUUACUCCAUUGAUUAAAAUUCUAUUCAUUUUCAAUUUUUCUUCAAGAUCUUUGGUAUUAAUAACAUCAUUAAUUAUUUGAAUAAUAAAAUAUUUUUAUUUUUAAAUAUAUUCAUUUAGUGUUAAAAAUGCUACAAUUAGUAUAUUUAUAUUUAUGGCUAAAUUUUUUAUUGUAUAUUUUUAUUUUUAGUUUGUACCUAUUUUUAAUUUGCAAAUAUUUUUUAUUUGUACCCAUAUAUUAGUUUCUUUUUGUGCCUAAUUUUUUAAAGUUUUAUUUGUGUUUGUAUCUAUGUGUAUACCUUCACGUGACAUUGUAUAUUUAAUUAAUGAUAUAAAAAUUACAUAUGGUAUAUUUAUGUUUAUGCCUAAACUUUGUAUCAUAUAUUUAUAUUUUUAGUUUGUACCCGCUUUUAAUUUGCAACAUUUUUAAAAAAAUUGUAGUAUUUUCUUUUUAGUUUUAUUUUGUACUCAUGUAUUAAUUUCUUUUGGCACCUAUAUUUUUAUAAAAUUCAUUUGUACUCAUAAUUUUUUAAUCUUUUAUCUGUAUCCUAAUUUAUUUAUAAUGUACCCAUUCUUCUUUAUUAAUGUACCACAUUGUUAUAUGUGAAAUGUACCUAUUUUUUUUGUAAAAUGUACCAAUUUUUUUAACACUAUGGAUACAUUCUUUUGCCAUUUAUUAUUUCUUAUUUUUAAAUAGUUUUUAUCCAUUUAUUAAAUCAAAAUGUUUGAAUUUUUUUAUUGUAACCGUUUCUAAUAGUAUUAUAAUGAGGAAUUUUAAAUUUAUAGGAUUAUAAAUCUCAUAAAAUAUCAAACAAUUAAUGUCAAAAUUAUGAAAAUAUAAAUAUUAAUAGUAAUAUAAUGAGGUGUACAAUGUCAAUGGACUUUGAUCAAACUUUGAAUACUAUUAAGGUUUUAAUCAAAGAAUGUUAAAGAUUAGGGACCGCAUCCAAAGUAUCCCUAAAAUUAAUAUUUGAUACUCUUUGUUUGUUAUCUUUUUAAUCUCUUUCCUUGAUAAAAUUUUGGUUAUACUUGUAUUAAAAAAAAUGAUUAUACUUAGCAUUAGUAUACUAUCAUAUGAUUUUAGAAUGAUAACCGAAUUUGAUCGUACAUAUCAAAUUUAUAAUAAUAUUCAUAAAAAUUAUUAUUAUGGAUGCGUAAGAUUUAAGAAAAUAAACUCAAUUAAUUUAUUUAUUUUAUUGCAAUCAAAAUAAACCUACUUUCCACACAAUAACUUCUUAAUAACAAAGCAUUUAAGGAAACAGUUAACUUUCUAUCUAUAUAUAUCCAAAGGAAGGUGAUCACAUUAAGAAAACUGUUCAGUUUCUAUCUAUAUAUAUAGAAAGGAAGUUCACUUAUACAUUCGCCUAUUGAAAGCAUAGUUACAUUUCUAUAUACAGCUCUUUCUCUUUCUCUCUCUCUCUCUCUCUCAAAGUGAUGAUAUAAAUAGGGUAGUGCUAUCCAUACCCAUUUUUGCUUACCACACACACUUCUUAAUUUUCGACUGUCAAAUCAAAUGAAUUGAAGAAGAUCAUUGACUAAAAAUUAAUAAGGUAUGUAGGAGGUAAAAAUGAGUGUGCGAGUUACACUUUCUCUAAAGAUACAUUGUGACUUAUAAAUUGCUUGCAUGAAACAGGUGCUUGAUAAGAAGAAAGAAAUAAAGCAUAUUGAAAAAUGUGGAAGCUUAAGGUUGCAGAUGGUGGCAAUGAUCCAUACAUCUACAGCACAAACAACUUCGUGGGUAGGCAGAUAUUUGAGUUUGACCCUGAAGCAGGAACUACCGAAGAGCGAGCUAAGGUGGAAGAAGCUCGUCUUCAUUUCUACAAUAAUCGCUAUCAGGUUAAGCCCAAUAGUGACCUCCUAUGGCGAAUGCAGGUAUACUUUAAUUAGUUUGUCCAAACUUAUAAUGUUGUCAAUUAGUUUACUACAAAUAAAAGCCACAAUUUGACAAGAAUAACAUUUCCCACCAAUAUGAACCUAUGAUACUUAUUUGAUCAUGUUUCUACUAAAUGUGAGUUCUAGUUAUCUUGGUUCCACCCAUGUAGUUUUCAAUUAGAAACAAUACAUGUGCCCACUCUAUAGGUGCACCUACUUAUCCACCACUUAUUAUUAACGUACCGUAUAAUAAUUGCAUAAUCAGAGACGUUUUUUUACUUUUUCACAUCAUCUAAAGAUUUUGUUUGCAAAAAAAGAAAAAAAAAUUUAAUUUAGAGAUUGUUUAGUCAACCAUAUGUAGGAGAGCACAAUACGAUGAAAGUUGUAAGCUAUGUUCGUUGAACAUGAUCAACGGUUUUGGUAACAAGUAACAUUCUCAAGAUGAAUAUACCGUUCUUGGUACUAGGAUUUAAUAAUAUUCGUCUUCACGUACUUAUGUUCGAAUCUUGUAAUGUCGAGUUUGAUACCGAUUUAUUCCACACCCCUUAAUAUAAAUAUACCCGUUCUUGGUUGGGGGCUUUUGGGCUUCUCUCGAUCUUAUUCCUAGUUGGGGAAAAGAAAGGAGCCUUGUUCGGCAGGUGCACAUCAAGUUGUAAAAAGAACAAACCACCAAACAAACAAACAAAUAUCUACUUCUUGUUUGUCUUGUUUCUGGUACUUACAAGUUUUCAUUUCCUAUCUGAUGGGCAACACCAUUAAAAUUUUAGGGUUUAAGAACAUUUAAUUAGUAAUAAUAACAUCAUCAUAACUUUAAUCCUCUCAUUAGUAUCGCUCUCAAUUUUUUGUUCACUAACCGACAGUUCCUAAGAGAGAAGAACUUCAAACAGACAAUUCCCCCAGUGAAAGUUGAGGAUGGAGAGGAAAUCACAUACGAAAAGGCCCACCGCUGCAUUGAGAAGGUCUGUCCAUUCUUUCAGCCUUGCAAGCUAGUGAUGGCCAUUGGCCGGCAGAAAAUGCUGGCCCGUUGUUUUCCUUCCUCCUUUGGUGAGCAUUUACUAUUUUACUAUCAUGUUAUUUGAAUCUCAUGUCCCGUUUUGGGCUUAAAAAUAUAUAGCACAUAUUUCUCGAGUUUUUACCAAAGUCAAAUUUAGGAGUUUACUAAUUACUUUCCAAUUCCUACUCAAAAUUUGCAGGUCAUGUGCACUUAACAUUACGGGACAUCUUAUACUAUACUCCCUGCAGAACACCGCAAAGAAAAUUUUGCGUUACAUAUACUAUCAUCAGGUACAUAAAUAUAUUAUAAGAUUAUAUUGGCUUGUUCACCCAAGAUUGUAUCAAAAUUUUAAUUUUUCAAAUGUGCUUGUUUGUGUUAAACUGACUAACAAGGGUUGUAGUUGCCCAAGAGUUUUUCCUUCUACAUCCGAAAGUCCGCUCUAUAUAUAUUAUAUAUAGAAAAAUAAAAUAAAUAAAAAAAACUAAUAAAAUAAUGCUAAUUAAUAAUCAUCUACUUUUCGGGUAAUUUCAGAACCAAGAAUGUGUGUUCGGAUUACACAUUGAGGACACAGCACCAGACUGAACAGCUCUUCAACUAAUUGUAAUGUAUCUUGGAGAAAGUGAUGUGCCAAGACAAGCUUGUGCAAGAGCUCAAUGAUCUUGAUCAUGGCAAUGUUACCCACAUGGCUCUUGGUAAAAACUGCUUCGAUGCCUCUGAACACCUAGUAGAUUGAUAUAGGCUCAUUAAUGUUCUUAAAUAGCACAAGAGACGCAAUGCAACGAACAUAUUGAUAGCUUUUAUCUAUGCCAAUAUAUGGCUGAAUUACAGGAAUUAAAUUUUGCUUCGAUAAGGACAAAUAUCGACUAAUCGUAUACAAAUGUAAUCACUCAUUAAUUCUAAUUUAAUGUUAGUUAGACCAACAAAACUAACAUUAUGUUGAAUACACUUUAAUAGUGGUGGGCCCCAUUAACUAGAUAAGUAAUAAUUGAAGAUGAGGUCAUAUAAUGUGUUUAAGUUUUAUUCUCAAUGAACAUAUUUGGUUAUGAUGGGCUGACUAGUUGUCAAGUUUAGUAUAGUGUGUUGAGCUGCACACCAAAGGUUUGCUUUCAUAUCUGCUUAAUUAUUCUUGGUAGAUACUGGUGUGUUUAGUGUUACUUCAAUACAGAACUGUCACCUUCUAUUCUUCCUUAUAUCCAGUUCACAUCCAACCAAAAGCAGUACAAAUAAUUAUCUUCACAUGUUGAUUGAUUUAAUGUCUCUCUCCGCCUCAUACAUCUUUCACACAUGCAAAUCAGGAAAAAAUGUGUGCUCUGUCAGGAUAUUUUACAAUGCCUAUCAUAUGUAUCUGGCAAAUGAUUUCGUUGGUGUCCAAAACACCUCUCAUACUACAACAAAAUCUUGCCGCCUCUCUUAAGAGGGAGUGUUUUCUGGUAAAUGAGUUUAAACUUGAUAGUAUUAAUAGUUCAAUGUCUUGUUUGGUUAAAGUUGCAGUAAUAUGAUCGCCGUGACAUCUACAAAACAUCCUUAAUACACUUUCACAUGUUGAUUAUGUACAGAGCCUCUUCUUAAACUGCGUGCCCGGUUACAAGGCUGAUCGAGGGCUCUUGAACAUAUGGAGCAAAAAUUAUGUGAACAGGCAGUGUUUCAAUUGUUGAAAAGGUGUAUGCUGCUAGUGUUAGGAAGUCUGGUUAAUUGCCCUUCCAGAUAACAGACUUUAUGACCUGACAUGGGAAUGAAGAUGCCGCCACUUUGUUAAUACAGUAUAGUGAUACGAUGUAAUUGUUUCUUGACGCUGCAGAAGUUCACCUCUAAAUCAUAGUGUCAUUCGAAUCUUCUAAUUUAUGAUACAUGCAGAGUUUUGGCAGUAAAACAUGGGAUACGCUCAUUGAAGCUUUGCUUGCUUCAAUCUAACUGAUGUUUGACCCAGCUCGCUAUAAACAUGACUGUAAGAAAUAUCGUUUAUAUACAAUCAACUUUCAUAUGAAAAUGUAAAUUGAGAAGCUGUUCUAAUAUGACUUUUUAUUGAAAUUUUAAGUCGAAGGACCAAUCCGUCGGGCGACUUGCAAUAAAGCAUGUACCGGCCCACAGUUUCCAAAGAUCGGUGGACUUUCUCUAUCAAGACCGAUGGAUGGCAAGUUUCUGAUUGCACUGCCAAGAGGUUGUAAAAGGUAACAAGAAUUCAACUUAGUUGUCUAAAAAAUGUUACUCAUUGUUCUCAACCCAAUAACCCCAUCUACAGUGUUUGCCUUGCUUUUAUCGAGCUGCCACCAGAGAUAGUGGUGAAAAAAUGGAGCCUGACAGUUAUACGAUGCCUGUCAAUGUCCAAUUCCCAACAGGUGACGAACAAAUUAUUUCUGACAGUCAUAAGAUAUGAUUUGAGUUGCAUUUUGUUGCCUAAUCAAUUGGAUCCUAAUGCAUGCUGCCAUUGACUUUAAAAGUUUGAAAACUUUUAACAUUUCAAUACAGUUUUUCUUCAGUUGCAUGGUCUAUUUAGGUCUCUCUAGUCAGUGUACAAAUCUAACUGUUUUUUCAUUGUAGAGUAAAGGAAUGGUGGCUUAGGCAGCCGGAACCAGCAGACAGCAGAAUGGUUAGAAGUUAAGGAAAUUUAAAAAAGAAUUGGAGUCAUGUUGUCGAACUUAGCCAGAUGCGUAACAAACUACAAUUUUUCAAAUCAUUAUUAUUUAGUAAAUACUUACUAGGAUAUUGUCCUUUUUUUCCCCUCAGAUGUUGAAUCCCACAGAAUUCUUGGCGGACAUUGUGGUUGAGCAUGAAUACGUUGAGUGCACUUCAUCUGCAAUCCAGGCUUUAGUUUUGUUUAAGAAGUUAUACCCUGGCCAUAGGAAGGAAGAGAUUGAUCAAUUUAUUACCGCUGCUGCACUGUACCUUGAAAAUGUACAAAUGGCAGAUGGUUCAUGGUAUAUCAUAUGAUUAAAUCAAAAUUUGAUUAUAUAAUUUUCUUUCAUUAAAAACUAGAGAAGAAAAAGAACUUAGUGAAGAAACGUUUGCACAGGUACGGGAAUUGGGAGUUUUGCUUCACAUAUGGUACCUGGGUUUGCUCUUGGAGGGCUAACUGCUGCUGGUAAGACCUUCAACAAUUGUGCAGCCAUGCGCAAAGCUAUUAGUUUUCUACUCGCAAUCCAGAAAGAGAAUGGUGGUUGGGGAGAGAGCUACCUUUCAUGUCCAAAAAAAGGUAAAAUAUGAGAGGUGGAUUAUGAUUGAAGCUAGCUGCAAGUAUUUCUUAAUUAAUCUCAUUGUCUUGGACUAAAGUAUUUCACUCUAUGGCGGGUGAUACAGGAGUACGUUCCUCUUGAAGGAAACCGAUCAAAUUUAGUACACACAGCUUGGGCUAUGAUGGGUUUGAUUCAUGCAGGGCAGGCGGAAAGAGACCCCACACCCCUUCAUCGUGCAGCAAAGUUGAUAAUCAAUUCUCAGAUGGAAAAUGGUGAUUUUCCUCAGCAGGUAUCUUGCUUACCACAUUAGUUCCAACCAUAAUUAAAAUAAAUAAAUAAAUUGCCUUAGUAUUACUUGCAUUGCAAGCUUGACGAGUACAAAUAUGAAACACAAAAUAGCACAUCAUGUUGUGUUUGUCUAUACGUAUGCUCAAAUUUUUACUUGAAACGUUGUAUAACUUCUUGUUGAAGUCCCACAUCGGUGGGUUCAAAGAAACCCAAUGGGUUUAAACAGGAUUACCCUACUCUAACUAAUGUUGAGGCAUUUUGUGGUAAAACCUCACACAUGACAAAUUGAGCAGGUGGUUAAGUUGGGACAAUAUCGGUGUCGUUAGAGUAGGAUGAGCCUGGCAAUCCAAAAAUCCAACACUUCUAACAACUAAUUAUAUAUGGCAGGAAAUCACUGGAGUAUUCUUGAAGAACUGCAUGCUACAUUAUGCAGCUUAUAGAAAUAUCUUUCCCAUGUGGGCACUUGCAGAAUACCGCAGGCGGGUUCCGUUCGUUGAUGUCUAAGCUUUGCAGCCAUGUACGUGAAGAAAAUAAUGUUUUGAUUCAUUUGAAAAGCUUUGUAUUUCAGUGUAAAUGGAUUAUAAUAAGCUCAUAGGUUUCAUGUGUGCCAUCUGUCAUGUUGGAUGAGUCACUUAUAAUCCAUGUGCAUUGCACAUGAUCAGUUCUAUUUGUUUGGUUAUAAGCCUAUGGCCUCUCACACCUUACAUGCUUGUAAUGCUUUACCGAGAAUUAAGGAAUUGGUGUAACAGCACCAUCAUCUUCUACCUCUCUCCCUCUCCAUUGUUCUCUUCAACUUUCUUCAUUUCAAGUUCUUGUUGAAUGUUAUUGCAGUAAAACCAUCAUAAACCACCCAAAUUACAGAAUCUAAUAUGGCCUCAGAGCCUAAGUUCGAUUAAACUUUCAUCUGGGAGUGAAUCUGUGCUUGUAGAAUCAAGCUCACAUUGAGCUUCAUCUCUGCAAUACUGAGGUUUAUAAAGACUGAAAUCCGUCCCAAGUCUAACAUGGCUGGAUCAACUAGUUCUGAACUUAGUACAGCAGUUUUCAAUGGUGAAAACUACGAACUCUGGAGAAUCAAAAUGAACACCAUUCUCAAUCUCAUGGACCUUGGGAUCUCAUUGAGAAAGGGUUUGAAGUUCCUGAAUCGAAGAAGGAUCUGGCUAAAAGAGCCACUGAUGCAAAGAAGGAGGAGGAAUCAAGCACUCUAGCUAAGGUGCUGAUGAAGGAUGCCAAGGCCCUUGGAUUGAUUCAAGGAGUCGUCUCUGGUCAAAUCUUUCCCACAAUCUCAGACGAAGAAACAUCAAAGGGAGCUUCGGAAAUAUUACGGCAAGAAUUCAGAGGUGAUAACCAAGUUAGAAGUGUGAACUUACAAGGAUUACGUAGAGAUUUUGAAUACGCUAGAAUGAGAGAUGAUGAAUCCCCUUAUGUGUAUCUUACUCAUUUGUUUGAUAUCAUUAAUCAAAUGAAGAGUUAUAUAGAGAGAGUAGUACAAAAAUUGCUUACUAGCCUGCCUAGGUCCUGUGAUUCCAUAUGUUAUGUGAUUGAGCAUUUUAAGGAUCUGGAUACGCUAAAAGUGCAAGAAGUUGUUGCAUCCUUGAAGGGUUUUGAGCAACGGUUGGAUAGGAAUGCUGAGAGCUCCACUGAGAGAUCUUUUGCUAGUUUGAAUGUAGGAUCAAAAUUCCCUAAACUAGUGGUUUUUCUGGCAAUCAAAGGACAAUAAAGAAUUGGAAAAAUAAGGGGAAUAAAUGGGAAAAUAAGACACUUUUUGUACCAAAACAAAUUGCAGGACAAGAGUAUAACAUGAACGCCUGUAAGCACUGUGAGAAGCUUCAUUAUGAUAAAUGUUGGUUUGAAGGAAAGCCUAAGUGUACUAGAUGUGGCAAGUUUGGUCAUGAAGCUAGAAAUUGCAAUGGAAACAAAAAAUUGUGCAGAAGGCAAAUUAUGCAAAUCAAGUGGAUGAACUUGGAACUCUUUUCUAUGCAUGUAAUGCAGUCACAUAGGUGAAAGUUAACAGCACAUGAUACAUUGACAGUGGUGUAGUAAUAAUAUGACAGGAAAUGAGAAGUUUUUGGUUGAUGUGAAGAAGAACCUCACUGCUUGAGUGAAAAUGGCAACUGGUGAAAUUGUCAAUGUUGUUAGUAAGGGGACUCCUUGUAAUUGAAAUCAAGCUAGAAAGAAAACACAUUCAAGAUGUGUUAUUGUUGCCCGGAUUAGAGAAAAAUCUUCUAAAUGUGGGACAAAUGAUGGAACAUGGGUAUUAUUUGCUGUUUGGAGGAGGUGUGGUUAAUGUAUUUGAUGGAUGGAGCAUAUACAAUCUGGUGGUUAGAGGCAGAUGACCGGUAACAGAUGCUUUCCAUUACUAUGGUACUUGCAAACUCCAUGCUAUUGAAGAUAAGUGUCUCACAUUGCUCACAGAUUUGGAACAAGAGAUUUAGUCCCUUGAAUGGAAGAAGUCUUACUUUACUUGUAGAACAAGACAUGGUUCAUGGAUUACUUUCACUAGAGGAAUCAAUGGCAGUAUGUGAAGGAUGCAUGCUUGGCAAACAGCACAGAGAUGAGUUUCCAAGAAUGGCUAAUUGGAGAGCAAAAUUACCCCUGGAAUUGGUACUCACAAACAUUUGUGAUCCAAUGCAGAUGGCUGCACAAGAAUGGGUUUAUUUCUUGAGACACAAGUCAAGAGCAUGUGAAUGCUUCAAGGAAUUUAAAGCUAUGACCGAGUAACAAAGUGGUUAUAAGGUGAAAUGGCUUAGAAGUGACAAAGGUGGUGAAUUCAUGUCCAAUGUAUUUGUUGAAUUCUGCAAUUCCACUAAAGUGCAAAGGCAAUUGAUCAUGUUUUAUACUCCACAGCUAAAUGGUGUUGCUGAGAGGAAAAAUAGAACUGUUGUGGAGAUGGCCAAGGCAAUGCUACAUGAGAAGAGCAUGCCAUAUCAAUUUUGGUUAAAGCAUCACAUAUUGCUGUCUAUUUGUUGAACAGAAGCCCUACUAAGGCUUUUGAUAAGAUGACUCCAUUUGAAGCCUACAAUGGAAGGAAGCUAGGAAUUGCACAUCUCAACAUUUUUGGCUCACUAUGCUAUGUUCACAUUCCCUCUAACUCGAGACACAAGCUAGAGAGCAACAAUCAUAAAUGCAUUUUUGUUAACUAUUUUACUAGUGAGAAAGGGUAUAGACUAUAUGAGCCUCUCUAAAAAAAGAUCAUACUCUCAAGAAAUUGUAUUUGAUGAAGAUAACUGCUGGAGUUGGAGUGAAAACUCUGAGGGAGAUGUUAGUGUUCCAAUCCUUGCUGAGGAGGAAGGAACAACUAGUAAAUAUAUUGAAGGUACUACCAAAGUUGAUGAUACUCAAGUUUCAACUCCUUUUACUGAACAAAGUAAGGAUAGUCAAGAUGCAUAUGGUGCCAGCUCACAGAGAGAUGUGGAGUUAUCACAAAGUUAUGACUUCACUCCACAAAAGUGGAGGAAUUUGAUUGAUGUACGUGCACACUACAAUGUAUGCAUAAUUGAACCAGACAACUAUGAGGAAGCUGCACAAGAUGAUUCAUGGAAAAAAGUUAUACAAGUUGAAAUUGACAUGAUUGAGAAGAACUACACUUGGGAUUUGGUGAAUGGACCAUGAGAUAAACCUAUUAUUGGUGUGAAAUGAGUCUACAAGACAAAACUCAACCUUUAUGGUACUCUAUAGAAGAACAAAGCAAGAUUGGUAGCCAAGGGAUAUUCAUAGAAGCUUAGAGUGGAUUUCAAUGAAACGUUUGCCCAUGUGGCAAGGCUUGACACAAUUAGAACCUUGAUUGCCUCAGCAACUCAGAAGUGUUGGAGUCUCUAUCAACUUGAUGUGAAGUCUGCAUUCUUAAAUGGAGUACUUAAAGAGGAAGUGUAUGUGGAUUAACCAUUGGUUUUUGUGAUUAAAAAUGAGGAGGACAAAGUAUAUAAGCUGAACAAGGCUUUUCAUGGAUUGAAGCAAGCACUUAAAGCAUGGUAAGAUGAGGUAGAUGCCCAUUUUAUCAAUGAUCGCUUUCAGAAGAGUCCUAGUGAAGCUACAUUUUAUAUCAAAAGAAAUGGAACCUCAGGUAUCAUCAUUGUAUCUCUUUAUAUUGAUGACAUUGUCUACAUUGGAAGUUGUCCAUUAAUGCUUGAGAAAUUUGAAAAUGUUAAGAUAAACCACUAUGAGAUGACAAACUUUUGGAUUGUUGCAUCAUUUAUUGGGCAUGGGAGUUGUUCAAACUAAGAAAUUCAUUUUCAUUCAUCAAAAGGAAUAUACAUUGAAACUGCUUGAGAAGUUUGGCUUGAAGGAUUGUAAAUUAGUGGGAACACCACUUGCAGUGAAUGAUAGAUUGAGCAAAAAUGAUGGCACUGAACCAGCAAAUGAAUCUGAAUACAAAAAUCUUGUUAGAAGUAUGUUGUAUUUGAUUGCCAUAAGGCCAAAUAUUAAGUUUGCUGCAAGUCUGUUGUCUAGAUUCAUGCAUAAUCCCACAAAGAAACAUAUGGGAAAAACCAAAAGAGAGCUAAGAUACAUUUAAGGAAGUGUGGAUCAUGGAAUUGAGUAUAUCAAAGGGAAAUCAACUUUACUAAUAGGCCAUUGUGAAAGUGAUUGGGAUGGUAAUGAAGAUCUUAUGAGGGGUACCUCUGGAUAUGCAUUCAACCUCAGUUUAGGUGUGUUUUCUUGGGCUUCAAUUAAGCAGAAUAUUGUUGCACUUUAAAAUGUAGAGGCAAAAUAUGUUAGUGGUGCAGAGGCAACAUCACAAGCUAAAUGGCUGAGAUUUGUAUUGGAGGAUUUUGGUGAAGAACAAAUUAAGCCUACUCUAUUGCUGUGUGACAAUAUAUCAGCAAUUGCCAUUGCCAAGAACCCUGUCUUUCACCAAAAGACAAGGCACGUUCACAGAAAGUUUCACUUCAUCAAAGAGGCAAUCCAACAAAAUGAAAUUGAGUUGGUAUGCUACAAAACUGAGGAACAAAUGGCAGACAUUCGUACAGAGGCCCUACCAAAGGACAAGUUCUUGUACAAAUGGCAGACAUUUGCAGCCAUCUUCAUGAAGAAAAGAAUGUUUUUGAUUCAUUUGAAAAUCUUAAUUUUGUAUUUUAGUUUAAGUGUUUGUAAAUGGAUGGUCAGGAUUAUAAGAAGCUCACAGUCUGUUAUAUUGGAUGAGUCACUUAAGUGAUCCAGUGCAUUGCAUAUGAUCAAUUCUGUUUUGUCCGGUACUGGAGGUCCAGUCUAUGGCCUCUUCCACCUUACAUGCUUGUAAUGCUUCACCGAGACUUAAGGAAUUGGUGUAACAGCACCAUCAUCUUCUACCUUUAUCCCUCUCCAUUGUUCCCUGCAACUUUCUUCAUUUCAAUUUCUUGUUGAAUAUUUUGCAAUAAAACCAUCACAAACCACCUAAAUUGCAGAAUCUAAUACCAUUGCCUUCCAUAGCCUAAUUAGGUUUUUUCUGUAUUGUGCAGCUCUUGCAUGCGGCAUAAAAUAUUAAGCAUAAAAGCCAAUUGUUGAAAUUAUGUAUUAUACAAAAAGUGUAUCAAUCAGAUGGGGAAGUAAAAUUUAGCUAUUUGGAAUCAAUGAAAUUAUAAUUCUUGUUCAAACUGAAAACAUAUAAAAUAAAAAAUAAAAAAUAAAAAAAUAAAAAAUUUAUUUUCUUAGUAGAUGACUACAAUUACAGUAUUAUAGGGCGAAUAUAUUGUGAGAGAUGUUGCUCAAGUUGCUUUCUUAGGAAUUUAGGCCACAGUUGUUAUGAAUGUACUACAUAAAGAACAUGGAGGGGCUUCAAAUGAUUAGAUGCAAUACAUUUGAGAGAAUUUUUAAAUGACACCAAGUCCUUUGUUCAGCUUUUUCUACUGCAUUUCUAAUGUCUUUGUACUGAUUGAAUAGGUCAUUGAUAAUCUUCUUGCAGUGCGUUUUUCACAAGCUGAUGUGCAACCCAGUCGCAUGUGGGUAAUGCACGAGAGAAAAAUUGUUGCUACUACACUCUCCAUCAAGUCUUCACGGAUGAUUGUUGAAGUCUUUGAUCAAUAUAGGCAAUACACACGCAAAUCUUUGUUAGGAAUGCAUGUAAGAAAACAUAAGCUCACAAAAACCUGACAAUGGUAAACCCAAUGUGGGACAAGGCACAAAGUCUCGGAGAAAAAGGUCAGUAAUACAAAAUUGACACUCGAAGUAAUCAAGCUGUGAUUAAUGCUCGCAUUAGCGUAUGACCAGCCCAAGAGAGGUGCCUUAUUAAAAUCUUGUUAGGUUAGCGAAAUUCUUAGAAUCUGUCUCGAUGGUGAGUGGUACAGGAAUACGUUCCUCUUGAAUGAAACCAAUCAAAUUUAGUGCACACUGCGUGGGCUAUGAUGGGUCUGAUUCAUGCUGAACAGGCAGAAAGAGAUCCCGAGCCUCUUCAUCGUGCAGACCUAACUUGCAUUGCAAGACUUAUGAUGAAAAAGAUCAAAUGCAUAAUAACAUUCCAUGUUGGAAUAUGAAUAAAUUUGUAAUCAAUCACUGAAUUAUACUGCAGGAAAUCACUGGAGUCUUAAGCACGAACUGCAUCCUACAUUAUCCAAAUUAUCGAAAUAUCUACCCGCUCUGGGCUCUUGCAUAAUACCGCCGGAGGGUUCCAUUGCCUUCCAAAGCCUAAACGAAUCGUCGGUUGAAAUGUACUUUUACUACUUUCAUGUCUUCUGGUCAUUUCUAUCUUCAACGGUGUUGCUUCAUGCACGGAUGUUUACAUCGAUGUAUCUACGAAUAAUUAAAGAAAGAAAAGCUUUGCGUUUAUCCCUACUGAGCUAAAUUUUCUCAUUCUGUUACUAUUUAUUCUGUUUCCAGUGUUCUUUUAUCUCUGAAUAGAUCAAAGACAAUUUUGAAUUAAUAAACAUAAAGAUUAUGAAGUAUGUUAGCAAUAGAAUUACAUGGUUUUGAGCUGAGUUGAAGGAGCUCUCAUACAGGUUUAUAAACAUCAGUUCAUUAUCCGGAGGACUAAGCGUUGAACAAUAAACAAUCAUUCAGAGGGCGUCCAAUACCUGGCAAGGAUAUUCUCCGAGGGCCCAAACGGGAAAAAUGUUUCGGUAGGCUGAAUAGCUGAUCGUACAGUUCUUGUUGAAAACACCAGUGAUCUCCUGUAUGGGGAAUGAAAACAUUACUGGUAGUGCUAGUUACAAAUAGGUUGCAAAAUUAGCUAUGCAGUUUCGAAUUCACAGGGGGUUAUCAAGGAUUCACGAAAUAUCUUUUUUGUUUUAUAAAGGUCUUUACACCUGCAUUUCUCUCUGUACAGUUUUCUUCUACAUUGGCUAGAUGUGUUGAAAAUGGCAGUUAACAUGUCUAUGGCAACAGAAAAACCAUGUUAACUGGUAAUUGUAGAUUGAACAGUCAAGAAGGUACAAAGAAUUUUAUGUGAAAAAUUGAGGAAAAAGUUGGUAGAUUACCUUUCGAGGGAAAUGUCCAUUUUCCAUUUGAGAAUUGAUUAGUACCCUGGCUGCCCGAUGCAACGGAGUUGUCUCUCUUAGCCUUUCAAAGAGGCAAACAUGAGAAGAAAAUACAGGUAUUAAAGUCAGCAACAUGUGGAAGUUCAUACAGUUAUUCGUAAAACGUUCCAAAAACUAUGUUUAGCUGCAAAUCAUUGAUUCAUUAUGCAGCAGCCAGCAGCCAGUUCGAUAAGUGGAUGAAGAACUCGAAGGAUAUAUUUGAUAAAUCGCAUGGGAAGGAGAAGAGAUGAAUUUGAUAUCCAAAUGUACCUGCCCGGCACCAAUGAGGGCCAACAUAGCCCAUGCAGUAUGAACUAUAUGUGGCCUAUUGUCCUUGAGAUUUGUGUACACCUGACAUAUAAACAGUCGGCAUUAGAGUGAUGCAAGUGUAACGUAGAUCAUACAUCUUGCCAAAUGAGUAUGCGAGCGAAACCAGCAAUUGACUGAAGGAAUGAAACAAGCUCCUUGGGUAUGAAAGAAAAAGAAAGUAUAUUUCAAAUUUGAGGAAUCAUAAUCCUUGUUCUGACAUGAUAGAUAGCUUUCUCCCCAUCCACCUGAAGGAAGCUCUUUGGAUAACAAAAAGUCGCAUGCUUUACAAAUGCUAGAGCAGUCUUGCUAUGUCCUUCCCGCAGCAACCAACCCUUUUAUUCCAAACCACCCAGCAUAGGUGAAGCAUACUCCCCAGGAACCAUACCUAUCAUAAAUCUCCGUGUAAAUUGGUGCGACUACUUUCAAGAUCACUAUGUUUCUAAAUUGUCAAACAUUAGAGAGGGAGAAAGAGGUGAGAGAUUCUGUCCUACCAAACAGUCUAACAUGUUAUGUCGUUCUACUGUUGAUAAAGAUUGUUGGCAAGAUGGAAUGAUGUUCGAAUAUGCAGUGUUUUAAACUUGACUGUGAUUUACAUGUCUGACUGUCUGACAAGAGAGCAUCAUGCAAUAAAUGUGUAUGCAUGCAUGAGUUCUCAAUUGUGCAAGUCGUGGAUGCCAAAGACCAUUGCUAGCGGGAUUGCAUUGACUUCGUGGAUCACUUGGACUACACAUCGAAGUCAAUACAACCAAAACCAUUCAGCCAUCAUACAUCCAAACAUGAAUGAAAUGCCCUGUAUAUUUAUGCACGUAUUUUUAAUUGAAUUCGGAUACAAACCAAGAUCCGUCUGUUGCUUGUAUCGUUUCAAUGAACUUUGCAGCACGAGCAAUACAGUUUUCUAUUUCUGCACUCCUAUGCCCAGGACAUAAUUUUUUGAACAAUGCAAGUGCUUGAAUUGCCGCUGAGGUGCAUUCAACAUAUCUACAUCCCCGUUCCAGUCAAGAUGACUUCAGGCAUUUUUCCAUGAUAUAGGAUAAAUACAAAAUAAAGUGUACAGAAAUCUUACGGAUAAUCAAUAACAAUGUCACCAAAAGUUUCGGCAGGGUUGAUAAGCUGAAAAUAGGAUAGAGUUAAGCAUAUGCAUUAUGGAUUCAUAUUAGAUGAUGGUAAAAAACAUGAGCAGGCUAGGCAGCAUAUAAAUGAUACUUACCUCCAACCACUGGUAUGAUCUAGUUAGUUCAUAAGUUGCAAAACCACCAUCGUCAUUCUGCAAUACUUCAAGAAUCCAAAGAUUAGGGGAAUAGUUAAAUACUCAUAAAACCAAAAUGCAGGAAUAUGUAAAUAUUCUGUCAACAAAUUAAGACUUGAGCUGAGCUGCUGAUAAGAAUCAUGACAUAUUGACAAGGAGGGUUCUUUUGAAAAUAUAAAUUAUAAAGAGAAUACAGGUUGACACAUUAUGUACGGUAAGAUUCAAUUCCCGUACAGCCAGUGAUUUACCUGUAAGGAAAGGGUAAUAUUUACAGCAUCAUAAAAACGCUUUAUAUCUAAUGAGUCCCCAACUGUUUCUGCUGGAAGUUUUGAUAGUAAUAAGGCAGCCUGCACAAAGAAGAAAAUAUUAAAUUUGUAAUAAAAAGAAUGUCUGUAUGUGAAAUGCUGAGCGUGCAAGCUACCUUCAGCACUUCUGCUGUGCAGUCAGAGAUAGGCCAUCCAUGAUCGGCGGUUGAGAAUGGCCAAGCACCUUUUGAAAUGUGACGAUACCAAAAAUUCAGAUCUCCGGGACAAUCUUCUAAACCUUCAAAGCAAAAGCACUAGUCAAGCAAGGAUAAUGAGCAUAAUUGUUAAAUGAUACAGUAAAAUUUUCUGCUCACGAAAACCUGGGAAUCUUUGAUAUACUGAUGCGCUUUUCUUAAAGUUGGUCGAUACUCUUCAACAACGUUAGUUGAUAUGAUCGCUGGAAUGGCAAAAGAAGUAUCCCAUGCUUGACUUCCAUUGUAGCCCUGCAGUAAAAGGAAAAAAAAAUACAUUAGAUAAAAAAACAAUUAGCAGCAUGUCAGCAAAGUCGUAAGUUGGUAACAAACUCUAGCAAUGCCAGACCAAAUUGAGAUUGCUUCAGGUAAGAAAGAGGGAGUCGGGAAGAGAUGGGAAGAAUCUUAAAAUCAGUUCAAGAUAAUUUAAUGCUAUAACUGUCCUGCAUCUUCAUGCCAUCUUCAGCGAUCCAUAAAUAAUCAGGGAUUCUCGGGAGAUGCAAUUGAAUGCCUCUGAGUUUGGAUCCUCUGCCCAACAACAAAGCAUAUUUAACACCUACAUCAUUUAAGAAAUAGGCAAUCAAGAAGCACACAACUACAUACUGAAUGAAUCUGUAAACCAAAGCAACAUGUCAAUUCAGCAAUUCCAAUGGCAACCUUGUCAAUAUAUGUAUGGAUCUAUUGGCAGAUGAUCAUAUGCAUAAAAAUUAUUCUGAAUGCAUACCUUGUUAACAGGCCCUAUGCAUAAGUACCGAGUAUUUUCAUCUUCAUAAUGUAUAUGCUGCAUUACAGUCUUCAAAGCACUCUCCCUCAAUUCUUUUGCUGGCCAACGUGUGAAAACAGGUUCAUAAACAUAGUGAAGAGACCCCCACAAGAUAUCUUGUACCAUUGGGUGCGGAUAGUAUAGAUCUUCCUAGAAGUUGUAUAAAACAUCCAGGUAAGAAUUAAAAACAUAUGCAAAAUGAAUUGUCAUCAAUAAUUACCUGUACAACUAAAAUCCGGUAAAACAGAUGCAGAGAAAUUGUGCUAUAUUGUAUUUGAAGAGUUAUAGCAAAGCAAUCUAACAAUUAAACAUCCGUCGGACUAAAUCCCUAAAUAAAAAAUGUACUUUUACAAAUAGCUAUCAUGUAUUUCACCUGUGAAUAGCCCUAUGAAAAGUAAAAAAUGUAUAAUUAAACUCACAAGCACGGGAUCUUUAUGCAGGGGAACUAGAAAAAGCAGAGUAUAUUCAAAGGGGCAGAUGUUUCUUACCAACCUUUGCACAUAGAUUGCGAGCAUUAUUCCAAUCAACUUCAUGAUAGGGGACUGUAUAAAGCUAAUGACCGGAUUGUGGGUGUGAUAGGUCCAACAAACCUCUUCCCAUACAAAUAUGACAUGGGCAAAUACACCAUUCGGCAAUGACACCACAUUCUUCCUGUAUGUGGAAAAUUUGAAAAUUCAUAAACUGUAAAGAGGAGCAGUUAGGCAGUUAACAACAUUGACAAGUGUACGAACAUAAUAAUGUUAAUGGGACCUAUAUUAUUUAUUUGAUCGAGAUAUUUUUAUGAAAGGAGGCUUGAAUUUCUUCUAUCCUGCCUAGAAUGAACAUCUAGCAUCAAUGUCAAACGUAACGAUGUUGAUCAGAGACCUGGAUGAAAUGGAAGAGAGUAAGGACAUAGCCACACUUCAGGCGGAAGUGGAUUAUUCCCAGACCAUUCAUAUGCCUCAAGUACGUAUAACCACCAAAGAGUCAGCUAAUAUUUUCAUAAGACUACACCCUUGGUAGAAUCCAACAAGAAAAACACUGAGUUCAUACUGAAAGCCACAUUUUCCCCCAUGAAGUAACUGCAGUCACGCCACCAUGGUCUAAUAUCCACUUGCGUGCUAGUUAGAUUGCUCCCUGUCCAUCAUCAGCACCUUCACCAAGCAACCUCAAAGUGACAUAAUUAAGUGCAGUGCCAAACAUGGUACUUGGCCCCUCAAUAUGCAGACCCCAUCCCCCAUCUUCAUUCUGCAAAAACAAUUCAUCAGUGAAUUUCUUCAUUUUUCUAUGCGGAAAUUGAAGCUUUCUUAAAAGGCAUUAAUUUCAUGAAAACCAUUCUUACCUGAUGAUUAUAGAGAUAUCUGCACAUCUCACGUUGAUGCUCCUUCAAUAACACAGCAUUUAGAGCUCCAGUAAUUGAAAGUGUAAUGAUCUGUUGCAAUUGGUAAGUAAUACUUAGUCACCCAACAACUACCGAAUGGACCAAAUAAUAAAGGAAAAAAAAAACAUUCUUGGUUAAUUCAUUUUUCACUAAGAAGAAAGGCUGUGAAGUUCUGAAAUGAAUAUGCAGCCAUCCUUAGGAAUGUCAAACUUAUUUCUCAUGUUUAACCAUGACAUACAGAUUUUCCUAUUUUCAUCUUCUGGAUUACACAGUGAUUACUACUUUUCUCCCUUACCAAACCAGGAAGCAGAAACAUGGGACCCCCAUAAUCCCCAGCCCAAUGACCGUCAUGCGCCUGGAUUGUUGAAUAGAAACUGACAGCCCUUCAUAAUGUGGUUGUCACUGCCUCUUCUGUCACCUCUUCUUGAUCUUUGACUUUGAGUUGUGGUAGAUUAGUGGCACAUGGAUUCUCCUUUGCACACUACAUUUCAGAAAUAAGAACAAAACACAUACAUAAAAAAUGGAAAGUAGUGUUACAAAACACAAAUAGAUUUUCUUCUAAUGAGGAAAGAGGAUCGUAUAACUUGUAAGGAUUGCAAAGUUAUACCAGGAGAGAGCGUGACUAAUCAACAUCGCUUGUUGGUGAUGGAUGUACAUAUCAAAAGAGUGAGAAAAAAGAACAAGACUUGGAAGUGCCCAAGGACUAGAUGGUGGAAUCUAAAAGAAGAAAAACAAGUCAUUUUCAAAGAGAAAGUAAUCACCCAGUGUGUGUGGGAUAGAGAGGGGGAAGCUAACCAAAUGUGGGAUUCCAUGGCUAGUUGUAUCUGAAAAGUAGCAAAAGAGGUAUUAGGAGAGUCCAAGGGCUUUGCCCCACACCAAAAGGAAUCUUGGUGGUGGAAUGAGGAGGUACAAGCAAAGGUGAAGGCUAAGAAGGAAUGUUGUAAAGCCUUAUACAAGGAUAGGACCGAUGAAAAUGGUGAAAGGUAUAGAAAGGCGAAGCAAGAGGCGAAGAAAGCUGUGAGAGAAGCUAAGUUAGCGGCUUAUGACGAUAUGUAUAAGCGACUAGAUACCAAAGAAGGAGAGUUGGAUAUCUAUAAACUAGCUAGAGCAAGGGAAAAGAAGACAAAGGACCUAAACCAAGUGAGGUGCAUCAAGGAUGAGGAUGGAAAGGUUCUUGCUACAGAGAACGCGGUUAAAGACAGAUGGAAAUGUUAUUUUCAUAAUCUUUUCAAUGAAGGACAUGAAAGGAGUGCUUCUUUAGGGGAGUUGAGUAACUCAGAAGAGUGUAGAAACUACUCUUUUUAUCGUAGAAUCCGGAAGGAAGAAGUGGGUUGUAGCUUUGAAGAAGAUGAAGCAUAGAAAAGCAGUAGGCCCAGACGAUAUACCAAUCGAAGUGUGGAAAGUUUUGGGAGAGACAGGUAUAACAUGGCUCACUGACCUUUUCAAUAGGAUUUUGAAAACGAAGAAGAUGCCAAAUGAGUGGCGAAUGAGCACUUUGGUGCCUAUCUACAAGAAUAAGGGCGAUGUACAAAAUUGCAUGAACUAUAGGGGAAUUAAGCUAAUGAGUCAUACAAUGAAGCUCUGGGAGAGAGUCAUUGAGCAUAGAUUGAGGCAAGAGACACGGGUUUCGGACAACCAAUUCGGGUUCAUGCCAGGGCGCUCAACCAUGGAGGCAAUCUAUCUCUUACGAAGAUUGAUGGAAAGAUAUAGAGAUGGGAAAAAGGAUUUACACAUGGUCUUUAUAGAUUUGGAAAAAGCGUAUGAUAGGGUCCCAAGAGACAUUCUUUGGAGGAUUUUAGAGAAGAAAGGAGUACGAGUAGCAUAUAUCCAAGCUAUACAGGAUAUGUAUGAAGGAGCAAAGACUGCCGUAAGAACUCAUGAAGGACAAACCGAAAGCUUUCCCAUAACUGUAGGAUUACAUCAAGGCUCAUCCUUAAGUCCUUACCUUUUUGCGUUGGUAAUGGAUGAGUUAACAGGACAUAUUCAAGGAUGAUAUUCCUUGGUGUAUGCUUUUCGCAGACGAUAUAGUGUUGAUAGAUGAAACUCAGGAAGGGGUAAAUGCAAAGCUUAACCUUUGGAGAGAAGUGUUGGAAUCUAAAGGUCUUCGCCUAAGCCGAUCAAAGACAGAAUAUAUGGAGUGCAAGUUCAGUGCAAAUGGAGGCCAAAACGAGUUAGGGGUGAGGAUCGGAGAUCAAGAAAUACCAAAGAGCGACCGUUUUCGUUACCUAGGAUCUAUCUUGCAAAAGAACGGAGAAUUAGAUGGAGAUCUCAACCAUAGAAUACAAGCUGGAUGGAUGAAGUGGAAGAGUGCAUCCGGCGUGUUUGUGUGACCGCCGUAUGCCACUGAAGCUCAAGGGAAAAUUUUAUAGGACGGCAAUAAGGCCGGCGAUGCUGUAUGGCACAGAAUGUUGGGCGGUGAAGCAUCAACACGUACACAAAAUGGGUGUAGCGGAGAUGAGGAUGCUUCGUUGGAUGUGUGGGCACACGAGAAAGGAUAAGAUUAGGAAUGAGGAUAUCCGGGGUAAAGUAGGAGUAGCCGAAAUUGAAGGAAAGAUGAGAGAAAAUCGGUUACGGUGGUUUGGACAUGUGCAAAGAAGGCCUACUGACGCUCCGAUUAGAAGAUGCGACUAUGGACAGAGGUUCAGGGCCGAAGGGGUAGAGGAAGACCUAGGAAAACUUUGGAAGAGACCCUAAGAAAAGACUUAGAGUACUUGGAUCUAACGGAGGACAUGACACAGGACAGAACACAAUGGCGUUCUAAGAUUCAUAUAGCCGAUCCCACUCAGUGACUUGGAUUUUCCAAGUCUCCAACCGAGAAGUUUUCCUCACUCGGGAAAUUAAGGGAACACUACCUCAACCUACAUGCUCCACUCACAAAGCUUCAACAUACAAGCUUCAACAAAAGAAAAUUCAAAGAACUUAGCGAAGAAGGCUUUGGUGUAUUUAACACAAUACGUUGAAAUGAAGGAAAGCUUAUUUAUUGAUAUCCCCGAUAAGUUACAAAUAUGUACAUAUACUUGAGUCAAAAUAAACAAACAAGAGGGAGCCUUCACAAAGGUUGCUUAGGAGAAGUCUCAGCAGUCGGUAGAGCCCCAGAAAGAGAAGGCACCGGAGGGGGAUCAUUCGGAGCCUCAGUACUGGACAAAACCCUAGAAGGAGGAGGCAUCAGAGGUUGAUCAUUUGGAGCUUCAUUACGCGGUACAGCCCCAGAAGACGAAGGCAAUAAAUGCCUUUGGAACAAACCCACAAAUCUCUGAUGAUCAAGUAAAACCUGACCAUCAGAUUCCUUCAUCUGGUCAAGCUUCCUCUUCAUGUUUGUAGCAUAGUCAUGUGCGAGCCGGUGCAACUGUUUAUUCUCAUGCUUGAGCCCUCUAAUCUCCUGUUUGAGACUCAUCACUUCAGCCGCCAAUGAUUCAACUUGGCGGGUUCGAGCAAAUAGGCGUUGGGCCAUAUUAGACACAGAACCUGCACACUGAACACUGAGAGCCAGAGAAUCCUUAACAGCCAACUCAUCAGACCGUUUGGAAAGUAGUCUGUUAUCUUUGGGAGUGAGAAGGUUCCUGGCCACUACCGCAGCGGUCAUAUCAUUCUUCAUCACGGAAUCCCCAACGGUAAGAGGACCAGUAGGGGAGACGAAGGAUGGGCGCCAUAUGUUGUCUGGAGAAGGCGGGGCUGCCUCUUCAACAAGGUUCAAGUCAAAACGACGGUCGGAGGGGCCAGACAUUUUCAAAGGUGUUGAAGAGAGAAGAGGUCGGACAAAUCAAGAUCUUAGAAGUGCAAGAAUGGAGCUUCUACUGGUGGAUAUUCAAGUGUGCUUUGGAACUUAAUGUCAGCCCCUAUAAAAAUCUGCACUCGACGAAGCUUCAGAAAUCGAAGAGGCGCCUGCUCAGAAAUCGAAGAGGCGUUUGCUUUCUCAAAAGCUGGGCUGCUCAGAGACCACGAGGGUCGAUCUCAGAAAUCGAAGAGGCGUUUGCUUUCUCAAAAGCUGGGCUGCUCAAAGACCACGAAGGCCGAUCUCAGAAAUCGAAGAGGCUUGCUUUUCUCAAAAGCUGGGCUGCUCAGAGACCACGAGGGCCGAUCUCAGAAAUCGAAGAGGCACCUACUUUUCCAGCCUUGUCAGCACCUGUCACACGCACACUCAGCUUUGCGGAAAUUAUGGGCAUUCUGUCGAAGAUUUCUGGCGAAGUAGAAAGCACAUGAAUCGUACUGUUCAAUCACCCACUUCCCACACGCAACAGUAGCUCAUGGGUACCACAGAUAACUUUGCCAAAGUUCUCUGACAAAGUUGAGACACGUGAAGCUUGCAGCUCCCACUACAUCGCUCUGACCAAGAAGGGUAAAAGAAUUGCAAAGAAACAACACUAACAAAGUUUAGACACAUAAAUUUUGAAGGUCUAGCUACCAUAUUAUUACCCACAAGGGUAAAGGAACAGUACCACUGCUGGAUAAUUGGAAAGUCCCGGUGUGUCAACCUCUGUGCUUCGUGGCAAGGUAGACUAGCAAACAUGCCCAACCUUUACUCACAUUCGAGAAAACACUCCCAACAAGAUUGCUUGCUCCAAAAUCGAAGAGGCACCGCCCUCCGAAUCUCGAGAGCCAGACUCCCAACAUGAUUACUUUCUCAAAAAUCGAAGAGACACCGCUCUCCGAAUCUCGAGAGCCAGACCCCCAGCAGGAUUGCUUUCUCAAAAAUCGAAGAGGCAUCGUUCUCCGAAUCUCGAGAGCCAGACCCCCGACAGCUUGUCUGUAAUCUUCACACGCAACAUCAGCUUUCCAGAUACCACAGACCACUUUUUCAAAGUGCUCUGACAGAGUUAAAACAUGUGAAGCUGGCAGCUCCCACUACCGUGCUAUGACCAAGCAGGGUAAAGGAAUAGCAUUAUUACUUGAUGUUAGGGAGACUCCUAUAUAUAUGUCGACCUCCAUCCCCAACGGACAGGCAGACCUGCAAAAAUGCUCAACCCUUUCUCUUAUCUGAGAGGGCACUCCCAACGAAGCCUUUCGAAAUAUUCAGCUUUCUUUCCCCCCGAUAAUACCUCUGUAAACAAGCUAUACUAGAGCAAGAAUAUCUCAUAUCAUCAGGGUUAAAAGCAAGAGUAUCCCAUAUCAUGCUUUUUCCCUGUCUUUUCCUUUGGCCUUGUUCUUACCUGCAAGACAAGGAGAAAGAGAGCAAUCAGUCAGCACUUGGAAUCAAGCUUCCAGCCAGGAACUGACUGCCUGGAACCCCUUACCUGAUUACUUACCUGGCAUUGCUCUCGAGUACUCAUCUUCAACAUCUUAUGCUUCCAGGGAAGAUACCGCAUCUGCCUGAGGAACAGAUAGGGCAAGUGAGAAGGAUACAAGGAAGCAUGUGGAGACAAGCGUAACAGCACACGUGCCGAUACAUCCACUACUCUGUCAAAAGCAAAAGUAUCCCAUAUCAGCAGGGUCGAACGUACUCUAGAUUUGAUGGACUUGUUUUGACCCUCAAAUUCUUCAGUCGGCCUUAUACUCUGGAGGAAACCAGAAAACCCUCCAGCCCAGUUCAAGAAUAAGCCUGUGGAAAGUUACUUCUUCAAAAGCAAAAGUAUCCCAUAUCAUCUCUCUCCUCAUUUUUCUUCUCUUUAUCCUUCAUGCUGCCUGCAAGAUAGGGAGAAUGUGAACAAUCAGCCGGAGCUCUGAUUGCUUACCUUGUCUGUCACCUCUUUCAGCAGAUCCCCAGCUCGGCGACUUGGGGGACUCCUACUACAUGGUUUGUAUCUCGCUUGACCAAGCAUGAAACUACAAGUAAGCUUCAAGUGAAAUUGAUACAUUACCUUGUGCAUCUCCACCAGUUACAGAUACCACCCCUGGAUGGAGGAAGAGUACUUCCAGAGAAGAUGCCAUAUCUACCUAUGAGACAGAUAAGGCAAGUCAAGACGAUACCACACUCCGGUACUUAGAAGUUUCGUGGCUACGAGAUCAUUCUCCCACAAUAUUUCCUAAUGUCAUUUGUACUAAAUCAUUCACUUGUACUCACUCAAGGAGAGCUUGAACCUAUGUACUUGUGUAAACUCUUCACAAUUAAUGAGAACUCCUCUAUUCCGUGGACGUAGCCAAUCUGGGUGAACCACGUACAUCUUGUGUUUGCUUUCCUAUCUCUAUCCAUUUAUAUACUUAUCCACACUAAUGACCGGAGCAAUCUAGCGAAUAUCACAAAAAGUGACCGUUUUCGCUACCUAGGAUCUAUCUUGCAAGAGAACGGAGAAUUAGAUGGAGAUCUCAACCAUAGAAUACAAGCUGGAUGGAUGAAGUGUAAGAGUGCAUCCGGCGUGUUGUGUGACCGUCGUAGGCCACUGAAGCUCAAGGAAAAUUUUAUAGGACGGCAAUAAGGCCAGCGAUGUUGUAUGGCACAGAAUGUUGGGCGGUGAAGCAUCAACGUACACAAAAUGGGUGUAGCGGAGAUGAGGAUGCUUCGUGGGAUGUAUGGGCACACGAGAAAGGAUAAGAUUGGGAAUUAGGAUAUCCGAGGUAAAGUAGGAGUAGACAAAAUUGAAGGAAAUAUGAGAGAAAAUCGGUUCCGGUGGUUUGGACAUGUGCAAAGAAGGUCUACUGACGCUCCGGUUCGAAAAUGUGACUACGGGACAGAGGUUCGGGGCUGAAGGAGUAGAGGAAGACCUAGGAAAACUUUGGAAGAGACUCUAAGAAAAGACUUGAGUACUUGGAUCUAACGGAGGACAUGACACAAAUGAGCGCAAUGGCGUUCUAGGAUUCAUAUAGCCGACCCCACUUAGUGGGAAAAGGCUUUGUUGUUGUUGUUGUUGUUGUUGUAGUGUUACAAAACAUGUUAACUUCAAAACUCAUACGAUUUGGCCCAAAACCACUAAAAUUCUUCACUCAUAUUGGAAAGGGUUUAACAAAUUAGGCAUAAUUGAGGACACUAACUCUAAGAAUGGAUAAAACGCACCGACAACUUUAAGUUUUAUACAAAAACACCUCAAAGAGCUCAAUUGGAGAACACGGUAUCUCAAACACAGAUCACCCGAAAGAAAAACAUCAUUCAGACUUACAAUGCCUAAUACUACAAAUGAAAUCCUAGUUCCUACAAUACUGUGUGAAAAACCCGACCGCAUUGUUCAACAGCAUUGUCAAAUUGAGCACAGUUCUAACUGAUUUUAUACAUAAUUCAAUGAUCCAGAGCACCGCAACCAUAAUUUGAACAGUUUGCAUUCAAAUUUCAGUAAAUAAUUAACCUUUUUUCACCCAUAUGCAGUAUAUUCAAUUUCUUGAGAAAAAGUGUCGAUGAAUUGAAAAAUGAAGAAAAACCCAGAUGAAAGAACCUGAAUUGGUUCCAGAAAGCCUUGCGGGCAUCUUCAAUUUGGUGAAGCUCUUCUGGGGUUCCAGUCUCUGGGUGGAACUCCCACACCUGGCGGCCCAAGUGGUUGUUCACACUCUUCAGCCAUUGACCGCCACCUUCUCCUCCCACUAUCUCUGCCCCUACCUUCAGCUUCCACAUUUUUUACUUUGUUCUCUCUCUCUCUGCCAAUGAGAUUGUAUGUACUUUGCAUACGUCGCUAAAUCCGCGUGAAGUUGAGAACGCAUCAAUUUUUGAGAUUUCUUUCCAACUAUAAAACUACACUUUUACACUAAAAGUCUGGUACAAUUCACUUCAUUAUUUAUUUUAUCCUUAGACCUCGUUUGGCAGCUCGGACUGUACUGACUAUUUCUGUCGGAUAUGAUAAAUAGCCACCGGAUAGUACUGACUAAAUUAGUCGGGCGUUUGUUGCAGUAUCGGAUUAAUGACCGUAUUAUUUAUACUGUGUUUGGUACUGAACCGGAUAGGAUAAGAGAAAAAAAAAAUUAACAAAUCUUUCUUUGUUUGUUGAACUUUUCUCAUAUUUAUACAUAUUGAAAACCACAUAAAUUUUCAAAUAACAAAGAAAAAUAGUAAAUUCCAUACAUCAAAUUCAAAAUAUUUUCCAAUAACAUAAAAGAAGGUUCACAAAAAACAACUACAAUCGUUACAUUAUAUAAUCCAACCACAUAUUCAAGUUCAUAAAAUAUACAAAUGCAAGUUGGUUUCAGUAAGAAACAGUUUGUCCAAAUAGCCAAAACAUAUGCAUGCUGCUUUUAACAAAAUAUAUGCAUGCUGCAGCUUUUAAUAAAAGAUAUGCAUGCUGCUUUUAACAAAAUAUAUUGUUGUUGGUUUGAAAUGUCAAUUGCGGUUACUUUGUCCAAGUAACAUGAGUACGAAAGCUUUUUUCAUUGCACCAUCCAAAGACAAGAAUGUCCUCUCAUUCUGUGGCUUUUCGAAAAGAAUAUUUAGUGCCUUGAUUUGAUCCUCAAUAGACAAAUCCAUCUUUGACAAUUCUGAAGCAAUCUCAAGUUUUGGAUCCACUCCUUUCCCAAAAGCAGCUUGUAAAACUUCACCCAACUUAUCCACUGAUUCAGAAAGCAUUUCUUUAAAUGCCACAGCAAGAUCAUUAUCAUUAGCAGCUCUCUUCCUUUUCCGGGUACUUGAACUGCUUGACCGUUGAGCAACAGAAGGAUAACUAGUCUCCACCUCAUCUUCAUCUUCAUCUUCAUUAAUGUGCUCAGGCUCAUUCAUCAUCAGAGUAGGAGUUGCAGCUCCUACUCCAAUUGCUCGGUCUUUCCCAAAAAUAACAUUCAAUCUGUCAUACAAUGGAAACGAUUUUCCUAGCCAGCCCUGUACUUCUUUGUUAACCUGCAAUGCAAAAACAAAUCACAUUAUCCAUAAAAUACAAAUAAUCUUAUUUUGUUCCAGAAUGGGGCUAGAGGAUAUGGUUUGGUAGACACAAUCAUACUAUUAAAUUGUAUGUAAAGGAACAUGUUAAGUAAUCAAAUAUGUAAAGUUAAAUUCUAGUAUUAUGUUACAGAAUUACCUUCACAUAAGACUGCCAUACUUCAUUGCUAUCAACCUCAAUACACUUUCGUACAUCAUUCCAUGCAAAACCAGUUUUAUUAACCAUGUCAUAAACUAUUGCAUAAUCUUUUUUCCACCUCCUCAUUUUGGACUCAAUAUGUGGAACUGCCUUUAUAUUGGCAUUAGGACAUUUCAAAUUAAUAGCAGUUUCAAAUUGAGCCAUUGUUCCGGGUUUGAAACAACCGUUAUCACAUCGCAAAUUCUUAACAACUGCAUCCUCAAGUAUGGACAUCAAUGCAUCUUCUUCAUAUUGUUUCCAAACCCUUCUACUUCCUUUUGGUUGACUACUUUGUUCACUUUCCACUCCUAUAAUUACAUACACAAUAAGAUAGCAUAUAAUCAACAGUGCAUAUAAUUAAUAGUAAGUGAUAAAAACCAUAAGUAAAUCAUCACACUUUUUAAAUAAAUACAUAAGCAGGUCACACUUUGUUAAGUAUCAUAACCGAAUACAUAAGAAAUCACUAUUUGUUCAAAUAACAAACCAUAACCAAAUGACAACAUGCAUAUGUAAGAAAAUUUAAUCAAAUCACACUUGUGCACACCACUCAUUGUACAUAUUCAUGGCCAAAGUGUUUCUACAUGCAGUCCAUUCUUGUGUAGGUUGAACAGUCUCAAUCAUAUCUUCAUCAUCAUCACUACUUUCAGAUUCGUCCAAGUUUAGGAUUUCAUUUUCUAUUGGAUCAGCUGACAUAUGCCUUCUAAUAAGAUUAUGUAAUAGGCAGCAGGCUGUCAUAAUUCUAAGUUGUGUUUUAAUUG